UUUUUUUCUUUUGGGUUUUAAGGUAAAAGAGAUGUGAAAUUACAAGAUUGACCCUCAGCCUGAUUCUUCGAUUCAACCUAAGGCUCGAGGGCUACUCCAUAUGGAGUGUGAUUUUUAUCACACUUCCAUAUAAGAUUCAGGAUUGAAGAUUCAAGGUCAAGUUAAAUGAGGCUUGAGCACAUUCUAGCCGCAUGGAAGUACUCGAGUACCUUCGAAGACUGGGAUCCGAUAGAGUACUUGGAGAAUACCACAAACUAGUCAGAGAAGCCUACAAAACUACCUUGAACUACUACAUUGGACUAAAAAGUACUCGAGGGCUUGUUGGCCAUACGUCUAUGGGCCCACUGGAAGGUUUGGAUAGUCCUAAAUAUGGGGAUGUACACCAAGACGUGUCAUACAUGAAGACUACAGUGCAGAACGACGUGGUCUACGUGUAGGACAAGAACUAGUCGAGGAUUAGGAAACUACUCGUAGAAAUUAAAGUAGGACUCUCUAGUCGAAUCCAACUAGUAUUCUUGUAAACAACCGACGUGUAACCCUGGCCCCGGUAAUAUAAGGUGAGGUAGGGACCCCCUCCAAACAAGUUCAAUCAAUACAAUCCAACCAACACACAGGACGUCGGGUAUUACGCAACAUAAGCGGCCCGAACCUAUCUAAAUUGUAUGUUCGAGUUCACCUUCGAGUGCCUAAUCUCGGCGAGCUCCACGCAUAAAACACUACCUCAGGUACCCCCUCAGUAGGUUGCCGAGUCUAAACACCGAUACCAACAGCACCCCGUUUCAUCCACCACCAUAGUAAAAGGGUAUAUUGGUAAUGUGAUAGGGCCAUCCAUCCAAUUGGCCAAAUACCCUAUCCCUUCCCUCCCUCCGCCCAAAUCUUCCGCAUCCAAAAACUUUUUGCCAUAAGUACCCCUUCACCUCCUCCUCGCCCCCAUCCCAAAUCUUCACCUCCUCCUGGCACCAUCCCAAAUCUUCACCUGCUCACCACCAUCCACAAUCUUCCCCUCAUAGUUGUUGCCCAUUUCCCAUCUCCCUCUGAAGGUCGUACGAAGGAAACAUCAACAACCAGGUACAAUAUUUUCCUCCCUAGUUAAGCAUCCCCGAUGAUGCAAUUAAUGUGUUUUUUUGUUUGGUUUUGUUACUGCUUUUACUUUGCUGUUUGUUUGCAGAUCUAGCAGUUCCCAUGUAUACACUAGUUAGUUUCCUUUACUAAUUUGUCCUUUGGGCUAGUACAAGGUUGGGUAGGAACAUCCUAUCUUGGAUCUAGUUUUGGGGGGCAGUACCUUUAUGAUUUUACAUUAAUUUAUUGCUUUUACAGUAGUUUGCCCUUUUGGCUCAUAUAAGGUUGGGUAGGAACAUCUUUUCCUAGAUCUUAUUUUGGCUAGGAACAUCCUAUAUUGGAUCUUGUUUUGGUGCGCCUCACCUUUAGAUUUUGCAGCAGUAUGUUUCUUGUACAGUAGUUUGUUUCGUUUAUAGUGGUUGGAUAAUUUUACAAAAGUUUCUUUCUUUUCCUAAGACAAAGAAUCGGAGCUCCAUCCAUACAAACAGGUGAGGGUUGCAUGUAUCGUAACGAACCAGGGCGUAUUGGCUUCCCUCAGUGUUGGAAAAGUCACAAGCAUACUUAAACAAGCUACAAAAGGACAAAGAAAGGAUACCAAUGAAACAAGAUGUUAAAGAAGAAGUGAAGAUCUAGAUCCGGAGUAUGACCCGUCUCAAGAACGGCCUAAAUCUGACCAAGAGACAUGCUAACAUGAGGUAUCUAUUGUUGCCUACAAAAUUUCUUGUAUCAAUUAUGUAGGAUUGCUUAUCAUUAUUGUUUUUAUGCAAUUUGUCCAAUCAGAUCAAUGAUAGCAUACCUGUCAGCGGGGGAAGAGGGUUGUCCAAUAGAAUUUGGGCACCUGAUGCCUCUGACAGUAUGCCUCCAAGAGUGACUAGGAACAAGGCAAAGGCAUUGGCUUUAGCUCAAGCAAGAGUUUCGGAUGGGAUGACUCCUGAUUCACAAGAAUUUCCAACCUAAGGCCAAGCAACAACCACCCACACUGAGGACAUCAUCGACAUGACGACUGGUGAAGGCAAUUCAUUUGAUCUCUUUUUCCCAAAGAAAAAAAUUGGAACGUCUUCAUUAGCAACCAAAUCAUUAUUAACACACACCACCUGUAUGACCGUAACAAAAUUGUUAGGUGAUACACGCCCUUCUAGAAGAGCACAAGUUCCAUGGGAUUCAAGAAGGUUGGGCAGAGAUCUGAACAGGAUAAGCAUAGGGUUACACACCAAUGUUUCGAUCCAUGUUCGAGAAGGGCUCAAAUGGCCAGAGGUACCAAUGCAAGCUGCAAAGUUUGCAUUAGAGGGUGGGAUCAUACUGCGUGGGCAUAUACCAAUCCUUACUCGCUGGAAGAACUACAAGACCAAUAAUGAAAAACAUCUCAAGAACUACAUUGGCAAACUGGCGGUGUGUAUGUAUCAACUCAUCUAAUACCACAGUUCUUUGCAUCCUAUCUUUUCAUCCAUUUUUCUGACUACUCUUGUAUUGUGCUUAGUGUAAGGAUAAUUUGACAUUGACACCACCAGUCAACCUGUCAUAGAGGCAUGCGCUGACAUGCUCAAGUCACAACAGAGACAGGAGAGAUACGGCUCAAGAAAAAGUUCUUCAAUGAUAUUCCAGCAAAUGAAGUCCCAACCAAAUCUCCUGUGACCACACUAAAUGACGACCAGUGGAACAAUCUAGUUGCGAUAUGGUCUAGCCAACCUCACAAGGUAUGAUAGAACUUCAACUUGCCACUAGCACAUUUGCAUGUACUGAUCUAUUCCUCUAAUUCAUGAGUGUUCAUUAUUGUAAAGGAGAGAUGUACUACAAACACCGGUAAUCGUGGGGUGCUCAGGUUUCCUCAACGCACAAGAUCUAGAAGCUAUGUUGCAUAGGCUCAUGUUGUGGUAAGCAACUGAACAAGUCAUAUUUUUGCUAUGUACUUUAUUUGAUGGACCUGCUCAUGCUCCUUGUUCUAAGCUAAUAGUUUAUGCCUGUUUUCACAUUAUAUUAGAGGGAGAAGCAUGCUGAAGGAGACCCAAAUCCAAUAGAUCUUUUCAAGAACUUCCAUUGCAGCAAAAAUGGCUACACCGCUCCAGUACAGGCAGCCAUUGUAACUAUUUGUUUACUUUACAUUCUUCUUUGCAGCAACAACACUACAAACAUUUUUGAGUACUUUUGUGAGACCUUUCAUUUUCUUUCUUCUAUUAUGCUCGGAUGGAACAAAUUGUCGCCCAACCUGGAGACAACCAACCAAAGACUGCUGCUGAAGUAGUGGCUAAAGUUGAACAAUCAAGAAUAUUUCAGGAGGUUGCUAGCAUACACCCACCCUCCAAGAAAAGGACUAGGGUUGGUACUACGCUGCAGGUAGAAGAAAUACAAGCUGAUCUUGAGAGUGGGAAACAAGGGGGGCAUAACUUCGUCAAAAUACUGAUAAACAGUAGUCUAAGAUGAGUGCACUGAGAUUGAGGGCUAAAACACGAGAAACAACAUUGAAGUCUCAAACAGAAGAGCUCGAAGCUUUGAAGAACACCACAAAGCAGUUGCAUUCUCUGAUUUCUAGCCUGAUAAACUUCAGCACCAGUCAGAGCCAGGUGAAUCCUUCCCUCAACUGAAGUGUGUUGCUGGUAAACUUGUUAUUUGUUGUUGAUGAACUUUUGUUGUAUGUUGCAUUGUUGAUGCUUAACUUGUUGUAUGUUGCAUUAUUAUUGCUGGUGAACUAUUCAUUGAUUGUGAUGUGAGCAAUAUGGAAGUUGGAAAUGAGCUAUUUUCAUGUCUGUGAUUGUGAUGGUAAUCAGUAGCCAAAACUGAAUAUAUGGCACUGCGAAAUGCAAUAAUGGGCUAAGGCCUAGAAAAAAAUGGCCCAAUAUGAUACUACAAAAUGCAAUAAUGGCUCUUCGUUAGAUGGGCUAGGGUCAAGAAAAAGAGGCCCAAUAUGGUGUGAAAAAAAACAUUUUUCGGCCCAAAAAAUAGCACAGAAACCUAAAAUGGGCUAAAAAUGGACCAACAAAAUUGGGCUCAUAAAGGCUCCUACAUGGACUGGGCUUCAAUUUGUGACAAACCGAAAUCAUCAUAACAUCCCUGCCACGUCGGAGCCAACCUCCAAAGCAGUUUUAUGAUGACAUGUGGGAUGAAUUUUCAUUCGUCAUUAUCUCAGUGAUGCACCGAAAUAAGGAACAUCACUAGUUGCGAUUUAUGAUGCUCGAAUAAUGAUGAAGAGUUUUCGUCACUCCCGUGGCAUAAAUUACGGUUUAUGACGCAAAAAACACAUUUAUGACACUUUUGGUUCGUCACUAGUUGGAAUAUUUCUUGUAGUGGUUGUUUGUGAACUGGGUGGAUCAAUGGACUUGUGGUUUGUGAACUCUUGUAUGGACUUGUAAUAAUAUGUUUUAUGUGGACUUGUGUUUGGAUUCCUGCUAAUGGUUGGUUUUGUGAUAUAUAUAUAUAUAUAUAUAUCAAAUGGGUGAUUUUAAUUAAAUUUAAGGAUUUUUUUCUCUGGAAAAACUCAUCACCGUCGGCCUAUGGAACCGGCAGUGAUGGGGCACCUCCAUCGCUACCGAAAUUCGUAUGACAGAUCCAUAAACGGAGAUGAAGGCGGUUUUGGAGCCGGCAGUGAUGUUGCUCUGUGCAGUAGUGAUUUGUCUAGCAUUAUAUGGUACUCGCUCACAGCUGUCCACUUAUUUGACUCAACGAAUUUCUUGCCUCUUUGGACUGUACUUUCUUUGACGUGUGAAGGAACUGUGACGCGAAGGUAAAUUAGAAUUUCUUAAAACUAAGGCUCUACUUGCAAAUAUAAAAGUAUACAAUUUUCUACAUAUUUGUGCACUAGAGUUUUCUAUGUUUUUUUCUAUCUCUACCGCAAAAAAUACUAAACUUAGUAUAACAUUUAUUUUCAUAAUAUUAGUGUCUUUUCUUGUAGGUAUCUUUGUCCUUAUAUGGAAAUUAUCUUUGAAGCAAUCUUGGAUCAAGUGAUGGACCAGCUGACUACUAUUAUGAUGGAUUACAUAAUACACUAUGGAAGGUAAGUGGCAGGUCAUCUCCAUUUUAAUUUGUCCUUGGUUCUCUCACCUAUACCAUUAUUUAUUAUCAUAUAUGCCAAAGCCCUAUUUUAACAUCCAUGUGAACCGAAGGAGAGUGUGCUAAUUUAUGGGCUAAGUUCCCAGAUACAAUAUUUGAGAUGUCAACUAUUUUAUAUACUAUUACAUAGUGAAAUGUAAUGCAUGAACUUGAAAAAUUGCUUAAGUAAUGUCAAAACAAGAACUUGUUGAUGAGGAUGCAAUUAUGUGUACUAGUACAAAUGAGUUAUGCUGUAGGUGGUGCAAUGAGCUUGAUUUGAGCUAAAGAGGGGCAAUUUACUCACAGCAAUUUACUCACAGUUGGAAGAACAAACGAAGCUUUUAGUUUUCACUACCAGUUUCAUGAGAAAAAAUAGAAGCGAAGACAAGGUAUCACUCAAUAAUGCGUAACGUGGUCCACUAGUAGAGAAUUGGCUUUCGAUGCGCCCCCUUUUAUCCCGGUUUAAAGUUGGCCCGAGACAAAAGGGGGUGCGCCACGGUAGGUAAAAAUGGAGGGGAGAUUUACUCCCGGUUGGUAUUUGCAACCGGGACUAAAGGCCCCCCUUAAUCACGGUUGCAACGGCUAGUUUCGGGGUGUCGGUGGCAGGACCCUUUUGUCCCUAUUGGAGGCUCCAACCGGGAUAAAAGGGUGGACCUUUUCUCCCGGUUGAAGCCUCCACCCAGGACAAAAAGUUUAGUCCCGGUUGCAGCUUCCAACCGGGACAAAAGGGUUUCCCUUUUGUCCUGGUUGGAGCCUCCAACCAGGACUAAACUUUCAACCGGGAUAGAAGGUGUUCCUUUUUUGUCUCGGUUGGAGUUUUUAACUGGGAUAAAAACUCAUCCCCAUUAUAUACCAAGACAGAGGCCUUUCUUCCUCCUCCAGCCCGAGCCAGUCCAGCACAUAGACAGAGAGCUAAGCUUCACCUACUCUCCGGUGGUGCCGAAGCAAGGGAGGUGCUGCUCGAAGUUUUUUCUCUCAUUUUCGUGGGAAUUUCACUCAGCCAACACAAGUUUUGUGAAGGUUUGCUACUUCAUCCUCGUGUUAUGCUUUGAUUUAUACUUUGGAGAUGGAAAGAUUAUUUGCUAGAAUGUGAUGAAGUAGAAAAUGGAGGGGUCUUUUGAGCUAGAAUGUGAGGGAGAUUGAUGUGUCAUAUAUAGUAUGCAUUCUUGCAGUGGGUUAAGAAUGAUGCUACCUUGUCUAGACGGUUUAUCUUAUCAAAUUUAAUAAGGUUUUUUCAAAUCCAUAUUUGUUGAACUUGCAUACCGUGUUCAUCUCGGCGAGGAUAUUCUCCACCGAACAGCAGCGUAUGUCAAGAAGCAGGUUCGAUUCUACGAGAAAGAGUGGAUACGGACAUCGUGACCCUUUUUCGUAGCAUCGAACCUCUUUCAUGACGAAGUGCGGUGCCACCCAGUUGAGAACAUGCUCGCGAGAUGAUCAUGGUCUUCAAGUUCAACAACUUCUGCAGUGCUAAGGUAAGAAUUUUUGUACAUAGAUGGCUUCUACUACUUGUUGAACUUAUCAAAUUCAAUAUGGUUUUUCAAAUCCAUACUUGUUGAACUUGCAUACCGUGUUCAUCUCUGCAAGGAUGUUCUCCGCCGAGCAGCAACAUAUGUCAAGAAGGAGGUUCGAUUCUACGAGAAAGGGUGGAUACGGACAUCGUGACCGUGUCCCCUUUUUCGUAGCAUCGAACCUCUUUUAUGACGAAGUGUAGUGCCGCCCAGUUGAGGACAUGCUCGCGAGAUGAUCACGGUCUUCAAGUUCAACAACUUAUGCAGUGUUAAGGUAAUAAUUUUUGUACAUAGAUGGCUUGUGCUACUGGAGGAAGUGGCAAUGGUGGGGGUGAUCGUGGUUCCUCUUUCGGCAAGGGGAAAAUCAUAGUUGGCCCUCAGCAUAAGCCGAAGAAAAUGAGCGCGCUGGAAAAAGCAAUGGAUGGCCAAGGAUGCUUAAAGUCCUCCUCGAUAAUAACCAGUGGAUGGCUUGUUGUAUUGUAUCAUGUUGUUUGGAUCUUUAAUUUAAAUAUGUGCAUUUGGAUCUUCAUGUUGUUGUAUUGCACCAUGUUGUUUGGAUCUUUAAUCAAUUUUCACGCGUAAUCCAUUGUCAAGUAUAAUCCAUUUUCAUGCGUAAUACGAUGCAGAUGGACCGGCAAUGGAUGUAUAAUGCAGACAGGCGGAGCAAGGUGUUUAUUGAUGGCUUGCAUUAUUUUCUCGAAGUGGCCAAAGCGAACAAGCUAGAGAAUGGGUUCGUAUGUUGUCCAUGCUUCCAAUGUAAUAACAAGAACAAGUAUUCAAAGGAUUCCUAGGGGACUAUUAAAAGCCACUUGUUUAAAUAUGGUUUCAUGCCUAACUAUUUGGUUUGGACCAAGCACGGUGAACGAGGGGUCGUAAUGGAAGAUGGUGAGGAGGAGGAGGAAGAUGACACCAUUCCGAACUGGGUUGCAGGCCAAGCUUUUGCAGGUACUACAAAGGGCGAGGCUGAUGAAGAUGAGUUUGAAGAAAAUGGCCCUACAGAUGACCUUGGUCAGGUAAUACGAGAUGCACACAGAGAUAGUGAAACUGAGAAGGAAGCAGCAAAGUUGCAGCGCAUGAUAGAUGAUCACCAAAAAAUAUUGUACCCAGGUUGCCAGCAGGGCCAUAAAAAACUAGGUAUGACACUAGAAUUUGUGCAAUGGAAGGCAAAAAAUGGUGUGUCCGAUAAGGCAUUUCAGGGGAUGUUGAACAUUGUCAAGAACAUUCUUCCCGAGAAUAAUGAAUUACCGUCCACAACAUAUAAAGCUAAAUAGAUUAUUUGCCCUCUCGGAUUGGAUGUUCAGAAGAUACACGCAUGCCCUAAUGACUGUAUCCUCUAUCGUGGUGAUGAAUACGAGAAAUUGGAUGCUUAUCCCGUAUGCGAAGUACUGCGGUAUAAGAUCAGGCGAGAUGGUCCUGGUGAUGUCGAGGGGCAGUCUCCCAAGAAGAGAGUUCCCUUGAAGGUGAUGUGGUAUUUCCCUAUAAUACCACGCUUGAAGCGCUUGUUCAGGAACAAGACGAAUGCUAAGUUGAUGCGGUGGCACAAAGAAGAACGUAUGGAAGAUGAGAUGCUGAGACACCCCGCAGAUGGGGCCCAGUGGAGAUCAAUUGAUAGAGCAUUCCUGGACUUUGAAAGUGAAGCAAGGAACAUAAGGUUUGGUUUAAGUACUGAUGGAUUCAAUCCAUUCGGUGAGUUGAGUAGUGGCCAUAGUACUUGGCCUGUGACCCUAUGUAUGUUCAACCUUCCUCCUUGGCUGUGCAUGAAGUGAAAGUUCAUUAUGAUGCCGGUGCUUAUCUAAGGCCCAAAACAACCCGGCAACGACAUUGACGUGUACCUAAGACCGUUGGUUGAUGACCUUUUACAGCUCUGGAAGGAAGAAGGUGUAUGUGUGUGGGAUGAGGAUAGACAAGAGAUCUUUAAUCUACGAGCAUUGUUGUUCGUAACCAUCAAUGAUUGGCCUGCACUGAGUAACCUUUCGGCAUAGACAAAUAAGGGAUAUCGGGCAUGCACCCACUGUUUAGACGACACAGACAGCAUGUAUUUGAAGCACUGUACGAAGGUCGUCUAUAUGGGUCAUCGUCGAUUUCUCCCUGCUCACCAGCAGCUAAGAAAGAGCGGGAUGCAUUUCAAAGGGACGCCAGACCAUCGUAAAAAACCUGCACACCGUAAUGGAAAGCAUGUCUUCGAGAUGAUGAAGGAUGUAAAUGUAGUCUUUGGAAAGGGUGUUGGUAGCCAACCUGUUCCGAACGAUGAUAACGGACAUGCACCCAUGUGGAAGAAAAAGUCAAUAUUUUGGGAGCUACCUUAUUGGAAAAUCCUAGAGGUUCGCAAUGCAAUAGACGUGAUGCACCUGACGAAAAAUCUUUGCGUGAACGUGCUAGGCUUCAUGGGUGUUUAUGAGACCUUGAAAGAUACAUUGGAAGCACGACAGGACCUGAAAGCCAUGGGGCAAUGAGAUGACCUACAUCCGAAAAAGCAAGAUAAUGGACAGCACUACUUACGUCCUACCAGUUACACUCUCAGCAAGGAAGAGAAGGAUAACAUGUUUGAAUGCUUAAAUAGUAUAAAGGUCCCGUCUGGGUACUCCUCGAAUAUAAAGGGAAUAAUAAAUAUGAAACAAAAGAAGUUUACAAAUCUCAAGGCCCAUGACUGCCACAUGUAGAUGACCCAGUUGCUUCCGGUUGCACUGAGGCGUGUUCUACCAGAAAAUGUCCGGUUGCCACUCGUAAAGCUAUGCGCGUUUCUCAAUGCGAUUUCGCAGAAGGCAAUCGAUCCAUCCAAGCUAUCAAAGCUACAGAACGAUGUGGUGCAAUGUUUUGUCAGUUUUGAGUUGUUAUUUCCACCAUCCUUCUUCAAUAUUAUGACACACUUACUGGUUCACCUAGUAAAAGAGAUUGGUAUUCUCGGACCUGUAUACCUGCACAAUAUGUGGCCUUUCGAGAGGUUUAUGGCAGUCCUAAAAAACUAUGUUCUUAAUCAUGUCUGUCCAGAAGGAAGCAUCGCCAAGGGAUAUGGAACUGAGGAGGUGAUUGAGUUUUGUGUUGAUUUUAUUGAUUCAAUUGACUCGAUUGGGGUUCCAACUUCACACCAUGAGGGAGGCUCCGAGGAAUGGGCACCCUUGGAAGGAAAUCAAGUUGGAGCAAUGAUACUGAUUUGUUCGACAAGGCACGCUACACUGUUCUACAACAGUCAUCUUUUUGUCCGGGUUGGUGGUGGCACCCGGGAUACAAUGGUAGGCUUCCAUUCCCGCCUAGUGGACGUACCCUUUUGUCCCGGGUCCCAUCACCAACCGGGAUAAAAGGGGGGGCCGUUUAUCCCGGUUGGUAAUGGGACCUGGGACAAAAGGUCCUUUAGUCCCGGGUGCCAUUACGAACCAGGAUAAAGGGGGGGAUAAAAGGCACUGUAGCCUCUUUUACCCCUCACGUCAGUUACACUUAGCCAAAAUUUUACUAAGAUCCCGCGCUCUGCUCCGUCGCCGCCCAUCCGCCUCCCUCGCCGGCCGCCGUCGUCGUCGUCCCCCAUUGCCCUGGCUAUCGUCGUCUCGCUGCCCAACCGCCUCGCCUGCGCCCAGAUAGCCUCCUCCUCCAUCGUCCCGGCCCACCUCGAUCCUCCUCCGUCGCGCCCCCUCGACCUCGUCGCCGCCGGCCGCCUCCAUCGUGGGGAGUCGUCACCGCCUCCGUCCUCGUCGCCGCCUCCGUCGCGCGCGCUGCCUCGUCGCCCCUCGUCGCCGGCCGCCUCCGCCCGGUCACCGCCUCCGUCCUCGUCGCCGCCUCCGUCGCGCGCGCCGCCUCGUCGCCCCUCGUCGCCGGCCGCCUCCGCCCGGUGUUUGCUUUGCUCCGUCCUCGCCUCCGCCGUCCCGCCACCCUAGCCACCUCGUCGCCCCGGCCACCGUCGACCGCGCGAGGUCCGCCGGCACUGCGCCGGGAGUACCGCUCUUGCUGACGCAAGCUCACCGGCUUGCGUCAGCAAGGGCCUUUAUUUUAGUUAGAAAAUAAAUAGAAAUGAGUAGUAAUUAGUUAGAAAAUGAAAACAUAUUUGUAUAUGUGUUAGAAAAUCAAAUUACUGGAAAUUAGUAGUAAUUAGUUAGUCGCUCCGCCUAGGUUAGAAAUUAAUCGUGUUUCGUCGUGGUUCAAUCCUUUGCGUAGGAUACGGUGGCUAAUUCCAGAGACGUCCAUCCUCGCCUCCACCUAGGUUAGAAAUUAAUCAUUGCCGCAGCCACCUCACUCCAUCCCCGCCUCCGCCGUCCCGCUGCCCCGGCCGCCGCCGUCCCAACCUAGGCACCGUCGACCGCGCGAGGUCCGCCGGCACUGGCGCCGGGAAUGAAUUAGUUAUAAAAUCAAUAGAUAUUUGUAUAUUAGUUAGAAAAUUAAAUCAGUAGGAAUUAGUAGUAAUUAGUAGUAAUUUGCUAGAAAUUCCAAAAAAUAUGUACAAAUUAGUAGAAAUUUGGUAGAAAUUUGUACAAAGUACUACUAAUUUGUUGAAAUUUGUAUAAACAUUCCGGGCUUUCUGGGAUUCAUGUUAUUGUAAAAUUAGUAGUAAUUUGCUAAAAAUUCCAAUAAAUAUGUAUAAAUUAGUAGAAAUUUAAUAGAAAUUCGUACAAAGUACUACUAAUUUGUUGAAAUUUGUAUAAACAUUCCGGACUUUGUGGGAUUCAUGUUCUUUUAUGAUUUCAUGUAUAUACCCUUAUGUACAUAUAACUAAGGCAAUUUCUAUGACUAUCAUGUAUGAUUCCAUGUAUGUUUCAAUCAAUAGUUGAAAUGGCAGACGACGAGACCACAAGGUAUCUCAUGGAGCAGAUAAUCACUGGUGAUGGUAGUGGCGACAACCUUCCACUAUAGUACACCGAUGAAGAGGGCACCCAGGUGGACAUGUUCCUCAACAUGUCCGCUGAUGGGAAUGAAGAGCAUGAGGCCCAGCAACACCUUGCUGUGGCGGAAGGUUCCAGCGAGGUAUAUAUAACGAAUCUUGUAUUGUUUCACGCCACCGUUACUACUACGUACUAAUUAACGAAUCUUGAACUGUUAGCCCUCUGGAUCGACGCAAGGGCAGAAGACCCGAGGUCGUACAAAGAUGAUGGAACGGAGGCUUGUCAUCAUGGAAGUGACAGAAGAGGGCAGGCCGGUUGCUCCCGAGAAAGUAGCAAAGAAGUGCAUGAGUCAGAUCGGGGCAAUCGUCCGGGACAACGUGCCUAUCAGCAUCAGAGAAUGGAAGAGCAGAAGCACUAAUCCGUACGCCCUCCUAGAGGUAGAAAAGAAUAUGUUGUGGAAAGAUGUCAAGAGACAUUUCACAUUCCCCGAAGGAUAUAUUGACAAGGAUGUGAAAGUUUGGAUGCUGAAGAAGAUGGCUACACAAUUCCAGACAUUCAAGAAGAUGCUGGAUGCCCACUACAUAAAGAAGGGCCGAACUCCAGACUUCAACACAUGGCCAAAGUUGAGGGACCACUGGGAAGCAUUUGUUGAAUAUAAGAGGAGUGAAGACGGUGUGAAAAAGAUCCUGACCAACACUACAAAAGCUAGUCAGAAGGGCUACCAUCAUCAUCUGGGGUGAGGUGGUUAUGGCACAGCAAUUCCCAAAUGGAGGAAGAUGGAACAAGAUCUGAUCGAACGGGGAAUCGUACCUGCAACUAUCGAAUGGCUCGAACAAUCAAAAAAUUGGUAUUACGCUCAUGGAGGCUCCCUGAGCCAAGAGGAUGGGACGUUGAUUUUCAAUGACACAAUACGUGAGAAGGCCGAACGUAUUAUGAAGAACAUUGAAGAUUCUAAGGCUGGGAGGUUGAAGGUGGACCGAGAGAAUGAUGAGCUCACAUUGGCCCUCGGUAAUCCCGAGCACCUGGGACGUUGCCGAGGGUUCGGAGUCAUUCCGUGGAAGUUUGCUUUCCGAGGCGACAGCGCAUCGUACAGAAACCGCAAGUGAAGAAAGGAACAGAUCGAGGAGAGUUGGCGGUAGAUGCUAGAAUCCAAAGUGCAGGCACAAGAACAAAGAAUGUUGGAGGAAAUCCGUCGAGUGGCCCACGCAGUUGUGGAGUUGACCCAAUCUGGAGCAUUGCGGAAUCCAAACUACACCAGCCCUUCUCAACGUCUCUUGAGCAGUUGUGCUUCUACAGGGGUCCCUGAUGCGCAGACGCCCAGGUUACUCGUGGAGGAGCAACGGUUCCCCGUGGAUGCCAUCACGCAACACACCACAUGUGAGCUGCAUGCACCGGUCGGCAACCUCACUAUUAAGGUAUACUUAUACAUAAUAUUUAUGCAAUCUUGUCAAUUGAUCCACGCCUCGUGAUCGGAGUUUAAUAACUUGUUUACUUCUGCUAUAUGUAUAGGUAGCGUAUAGGAGUGCGUUAGCAACCUUGGCAGGGUAGAGCAGUCAUGGCAUGGAGAUUCCACCUGGCUACGCCAGCGCCCGCGUAGAGCAAAUUGUUGAUAGCCAAUAUGAAGGCCUAGAGCUCGACCUCCCGGGAGGCGACGGGGAAAAGACACUGGCAGAUGCGCUUCAUGGGAUCAUUCUAUGGCGAAAAUGCUACAUCAUUAUUCCCAGCACGGAGCCAUCUCCUCAGAGCUCAAGACCGCUCCCCGUAGAUCCCCAGCAGCGACCUUCUCCUUAUAGCUCAAGACCGUCAUCUCCUACACAACCUGCUCUAGGAUCGUCGCUUCCUGCUAUAUCAAGGUCUCCAUCUCCACCACAUCCUGGUGGUGGGAGCAGCGACGACAAUAACAACACCCCUCCUCGAUCACCGUCGCCGGCACUAAGAGCCGCCCCCAUGAAGGAACCUACAGCACCACUAAAGAAGUCACGGGCACCGCCUCCCAAGCAAAGACAGAGAAAGACGAAAACAAAGGAGCCUGAAGUGACUCGUAAGGAACGCUGGGAGGCAAUGACUCAUGCAGAACAGUGGGCAGAAAUCCAACCAGAGGCCAGUGAGUGGUUCAAGAAACAAGCAGAAGAAAAAAAAGCAAGGGAGAUGGAGCCACCACCAGUAAAUCGAAGAGAUUUAAAAUUUUUUAUCAGGAUGGAAUAAGGAGCCAAGAAAAGGAUACCACUCUUAUCAAACUAUGAACGGGCUUUAGUAAAGGCUGAUGAAAAGGACAAAAGGAAAGGAAAGUCAUCUUCCAGUGGUGUUGUCCCCGACCUCAGCCAUUUAUCAAAAAAAGACACUCAAAAGGUAGCAGCAAUGCCCUUGCAUCAACAAGCAGAAGUAUUGAAAUUCAUGCAAGAAACAGGUCUGGAACUUGAUGAAUGCUUAGGGCAAGUUGAGAUGCCAACUGCACCACCCCCUGAGCCGAGAUGGCCUUAUGAGCUAGGCAAACCUCUUGUAAGGCCCAAUCUGGUACGAAGCUAUCAAUAAAGAUGUACGCAUUCCAUCAAUGGUACAUGAUGGCAUCCGCCGACUCAAGGGAGAUGCUCGGCCUGAAGAUAAAACCGAUAGAUUUUUACGACAAAGGCAAGAAAGUGCUGUGGCUAGACUUCAAGGAUAUAUACGAGGUGUACCAUCAUGAUGCCCUGGAUGUCUCUCUGAUCAGUGCUUGGGUUCUGUAAGUGUCCGUUUAUCUCUACAUGUAAAUUUUGGUGUGCGUCACCAUACUAACUUCAUCUUCCAUUUUAUGUAGGAUGAUAAUUCACACGUGCCGACGAGAGGCGUACCUACAUAUAGGCUUCAUGGAUCCAUCUGUAGUUAACCAACAACAGAUACAAUUAGUGCCGAAAAAAACCUUGGUAGAAGUAUACAAUUUCCUAGACAAACAAACAUUCAAGGAUUUCAUACUACUUCCAUACAACUUCAAGUAAGUGUGUGUAUACCGUCUACUUUUGUUGUCUUUUUCCUUAUCUCUACAUGUUAGUUAGCUCUAAUAUGCAUGAACAUUUUACGUACGCAGCUUCCACUGGAUCCUUAUUAUAAUUGAGCCUGAAAGAAGCCACGUCACUGUCUUCGAUUCGUUGAGGAAAGAUCCGGUGGAGUACCAAGACAUGCAAGACAUGCUAGGCUUGUAAUAAUUCUGGACCUUUAUCUCUAUACAAAAGUUUGUUUCCUAAAUUUUAUCCCUGUUACACUAUAUCAUUCAUUAUUCUAAUCCGCGACGUAUGGAAACAAUUCAUAAGGACACAUAAAGGUCCAUUCAAAGAAAAACUUACAUGGAACACAGACUUCCCGGUACGUAUGAAGUCUGCACAUUUAUUACAUUGUAACGAAUAUUUCAUAACUUAUUUUUUUCCGCACUGAAGUGCUUAAGACAGGAACCCGGGAAUAAUCUAUGUGACUACUACAUCUGUGAGCACAUGCACAGUUUUAUGGGACCCAAGGGACUAAAGAUGAUGCCGCACAACUUUAAAGUACGUAAAAUAAAACUAUUACUGGUUAAUUAUUUUUUUAGCUCCUUGUACUUAUUUGUUCGUGUAACAUUCACAAAUUUCCAAAUUAUAGAUAUUAAAUAUUCAACAAGGACUCUUGAAGGAAGAAAGAGUAGCGGCAAUAUGUGAAGGUCUCAUUGGAUUCCUAAUGGACGAGGUGGUAAAUCAAAAAGGAGAAUUUUAUUACACGCUCCGAUCAGCAACACCUCGAUGGGAAGAUUGUAGAUAUAUACUUUGAUUUAUUUGUAUAUAUAAUACGUGCUAAUUAUGAUUGAUUUGUACUAGUUGAAUUGUGUAUAUAUAUAGUAAUUGUAUAAUUACAAAUCUCAUUCGUUUAAAUACUAGUUGAUUUCAUUCUAAAAAAAAUCUCAACUACUAAAGGUUAACAAAAGGGCCGCGGUACUAUGUAUGUGAUGCAUGCAUGAAAAUUUCAGGCGCCAGGCAGGGUGCCAUGCAGGGCGCCAUUUAGUCCCGGUUGGAUUCCAACCGGGACUAAAGGGGCACCCUUUACUCCCGGUUGCUUUUACCAACCGGGACUAAAGGGGCACCCUUUACUCCCGGUUGCUUUUACCAACUGGGAGUAAAGGGCCAAUGGCAGGCCCUUUAGUCCCGGUUGGUGACACCCGGUUGAAAGACCCGGGACUAAAGACCCCCCCUUUUGUCCCGGUUGGUUUAUCCCGGAUGGAUUUUCGGGAGAUAGGCACCCUACCAACCGGGACUAAAGGCCGAUCUAUGUUCAUUUUCUUUUUGUAAAAGGGGGUUUGAACUUGGGAGUCUCACAGCAGUGCUUCCAAUGGUUGAAUUUAUGUAUAGGCCAUAUUUCCAUAAAGGUUUGUCCUCAUUAAUUUAUUGUAAAGCUAGCCAAAAAUCUGACAUGACACCUAAUUAUGUUACUACUCCAUUAGGAAUAGCCUUGUCACUCAGCAAUGAUAAGUGUAUCUCCGAGUAAUGAUAAGUGCUCGUAUUUUCGGCUAAUUUUUCUUAUAGUUAUCGGUGAUAGAUAGAUACUUGCAUUGUAUUGUUUUCCUUUAAAAGGGGAUAAACCUUGGUUUGCAUCUUGCCUUUAUUAUUAUAGGGAACCAAACCAAACUAAACUAAAAUAGUAGAUGUGUUCCUGUAUUCAAUAUAUUGGGAGUGUACACCCCAACCAUUAAACUUAUAUCGAGAAAUCAAUUGAUUUACAUUCAUUUUCCUCCUAAGUCCAUUGGAGUUCUCUUUUUGUCUCAAAGGGUACAUCUUUGGUUCAAAAAGCUAGAAAUAGCCUUCACCGCCGGGGCAUCACCGCUGGUUUUGCGUAGUCCAGCGGUGAUAGCACAUUACAGCCGGGCCAAACGGUAGUGCAGGUGUUAGAAACAAAAACUGACAGUGAUGUCCCCCUUCACCACAGGCUCAUGGUUCAAACCAGCAGUGAAUGUAUCACCGCUGGCUCAUAACAAGGGCCGACGAUGAUAGCCCCACACAGUACAAAAGCCCCUUCCCUCCCCUCCUCCUUCCAAUACCAAAUGCCCUCCUCUCCUUCCUCUAUUGUUGCGGCCAUAUUUCCUCCAAUUGCUCAAGAAAACUCCCAUUUUUGAAGGAUACAUGUUAACAUCUGAUUUUGAAGUUGGUAAAUAGCAAUCCUUUAAAUUCUUAGCUUGUUUCUUUGGCUAGUUUUUGAAAUUUGGCAUGAAUUUGAUGGAGAGGGUGUCUUGCUUCAUUUUAGAGCUCAUUUGUGGUGAAAUUUCAAUAGAGUGAGCCAAAAUUUGAAGGUUGCUCAUCACCAUCUUGCUUGAAGGUUAGUAUCUUGCUCAUCACUCCAUGUAUGUUUAGUUAGAUUGUUGCAAAAUUGAGGAAAUGUCAUGGAGAGGCUCUUUCUUGACUUUAGGCUAUUUUUGAGCAAUUUCUUGAUGGAUGUUCCAAAAAGUUUGAAGUUAUCACAAAACCUCGUAUGAUUUAAGGUUAGUAUGUAGCCUCUUUUGAAAUUGGUAGCUUGUAUGGUUUGCCUAGUUAGAUUGUUACAAAAUUGUGAAGAAUGUGAUGGAGAGGAUCUUUCUUGUCUCUACGCAAUUUUUGAGGAAUUUCUUCAUGGAUCUCACAAAAGUGUGAAGUUAGCAUAAAAACUCACAUAAUUUAAGGUGUGUAUGAAGCUUCUUUUGUAAUUAGUAGUUCGUAUGCUUUGCCUAGUUAGAUUGUUGCAAAAAUGAGAAGAUUGUGAUGGGGAGGCUCUUUCUUAUCUCUAGGCUAUUUUUGAGGAAUUUCGUCAUAGAUGCUAUAUAAGUGUGAAGUUAGCAUAAAAACUCACGUGAUUUAAGGUGUGUACGAAGCUUAUUUUGCCUAGUAGAGAAGGGGGGCAAACGCUUUUUCAUAUGAAGUCUGCUUGAGAAUCUUAACAGACAUGAACGGUGAGCACACUAGCUAUAUGUAUUGAAUAAACUCAAUAGAAGUACCCUACAAAAUGCCUUUUCUAACGCUGAUCUUUUAAGCAGCAAAACUCAUUUUAUCGGAUGUAUUAUUGACUGAUCAAGUGCAUGAUACAUAUAUAUGGAAACUCACAUGACUGACUGACCCAAAGUUGAGGCUAUAAAAGAACAUAUGUGCAACAUGUGACUGGCACAAGCACACAGGACCAUGGAAUCUGGAUCAAAGGGGAACGUGCACGGUGCAGACUCGACAUUAUAGAUGAUUAUUGACACUGGAGAGCCACAAUUAUUCGGACGAACAAACAUGAAAAAUGGCAGGCUUCACGGCAGCAGAACUCAGAUGUUCGUGCAAUUGCUGUUGCAGCCGUUGAUGCAAGGGUCCCAGCAAUGCUGGUAGACAUAGGACUGGCAGCUAGUAUAUCCACUGUCAGUGGCUUUGCGGCAGAUGCUGCUGCAGUAACUACUGCAGUCGGUGCCACGGCAGCCGCUGUUGCAGGAACCCAAGCACUGCUGAUACUUGGUGGUCCUGAUACUCUCGCAUGAGCUGCUAACUUGGGCAUUGCACGUCGAGGUACAUUGGGAGGCACAGUCACUGCAGUAUGUCGCCGUCAUCGGAGGCACCAACGUAGACAUCACCAGCACAACGCACACAACCACAACAGCAGGCCCUUUAAGAGCAGCAGCAGUGGGAGCCAUAUUGUAUAUAUGAGGCUGAUAGAGCAAAUAAUACUAAGUUGAAAGGAAGGUCGGUUGAGCAAGAGAAUAAAAGGCAAUACGCCGCUAGCUAUAGGAAGGGAGGAUGGGAGAGCAGCUUUAGGUGGUGACCUUAGGGUGGUUCAUUAGGUGCUUUUUAUAGGCAUCAAACACGAUCGAGGACCAUGUAUAGGAGCUACACCUAGGAAAGCUGUAAAUUGAAGCUGGUUACAAGUUGAGACUUUACAUGCUUAUACAUACGUAGCAAGUUGAGCUUCUUGCUUGGAAAAUUUGCACCAUGUUACAAGUUGACUUCAAAAGGAGUAUAUAUAUGAACAACUUUCCCAUUCAUCGCGUAUAUGUUAGGCUUUAUGGCUCUUGUAUACAUAGCAAUUUACAGAUGUGCAGUUUCCAUAAAGAUCAAUAGGGCACUGACUAAUAUUUUGGAAAUCAUAGACAAGUAGUAGGCCCAGGAAAAGAACAUUUAAUUACUUGAAUUGCUUAAUAACUUUUAUAAUAUUAUGGUAUGUUAGCUAAUUAGAAUAACUAACUGAAUGCAGAAGGUGACAUACACUCAGUUUCACUGGCAUGCAGUCGUAUAGUGACAUUUUGGAAGCUUGGGAUAUGUAGAUGUGUACCACAAUCCAGGAUAUUGCAGUGCACAUGCAGUAGGAUCCAUCUUAUCUGUAAAUUGCUUUUCACUUGCGUACAAUUUGCUUUCAUCUUUUUAUUUAAAACGUGUUUCAUCUAACCUUUAAGACCAUAGCUCUCAUGCUACAUUGAUUAACCCAAGAAAAACCUCUAAAUAUGUUGCCUAUGCAUUAAUUAAUGCGGACAGCCAUGUAUAGAAAAACCAUCCAUCGAUAUGAAAGGUAAGGAAACUCCAGCCAAAUGGGUGGGAAUAUAAUGAUAGCUAGCUCACCCUUCGUUACAGAUCAUUGGAAAACUUCUUCAGUCCCAAUACCGCUACCCGACUCUCUAGGACAGCAGUUGCAGUGGUCACUCCAUGUCUGUCAAAUGGUUCAACGAAAAUAAUUCCAGAAACUGAAAUUUUAGAAUCUCUUAAAUUUGCUCUGAUCCUUUAUCGAUCAAAUGAAGUUUCACAAAAGCUGGUGACAAAUAUGAUCUUGAUAGAGUAACAUACGUGUUGUGCAAUUAUAAACAAGUACAAGAAGCCCAUCCUACUCCAUAUUGGCCUAGUUUAUUUAGACUAGUUUACAGAUAUGAUACUACUUCACGCCGCCUUUGCUGACCUGCAGAUAAGAAAAUUGAGACUGAAGAAAUGAACCAACCUUGCUUCAAGGGUUAUGUUGGCUGUAUGUACACGAGAACUAUAGAAGGUAUAGCACGGAGAAGCUGAUGAGACAGCAAAGAACUGAUCCAAAAUGCAGCACACCUUAAUGUUCUCAUGACAAAUAUAGCACUGCACUCUCACCGCCACGGUGGUGCACAGUGCAAAUGAACAAGCUGCCUAUUUAGUUACCAAAUGAAUAAUGCAAUAUAUGUAUUUUCAACCACAUCAAAUAUUUAGUUAUCUCUAACUUUACUAUACAUGUAGAUGGGUAGUUGACAUGAACUUUGACCAAGUUAUAGGUUGACUUGAAGAGUAGUAGUCAACUUGUCCUCCACUUCACAAGUAUGCCUAUUGAGUGAAUUUCAGUUCGAUAUGAUGGCACUAGCGAUGCAAAUAAAUAGGAAUACUAUUUCAUAAUAACCCAUUGGGACAGCUCAUGAACCCAUUGAGGAAAAUAUUUGCUACUGGUCUCUGAAUUCUUACUGAUGUUCUUGAAAGAAAAGGAGGAAACGUGGUUGCCUAUCUUGGCUCACCACAAGUGCAUGUUUAUAUAGGAGCAACUGCUCAAGAGAUAUACAAGGUAUUGUCAUCGUAUGGAACUCGGAUACCUUUUACAAAAGACUUAUCUCUAAUCUAUCUCUAAGUAUCCGAAUCAACUAAGCAUGUCAGAGUUUGAUCUGUUUACACAAGAUAUUCUAUUCUAACAUCCUCCCUCAAUCUAAACUCCUUUUGCGCUUGAGAUUUAGAUUGCUCUUGAAUUCUUGAAGUUUUCCAACUGGCAAAGCUUUAGUGAAACCAUCAGCAAUCUGGUCAUUAGUAGAAAUAAACCUGACCUGCAAUUGCUUCUUUAUUACUCGUUCUCUCACAAAAUGAAAAUCAAUUUCUAUAUGCUUCGUUCUAGCAUGGAACACUGGAUUUGCAGAUAAGUAGGUUGCUCCCAAAUUAUCACACCAUAAGACAGGUGGUUGCGCCAACUUGAUUCCAAGUUCACCGAGCAAAGACUCCAUCCAGAUUAAUUCAGCCGUGGCAUUGGCCAUGGAUUUGUACUCUGCCUCAGUACUCGAUCUUGAAACAGUAGGUUGCUUUCGAGCACUCCAAGAUAUGAGAUUAGAACCCAAAAAUACUGCAAAGCCACCAGUAGACCUUCUAUCAUCAACACUACCAGCCCAAUCCGCAUCAGAGAAAGCACUCAAGACCAAUGACGCAGAUUUUUCAAUGUUCAAACCAAUGUCCAUAGUAUUACGAACAUACCGGAGGAUCCUUUUAACAGCUGUCCAGUGAACGCUAGUAGGUGCAUGCAAAAAUUGACAUACCUUAUUAACCGAAAAAGCCAAGUCAGGUCCAGUAAGUGUGAGAUACUGCAAUGCUCCAACUACGCUCCUGUAUCGUGUGCUAUCUUCAGUAUUUAACAAUUCUCCUUCAUAGCUUGAAAGCUUUUCUGAAACUGAUAAUGGUGUGGGCGCCACCUUGCAGUUCAUCAUACCCACUCUAGUCAAGAUUUCUUGGGCAUAUUUUUCUUGAGACAACAACAAACCGUGACUAUCUCGUUUCACUUCUAUUCCCAAAAAGUAAUGCAAAUCUCCAAGGUCUUUUAACGCAAAGUCCUUCUUUAAAUCAAGUAAUAAUGCUGCCAUGGCUUCGUCAGAUGAACUAGUAACAAUAAUGUCAUCCACAUAUAUAAGCAUAUAAAUAGUGAUUCCAGACUUCUGAUAAAUAAAUAAAGAAGUGUCUGAUUUUGAAGCUCUAAAGCCGAGAUGAAUUAACUGAGAGCUGAGUCUAGAGUACCAGGCCCUUGGCGCUUGCUUCAAACCAUAUAUAGCUUUAUCAAGCUUGCAUACCAAGUGAGGAUCAUGAGCACUCUCAAAACCUGGAGGCUGCUUCAUAUAGACCUCCUCUUCCAGAACGCCAUGUAUAAACGCAUUCUGAACAUCCAAUUGCUUUAAACACCAAUUCCUGGACAUGGCAAUGGAUAGAACAAGUCGCACUGUAGCAAUUUUGACAACUGGACUAAACGUAUCUUCAUAAUCAAUGCCAUAGCGUUGUUUGAAUCCUUUUGCCACCAACUGUGCUUUAUAUCUAUCAAUUGUUCCAUCUGCCUUCCUUUUAAUUUUGUAAACCCACUUACAAUCGAUUAGAUUGCUUCCUUGCUUUGCUUCAACAAGAUGCCAAGUCUGAUUUCUCAUUAACGCUGAAUACUCCUCUUGCAUUGCCUUUUUCCACUUGGGAUCACAUAAAGCUUCUUGCAAAUUUUCUGGUUCACCAGUAGCACAGAAAUUAAGCCAUCUAAUUGUUCCAUCAGUGAAAGACUUGGGUUUCACAAUGCCAUGUUGGAACAGUGUGCGCCGGCGCGGAGCAGAAGCUUCAGCUGGCGCGGCCAGAGACAACUGCACGGAAGAUUCAGGGACUCCAGGCGCUGAUGCGUGAGACUGUGAUGCUGACACGGACGGGUGAGACGUGGGCGCUGCUGCUGACGCGUGAGGCUCUGGUGCGGACGCUGCUGGCGAAGAUGGACUGGUGCAUACAGACACUAAGUUGGGUGCAGUUGCGGACGCAGGAGCUGCCCCCCCACAGACCUUGCUGCCAUUGGCUGGAGCCGUAGGACACGUCGUGACGCCUGGGACUUCAUGCGCCUGGGAGUUGUGGCCGUCCAAGCCAUGCACCGUACCAGCCUGGGAGGUGUGUCCGUCCAAGGUUCCUGUUGGAUGUACUGUUUCUUCACAAUUAGCGUCAAAAGCUAAUGGGGGUAUUGUUUCAGAAGUUGUUGGGGGUACUGUUUCUUCACCGUUUUGCACCACAUUUUCUGGACCUGUGUCUUACUCAUGAUCAAAAUCAUCACUAGAGAUAUUAGUAGCAUUAGUAAAACAACUUACACCCCCUGGAUUUAAGAGAUAACUAGGAAGAAGCACAAUUUCUUUGCGAAGCUGCGCCCCGGCAUUUGGAUGAAGCUGGGCAAACGGAAAGACGUCCUCAUCGAAAACCACAUCCCUAGAGAUGUAUAUCCGACCAGAAGACACAUCGAGGCACUUGAACCCCUUAUGUAUGAAGCUGUAACCCAGGAAAACACAUCGUAUAGAUCGGAAAGCUAAUUUGUGGCGAUUGUAGGGGCGAAGAUUUGGCCAGCAGGCGCAGCCAAAAGUCUGAAGGGAUGUGUAGGAAGGUUUCUCUUGAAGAAGACGCUCAUGAGGUGUUUGGAAACUAAUGACUUUGCUAGGGAGUAGAUUUAUGAGAUACGUGGCAGUUAGGAAAGCAUUAUCCCAAUAUUUCAAUGGCAUAGAUGCAUUAGCAAGAAGAGCAAGACCAACCUCAACUAUGUGACGAUGCUUUCUUUCAGCGGUACCGUUUUGUUGGUGUGCAUGGGGACAAGAAACUUGAUGAGAAAUACCAAUGCGUUGGAAGAAAGAAUUUAAUUUUUCAUAUUCUCCCCCCCAAUCUGAUUGCAUGGCUUUAAUUUUUCUACUGAAUUUCCUCUCAACAAGCUGUUGAAAAUCCUGAAAGACUUGAAACACAUCAGAUUUUUUCUUGAUGAGAUAUAUCCAAGUAUAUUUGCUAAAAUCAUCGAUGAAACUAACGUAAUAUGUGUGCCGUCCUAUAGACAUGGGCGCCGGGCCCCACACGUCUGAAAAGAUCAAAUCAAGAGGAAAUUUGGAGGUACUGCUCGAAAUAGGGUGUGGCAAUUGAUGGCUCUUGGCCAAUUGACAAGAAUUACAGAUGGAAUAUGAAUUUUUAUUGCUAUCAAAAGGCAGAUUAUUUGAACUAAGAAUUUUUUCUACAAUCGAGAAUGCUGGAUGACCAAGCCGACUAUGCCAUCUAGAAGUGGAUGGCUUGCUAACUCCAAGGACUUGUUUAUUGCAACUUCCAUGGGACAGCCAUGACUGUAGAGGAUAGAGACCUCCCCGAUAUCUACCUUGAUGCAGAAUUUUCUUUGUUUCCUGAUCCUUAAUAAAAAAGAAAUUUGGAUGAAAUUCGAGAAAGGCAUCAUUAUCUUUAGCAAGUUUGUGGACGGAAACUAGACUUUUGCUGGCGCUAGGAACAUGAAGAAUAUUUUUAAGGUGUAGAUCUUUGCUAGGGGUAUGUAAAGUUGUAUGACCAAUGUUACUAAUUCUCAUACCUGAACCGUUUGCAGCAUGAACUUGAUCACGUCCAUUGUACUUGUCGUGGAUCGUCAUCUUCUCAAGUGCACCAGUAACAUGAUCAGAGGCUCCACUGUCGACAUACCAAUUUGUGUCGUAACCGUAACCAGUGGUAGCCACCCCCGCAAUUUUGUAGUCUUGCUGUUGUUCUUCAUCUUCAUCAUAUCUAUACCAACACCUUGAUGCUUCAUGUCCUCCCUUCUUGCAGAUCUGACAUACGAUCUUGGUGUUGUAGCUUCCUUGCUUUGGUGCGUUGCUUGGACCAUAAUUGCCACGAUUUUGAUUUCCACCGCGGCCUCUAUUGCUCCUACCUCGGCCACGGCCAGAACCACGACCGCGACCUCGCCCUCUCCCAGCCAUGUUAGCAGAUGACUGAUAUUGUCCACCUUCAUGAUACAUCUCCAGGCGCAUAUCAUAGGCUAAGAGCUGAGAGUAUAAUUCACUCAAAGAAACAGAUCCAACGCGACCAAGCAUAGAUGACACAAACGGAUUAUACUCAAAAUCAAGACCGUUUAGAAUAAAGUGAGCCAUCUCGUCGUCGUCGAUCACCUUGCCAACUGCAGCUAGCUCAUCCUUGAAAGCACACAUCUUGGUGUAGUAUUGUGACGAGGUCAUGUUGCCCUUCUUAGUUGUAGAGAGCAUCAUGCGUAGAUUGGAGAUUCUCGCCUUGGAGUGUGCCGAGAACAUAGCUUCAAGCGCCUCCCAUGCUUGUGCCGAGGUCGUCGCCGUUGCCACUGACGCCAACGCCUCCUUCGUAAGGGAAUUCAGCAGAUAGCUCAGAAUUUGUUGAUCUUUUGCAACCCACAAAUCAUAGUCGGGGUUGUGGACACUCUCCUUCGUCUUGUCCGCCGUAAUCACCUCCACGGUCUUGGGUGGCUCAGGAAUAGAUCCAUCUAGGAUUCCCAUGAGUUGAGCUCCUCGAAUUGCAGGAAGAAAUUGAGCCUUCCAUAGCAGGUAGUUGUCACGAGUUAGUUUCUCUGUGACAACUCUUGGCGCCGGCAUAGCUGUUGAUGUUGACGCCAUGGAUGAUGUUGAGAUGUUUCUGGCGCAGGGGGCAGAUUGCUAGUGCAAGCAGCAAGUUAACUGGCGCAAGCAGUAGGCAAGCAGCAGCAGGUUACUGACGCAGGGGAUCUAGCACAGGGGCAGAUUGACGCACGAAGCAGCUUGGCGCAGGAAUUUUGAGGCAAGGAUUUUGUGGAUGUUUAGGAAGAGGAUGCUCUGAUACCAUGAAAGAAAAGGAGGAAACGUGGUUGCCUAUCUUGGCUCACCACGGGUGCAUGUUUAUAUAGGAGCAACUGCUCAAGAGAUAUACAAGGUAUUGUCAUCGUAUGGAACUCGGAUACCUUUUACAAAAGACUUAUCUCUAAUCUAUCUCUAAGUAUCCGAAUCAACUAAGCAUGUCAGAGUUUGAUCUGUUUACACAAGAUAUUCUAUUCUAACAGUUCUUCCUUGCUCCGAACAUCUCAAUGAUCAGCAUUCCGCAACUAUAGACAUCAGACUUGGUAUAUAUUGAGUAACGUAGCUGAUGGCUCUGCUUUCACCAUCAGAUAUAUAAUGCUCUGUUUUAUCAUUCAAAAUUUUGCCAUCCAAAACCUGAGAUUUUUGGCAGAAAUCUUGGUCCAAAGUUCACCUGGUGUCGCAUUAUGGUAAGUUGAAGUAACACAUUAAGUGCAUGCCCAUUGGUUUCCUACAAUCACGAAAUCAGAGAUGUUGCAUGGGCUUUUUCAAUGUUGCAAAAAACUUCUUUUCUGAUGCAACCUUUUUUUAGUGCCGAAUUACUAUAUGGAAGAUGUUACUUUAUGAUUUUUUUAAUGUUGCAACAUGACAUUUUGAGUGUUGCAACACUCUCCUUUAGCUAUAGCAAGAUUAUGGCUGGAUGUUUCUUGAAACAUGAUGCAUUGUUGCAGAGGAAAUUUUCUAUUCUAGAACCGAAUGACAAAAGGUCAUUUUAAUGAAGGAUUUUAAUAUAUUUUUGUGAGUGUUAAUUUCCGAUGUUGUAACUAUUACUUUUCCAGGUCGUGAUAGGCGAUUGUUGCCUUCGCAUUUCGUGACAGGCUUGUUCAUUGAUUUUAUUCUAGCACAAGUUUGUUAGCAUUCAAGCAUUUCAGUGUUCUCUUCAAUUCCAUGAUCUGUUCUAUUUAUGAGACUUGUUGGAACCCCAAUUAACCCAAGUGUGUGUAAGUAAAUUUUACAGUAUGUGUACAUCUCUAUUUGGUUUAUUGUGUACAAGUAAUUAUGUAUGUCAACUCUCAUCUUAUACCACGGUUGAUAAUGAUAAGCUUUGUACUUAUGUCAAUUUGUAUGUGAGGGUGGUGAAAGACAGUAAUUUAUACACUCAUCACACAUGAAGUCAUUGUCAGUUUGUCCUUAAGUCAACUGGUGCAUGAGGAAUCGAGUUAGAGACUAGAACUGCACACACAUAUAGUACACCCUUCUUGUCAUCAACUUGUAUCACAAUACAAGUUACUUGUAUGUGAAUUGUCAACAUGUAAGAUGGUCAAAUUUCCAUAUAUAGAUUCCGCCAUCUACACUAUUAAUAAUUAAUUCAAUUCGCUCAGUUUCCCUGUAGCAAUAGACGUCGUUCAUUGAUAUCCUUCCAUCACAAGUUUGUCAGCAUUCAAGCAAUUCAGUUUUUCCAUGAAUUCCAUCAGCUGUUCUAUGAGCACUUGUUUUUGCACCCAAAUGAACUCAAGAUUGUCCGAGUAAAUUUUACUUUAAGUGUACAUCUUUGUGGUUUACUGCAUACAAGUACUUAUGUAUGUCAACUCUCAUAAUGCACCUUGGUUGAUCAUGAUAAUCUUGUACUUAUGUCAACUUGUACGUUUCGUGAGGAAUGGAGCAAGAGACUAGCUAGUAUUGUACACUCAUCUUGCCAUCAACAACUUGUCAACUUGUAACAUGGUCAAUACAAGUUACAUGUAUGCCAUUUCUCAACUUGUAACAUGGUCAAAUUUUCAUAUUUAGGUGCCACUAUCUACAUUAUUAAUAAGUAGUCAUAGAUUGCUAUACAGAUCUUUUAUUUGGUCUACAAGUACAUGCCUAUAAAUUGGAUCGAGUGCUCCAUCAAACAUGCACAGUUAACCAGCUUCUUCCCAUUUCCCAAGCUAGUAGCUAACUUUUUCUUCCAUAAUCCACGAGAACUGCAUACAAUGGCCGUAGUUACUGUCACUCGUAAGGAGACCACAAUUGUCGCCAUGAGCAUUGUGUUGAUUCUGUGUUGGUUAGGGCAGUCGGCGACUGCGACAUAUUGCAGUGAUUACUGUGCCUCCAUGUGCAUGUCGGUGUGCAACGAUGCCGCUUCCAGCUCUUGCGGUAACGUUAAGAACACAGUUAUGCAACAGUGUGUGCCCUCCUGCUCCAGCAGCUGCAGCAGAUCCUGCAGCGCAUGCAACUGUUUGGGUACAUGCACCGGCAUCUGCAGUAACGCAGCCGAUAGUGCAUACGGCAAUUGCCGGUCCUCAGUCCUCCAGCAGUGCUCCAACGGCUGCAACAGCGGCUGCAACAGCAACUGCAGGAACUAGCCCCCUCGUGGCCCCAUGAGCCGCGCCUCGCGUGCUUUAACGGAUGAAUCGUCGGCAUGCGUUGAUUAUUGUGUUUAUUUGUGUUUGUAUCGUCAAAAUAUAUACAGUUGUGUUACCGUUCAAGUGUGUGAAAAUGUGUAAGAAUGGCGUGUCAAGUCUACAAGUUGUUGUCCAUGUUAGUUUGCAUGGUCCGGUAAUCAGUUGUACUGUGUUGAGUCAAUAAACAUGUCAGUGAAAACAACUGGAUGGAGCUGCCUUCUCAGCCACGUGACAAAACUUUUCGUGUAUUCUUCUUCCAGUAAUACAACCUUAGAAGGCUUAUAGAGUGUGUUCUUUCCUUCCUCUUCGAUCUGGUAAAUAUUACCCAUUUCCAUUUCCUACUGUCGUAGUUUUUCAACCAGUGAUUUUCAUUCUCAAAGUGUAGAAAUGGGAUUCUAGGAGCGCCAACCAGUACUAGAGAAAAAGCCAUCACUGCCAGUUUUCGAUGAACCGGCGGUGAUGAGUUAUCACCGUCGGAUUUUUACACAAUCUGACGGUGAAAAUUGGAACCGGCAGUGAUGAUAUACCAUCAUCGCCGAUUUGUAUUACAGCCGGCGCUGAUAGCUUGGGGACCGAACCCAAAAUUUUUAUACACUGGAUUUUGAGGUCCACUAGUGUUCGCUCAUCUCCGUCACCCGGCCACCUCUAUCUCUUAUCCUCCUCCCUCCUCCCUCUACCAGCCACAGCCGGUUCCAGGAGGUGUCAGUGGGGAUUUGUUUUUUAAAUGGCAUCACAGCCGGUUCUAGUCCAACGGUGAUGGGUCACCACUGACCUUUAUCUGAAAAACCUAGAACCGACUGUGAUGGAGGUCAGCUAGGUCCGACGGUGAUGGGUCACCACUGACCUUUAUCUGACGAACCUAGAACCGACUGUAAUGGGGGUCUAGGCUGGCUGUGAUGGGUAGUAGUGAAACGAUUUUGUGACUAGGACUGACAUAGCUGUUAAUGUUAAACGUUGAUGAGAACAACAGCCCAUGGUUUGUCUAUGAGACAAAAAGAAGUAUAUAUUAGGGAUGGUCACCUCACAAUUCUGUUUCUGAAAAAUUUGUGUGAGACCUGGUCCUACCUGUGUCAUUAGCCAUAUAGACUGUCACAAAUAAAAUUUUAAGCUCCAAUUUUAAUAAAAUUAUGAGCUUCAAAUAAGUUAUUUGUAAAGAUAUACCCAUCAUGUACUCACAUGCAAAAGCCUAACUUGGAACACGUAGAACAUCCAGAAAAAAUUAGAAUGCAUUGCACUCCUGCAGCUUGUUCAAGCGAAAGCACAACACUUUUGUGGAUGAUGUACUUUUGUCCCCAAAAGUGUGCCUAGAGAUUCACUGCCUUUAUCUAGCAAACAACUAAGAACAAAAACCUGUACGUGACAUGAACCUAGUUAUAGCAGGAAUGAAAGGAAAUUGAGUAAAUAUAAUAAGCAUGUAUUCUACCUCCACUUUAAAUGUAGGGUGCGUGGUUUGAUCUGUUCCAGUAUGCAACGCCACAUUUUCACCAUUAAAGACCACUACUAUAGAAAUGAUUUUUCAAGACAUGGUACCACAACGAGCAUGUUUUUCUCUGUUUGGAAGUUCAUAGGUAAAUGGGAGCUUUAUUUUUCUUGAAACAAUCAGAACAGCGGCAGAUUAUAUUUUAUAUUAAAAAGAAGAUGAAAAUACAGAUUGGACGAUAAAAAAUACUAGGAAAAGUAACAACUUGACGACAUUAAGUAACUCACAACAACCCAACAGCAAGCAAUUCAACAAAACACGCGCCUCACUACUCCAACGCUCAGCCGCAGUAAACACCACAAAUCAAAAUAUCACCUUCCGAUGCUGCUUGAUUGUUCCAUCAACCGCUAGGUGGAAGCUCACGUGCCGAUUAAGGUUUGAUCUUGGAUGGUGUAGUACCAAAUGAACAUGGGGUAACCCCAUACAAUUGCUUGUCAUUGGGCUCCAGUUGGCUUCACGGAAUCUCCUCGGAGACAAUAGCUCUGACAAAAAAAAACUAUUUUCAAUGAACUUUCUCCUUCAAGGAAAACACAAUUUGCGUAGCGGUUAUUAGAUCUUUGAUAAAUUACCGUACCAUCGAGUAUCUUCUCGGAUUGGUCACAACUAGAGGACAAUCUCGUUGGUAAAAUGUGACGGAAUUUUAACAUCAGCUACUUUAUGACGCUUGGCUCUUGUGGUGGAAAUGAACGUAUACUUAUCUUUUGACUGCCUUAUAUAUGUUGUCUGCUGGAAUAAUAAUAGGCUAACCCUCCAAACAUAAUGCUAACGUUGCAUCGUCACGAAAAUUCGGGGCGGUGACCUUGCCCUUAGUGUUGUGUCCUCAUUGUCAUUUUUAUUCAGAGUUCUCCACAGCGAGUCGGCCGAGCAUAGCCACCACUGCAUCCUUCUCGCCACCUCGUUGGGUGCUGCUGGCAUAUGGUGGCCAUGCAUUUGCCUUAUUCAGGGAUGGCAGAGUGGAGGAGGUUGAGGCUGAUGGUCACCUCCAAGCACUUAUCCCCGAUGCUGGCCUCCUACUCCUCUUUUGGUGCGUGGAACUGCAGAUAUCGAUUGAAUCCGCGAUUCUCCACUAGUAGAGAAUUGGCCUUUAGUCCCGGUUGGUAAGGUGCAUAUCUCCCGAAAAUCCAUCUGGGAUAAACCAACCAGGAUAAAAGGGGGGGUCUUUAGUCCCAGGUCUUUCAACCGGGAGUAAAGGUCACCCUUUAGUCCCGGUUGGUGUCACCAACCGGGACUAAAGGGCCUGCCACGCCAAGCGCGGGACAGGCCCUUUACUCCCGGUUGGGAAACCCAACCGGGACUAAAGGCGCCCCUUUAGUCCCGGUUGGGUUUCCCAACCGGGAGUAAAGGGUUACCCUUUAGUCCCGGUUGGAUUCCAACCGGGACUAAAAUGGCGCCCUGCAUGGCACCUUCCUGGCGCCUGAAUUUUUCAUGCAUGCAUCACGUACGUAGUACCGCGGUCCUUUUGUUAAUCUUUAGUAGUUGAGAUUUUUUUUGAAUGAAAUCAACUAGUAUUUAAACGAAUGGGAUUUGUAAUUAUACAAUUACUAUAUAUAUACACAAUUCUUAUACGUAAUUGAUAUACACAAUUCAAAUAGUACAAAUCGAUCAUAAUUAGCGCGUAUUAUAUAUACAAAUAAAUCAAAGUAUAUAUCUACAAUCUUCCCGUCGAGGUGUUGCUGAUCGGAGUGUCUAAUUGUCGUCCAUCGUAAUAAAAUUCUCCUUUUGGAUCUACCACCUUGUCCAUUAGGAAUCCAAUGAGACCUUCACAUAUUGCCGCUACUCUUUCUUCCUUCAAGAGUCCUUGUUGAAUAUUUAACAUCUAUAAUUUGGAAAUUUGUGAAUGUUACGCGAACAAAUACAUAUAAGGAGCUAGAAAAUAAUUAAAUAGUAAUAGUUUUAUUUUAUGUACUUUAAAGUUGUGCGGCGUCAUCUUUAGUCCCUUGGGUCCCAUAAAACUGUGCAUGUGCUCACAGAUGUAGUAGCCACAUAGAUUAUUUCCGGGUUCCUGUCUUAAGCACUUCAGUGUGGAAAAAAAUAAGUUAUGAAAUAUUCGUGUUAUACAAUGUAAUAAAUGUGCAGACUUCAUACGUACCGGGAAGUCUGUGUUACAUGUAAGUUUUUCUUUGAAUGGACCUUUGUGUGUCCUUAUGAAUUGUUUCCAUACGCUGCGGAUUAGAAUAAUGAAUGAUAUAGUGUAACAGGGAUAAAAUUUAGGAAAUAAACUUUUGCAUAGAGAUAAAGGUCCAGAAUUAUUACAAGCCUAGCAUGUCUUGCAUUUCUUGGUACUCCACCAGAUCUUUCCUCAACGAAUCGAAGACAGUGACGUGGCUUCUUUCAGGCUCAAUUAUAAUAAGGAUCCAGUGGAAGCAGGCUCAAUUAUAAUAAGGAUCCAGUGGAAGCUGCGUGCGUAAAAUGUUCAUGCAUAUUAGAGCUAACUAACAUGUAGAGAUAAGGAAAAAGACAUCGAAAGUAGACGGUAUACACACACUUACUUGAAGUUGUAUGGAAGUAGUAUGAAAUCCUUGAAUCUUUGUUUGUCUAGGAAAUUUUAUACUUCCACCAAGGUUUUUUCCGGCGCUAAUUGUAUCGGUUGUUGGUUAACUACAGAUGGAUCCAUGAAUCCUAUAUGUAGGUACGCCUCUCGACGGCAUGUUUGAAUUAGCAUCCUACAUGAAAUGGAAGACGAAGUUAGUACGGUGACGCACGCCAAAAUUUACAUGUAGAGAUAAACGGACACUUACAGAACCCAAGCGCUGAUCAGAGAGACGUCCAGGGCAUCAUGAUGGUACACUUCGUAUAUAUCCUUGAAGUCUAGCCACAGCACUUUCUCGCCUUCGCCGUAAAAAUCUAUCGGUUUUACCUUCAGGCCGAGCAUCUCCCUCGAGUCGGCGAAUGCUAUCAUGUACCAUUGAUGGAAUGCGUACAUCUUUGUUGAUAGCUUCCGUACCAAUGAAGGCUUUACUAGAGGUUUGCCUAGCUCAUAAGGCCAUCUCGGCUCAGGAGGCGGUGUAGUUGGCGUCUCACCUUGCCCUAGGCAUUCAUCAAGUCCCAGACCUGUUUCUUCCAUGAACUUCAAUACUUCUGCUUGUUGAUCCAAGGGCAUUGCUUUUACCCUUCGAGCGUCUUUUUUUGAUAAAUGGCUGAGGUCGGUGGAAGAUGACUUUCCUUUCCUUUUAUCCUUUUCAUCAGCCUUUACUAAAGCCCGUUAGUUUGAUAAGAGUGGUAUCCUUUUCUUGGCUCCUUCUUCCAUCUUCAUAAAAAAGUUUAAAUCUCUUCAAUUUACUGACGGUGGCUCCAUCUCCCUUGCUUUUUUUUCUUCGGCUUGUUUCUUGAACCACUCACUGGCCUCUCGUUGGAUUUCUGCCCAUUGUUCCACAUGAGACAUUGCCUCCCAGCGUUCCUUACGAGUCACUUCAGGCUCCUUUGUUUUCUUCUUUCUCUGUCUUUGCUUGGGAGGCGGUGCUCGUGACUUCUUUAGUGGUGGUGCAGGUUCCUUCCUAGGGGCCACUCUUGGUGCCGGCAACGGUGAUCGGGGAGGGGUGUUGUUAUUGUUGUCGUCGCUCCCACCACCAGGAUGUGGUGGAGAUGGAGACCUUGAUAUAGAUGGAAGGGAUGGUCCUAGAGCAGGUUGUGCAGGAGAUGACGGUCUCGAGCUAUGAGGAGAAGGUCGCUGCUGGGGAUCUACGGGGAGCGGUCUUGAGCUUUGAGGAGAUGGCUCCGUGCCGGGAAUAAUGAUGUAGCGUUUUUGCCACAGAAUGAUCCCAUGAAGCGCAUCUGCCAGUGUCCUUUCACCGUCGCCUCCUGGGAGGUCGAGCUCUAGACCUUCAUAUUAGCUAUCAACUAUUUGCUCUACGCGGACGCUGGCGUAGCCAGGUGGAAUCUCCAUGCCAUGACUGCUCUGCCCCGCCAGGGUUGCUAACGCACUCCCGUACGCUACUUGUACAUAUAGCAGAAGUAAACAAGUUAAACUCCAAUCUCGAGGCGUGGAUCAAUUGACAAGAUUGCAUAAAUAUUAUGUAUAAGUAUACCUUAAUAGUGAGGUUGCCGACCGGUGCAUGCAGCUCACAUGUGGUGCGUUGCGUGAUGGCAUCCACGGGGAACCAUUGCUCCUCCACAGCUAACCUGGGCGUCUGCGCAUUGGGGACCCCUGUAGAAGCACAAUUGCUCAAGAGGCGUUGAGAAGGGCUGGCGUUGUUAGGAUUCGGCAAUGCUCCAGAUUGGGCCAACUCCGCAACUGCAUGGGCCACUCGACGAUUGAUUUCCUCCAUCAUUCUUUGUCCUUUCUUCGCUUCCGGCUUUUGUACGAGGCGCUGUCGCCUCGGAAAGAAAACUUCCACAGAAUGACCCCGAACCCUCGGCAACGUUCUGGGUGCUCCGGAUUACCGAGGGCCAAUGUGAGCUCAUCAUUUUCUCGGUCCACCUUCAACCUCCCAGCCUUAGAAUCUUCAAUGUUCUUCACAAGAUGUUCGGCCUUCUCACGUAUUGUGUCAUUGAAAAUCAACGUCACAUCCUCUUGGCUCAGGGAGCCUCCAUGAGCGUAGUACCAAUUUUUUGAUCGUUCGGGCCAUUCAGUAGUUGCAGGUACGAUUCCCCGUUUGAUCAGAUCUUGUUCCAUCUUCCUCUACUUGGGAAUUGCUGAGCCAUAACCACCUCACCCCAGAUGAUGAUGGUAGCCCUUCUGACUAGCAUUUGUUGUGUUGGUCAUGAUCUUUUUCACACCGUCUUCACUCCUCUUAUAUUCAACAAAUGCAUCCCAAUGGUCCCUCAACUUUGGCCACGCGUUGAAGUCUGGAGUUCAGCCUUUCUUAAUGUAGUGGGUAUCCAGCAUCUUCUUGAAUGUCUGGAAUUGUGUAGCCAUCUUCUUAAGCGUCCACGCUUUCACAUCCUUCUCAAUAUAUCCUUCAGGGAAUGUGAAAUGUGUCUUGACAUUUUCCCACAGCAUAUUCUUCUCUGUCUCCGGGAGGGCGUAUGGAUCAGUGCUUCUGCCCUUCCAUUCUCUGAUGCUGAUAGGCACGUUGUCCCAGAUGAUUGCCCCAAUCUGACUCACGUACUUCUUUGCUACUUUCUCGGGAGCAACCGACCUACCCUCUUCUGUCACUUCCGUGAUGAGAAGCCUCCCUUCCAUCACCUUUGUACGACCUCGGGUCUUCUGCCCUUGCGUCGAUCCAGAGGGCUAACAGUUCAAGAUUCGUUAAUUAGUACGUAGUAGUAACGGUGGCGUGAAACAAUACAAGAUUCGUUAUUAUACCUCGCUGGAACCUUCCGCCACGGCAAGGUGGAACUGGGCCUCUUGCUCUUCAUUCCCAUCGGCGGACAUGUUGAGGAACAUGUCCGCCUGGGUGCCCUCUUCAUCGGUGUACGAUAGUGGAAGGUUGUCGCCACUACCAUCACCAGCGAUUAUCUGCUCCAUGAGAUACCUUGAAGUCCCAUCGUCUGCCAUUUCAACUAUUGAUUAACAUACAUGGAAUCAUAUAUGACAUUCAUAGAAAUCGCCUUAGUUAUAUGUACAUAAGGGUAUAUACAUGAAAUCAUAAAAUAACAUGAAUCCCACAAAGUCCGAAAUAUUUAUACAAAUUUCUACAAAUUAGUAGUACUUUGUACGAAUUUCUAGCAAUAACAUGAAUUUGUACGAAUUUCUAGCAAUAACUUGAAAUUUGUACGAAUUUCUAGCAAUAACAUGAAUUUUGUACGAAUUUCUAGCAAUAACAUGAAUUUUGUACGAAUUUCUAACAAUAACAUGAAUUUUGUACGAAUUUCUAGCAAUAACAUGAAUUUGUACGAAUUUCGCGCGGUCGAUGGUGCCUAGGUUGGGACGGUGGAGGCCUGGGCGGCGGAACGGCGGAGGCGGGGACGGAGCGAGGUGGCCGCAACAACGAUUAAUUUCUACCAAAUUUCUACUAAUUUUUCCAUAUUUAUUGGAAUUUCUAGCAAUAACAUGAAUUAUGUACGAAUUUCUAGCAGUAACAUGAAUUUUGUACGAAUUUCUAGCAAUAACAUGAAUUUGUACAAAUUUCUAGCAAUAACUUGAAAUUUGUACGAAUUUCUAGCAAUAACAUGAAUUUUGUACGAAUUUCUAGCAAUAACAUGAAUUUUGUACGAAUUUCUAACAAUAACAUGAAUUUUGUACGAAUUUCUAGCAAUAACAUGAAUUUGUACGAAUUUCGCGCGGUCGACGGUGCCUAGGUUGGGACGGUGGAGGCCUGGGCGGCGGAACGGCGGAGGCGGGGACGGAGCGAGGUGGCCGCAACAACGAUUAAUUUCUACCAAAUUUCUACUAAUUUUUCCAUAUUUAUUGGAAUUUCUAGCAAUAACAUGAAUUAUGUACGAAUUUCUAGCAGUAACAUGAAUUUUGUAUGAAUUUCUAGCAAUAACAUGAAUUUUGUACGAAUUUCUAGCAAUAACAUGAAUUUUGUACGAAUUUCUAGCAAUAGCAUGAAUUUUGUACGAAUUUCUAACAAUACCAUGAAUUUUGUACGAAUUUCUAGCAAUAAAAUGAAUUUGUACAAAUUUCGCGCGGUCGACGGUGCCUUGGUUGGGACGGCGGAGGCCGGGGCGGCGGAACGGCGGAGGCGGGGACGAAGCGAGGUGGCCGCAGCAACAAUUAAUUUCUACUAAUUUUUCCAUAUUUAUUGGAAUUUCUAACAAUAACAUGAAUUCUGUACGAAUUUCUAGCAAUAACAUGAAUUUUGUACAAAUUUCUAGCAAUAACAUGAAUUUGUACAAAUUUCUAGCAAUAAAAUGAAUUUUGUACGAAUUUCUAGCAAUAACAUGAAUUUUGUACGAAUUUCUAGCAAUAACAUGAAUUUUGUACGAAUUUCUAACAAUAACAUGAAUUUUGUACGAAUUUCUAGCAAUAACAUGAAUUUGUACGAAUUUCGCGCGGUCGACGGUGCCUCGGGUUGGGACGGCAGAGGCCGGGGCAGUGGAACGGCGGAGGCGGGGACGGAGCGAGGUGGCCGCAACAAUGAUUAAUUUCUACCAAAUUUCUACUAAUUUGUCCAUAUUUAUUGGAAUUUCUAGCAAUAACAUGAAUUUUGUAUGAAUUUCUAGCAAUAACAUGAAUUUUGUACGAAUUUCUAGCAAUAACAUGAAUUCUGUAGGAAUUUCUAGCAAUAACAUGAAUUUUGUACGAAUUUCUAGCAAUAACAUGAAUUUGUACGAAUUUCUAGCAAUAACAUGAAUUUUGUGCGAAUUUCUAGCAAUAACAUGAAUUUUGUACGAAUUUCUAGCAAUAACAUGAAGUUGCGGCGGAGGCGGGACGGCGGAGGCGGGGACGGAACCACGAACGGUGCCUAGGUUGGGACGGCGGCGGUCAGGGCGGUGGGACGGCGGAGGUGGGACGGAACCACGACGAAACACGAUUCAUUUCUAACCUAGGCGGAGCGACGAACCUAAUUACUACUAAUUUACACUAAUUUGAUUUUCUAACACAUAUACAAAAAUCUAUUGAAUUUCUACCUAAUUACUACUCAUUUCUAUUUAUUUUCUAACUUAAAAAAAAGGCCCUUGCUGACGCCAGCUGGUGGCCUAGCGUCAGCAAGGCGGUACUCCCGGUGCCAGUGCCGGCGCGGCGAACCUCGCGCGCAGUCGACGGUGGCCGGGGCGGCGGGACGGCGGAGGCGACGACGGAGCGAAGGCACGCGGGACGGCGGGACGGCAGAGGCAGGACGGCGACGAGGGGUGACGAGGGGUGACGAGGCGGCGAUGAGGGGCGACGAGGCCUCGCGAUGGAGGUGGCCGGCGGCGACGAGGUAGGGGCCGGGCGCGAUGGAGGAGGAUCGAGGCGGGCUGGGGCGAUGAAGGAGGAGGCUGUCUGGGCGCGGUCAGGUGGCGGGACGACGACGGCUGGGGCAAUAGGGGACGACGACGGCGGCGGCCGGCGAGGGAGGCGGACGGGCGGCGACGGAGCAGAGCGCUCGCGGGAUCUUGGCGAAAAUUUGGCUAAGUGUAAAUGGCGUGGGGGUAGAAGGGGCUACAGUGCCUUUUAACCCCCCCCCCCUUAUCCCGGUUCGUAAUGGCACCCAAGACUAAAGGGCCUUUUGUCCCGGGUCCCAUCACCAACCGGGAUAACCUUUUAUCCCGGUUGGUGACGAGACCCGGGACAAAAGAGUGCAUCCGCCAGGUUGGGCUGGGAGCCUACCCCUUUAUCCCGGGUGCCACCACCAACCGGGAUAAAAGGGGGACGGCCUUUUAUCCUUCUGGACGGGCAUGAUUAAGAACAUAGUUUUUUAGAACUGCCAUGAACCUCUCGAAAGGCCACAUAUUGUGCAGGUAUACAGGUCCGAGAAUACCAAUCUCUUUUACUAGGUGAACCAGUAAGUGCGUCAUAAUAUUGAAAAAGGAUGGUGGAAAUAACAACUCAAAACUGACAAGACAUUGCACCACAUCGUUCUGUAGGUUUGAUUGCUUGGAUGGAUCAAUUGCCUUCUGCGAAAUCGCAUUGAGAAACGCGCAUAGCUUUACGAGCGGCAACUGGACAUUUUCUGGUAGAACACCCCUCACUGCAACCGGAAGCAACUGGGUCAUCAACAUGUGGCAGUCAUGGGCCUUGAGAUCUGUAAACUUCUUUUGUUUCAUAGUUAUUAUUCCCUUUAUAUUCGAGAAGUACCCAAACGGGACCUUCAUACUAUUCAAGCAUUCAAACAUGCUAUCCUUCUCUUCCUUGCUGAGAGUGUAACUGGCAAGACGUAAGUAGUGUUGUCCAUUAUCUCUCUUUUCUGGAUGUAGGUCAUCUCGUUGCCCCAUGGCUUUCAGGUCCUGUCGUGCUUCCAAUGUAUCUUUCGAGGUCCCAUAAACACCCAUGAAGCCUAGCACGUUCACGCAAAGAUUCUUCGUCAGGUGCAUCACGUCUAUUGCGUUGCGAACCUCUACGAUUUCCCAAUAAAGUAGCUCCCAAAAUAUUGACUUUUUCUUCCACAUGGGUGCAUGUCCGUUAUCGUCGUUCGGAACAGGUUGGCUACCAAGACCCUUUCCAAAGACUACAUUUACAUCCUUCAUCAUCUCGAAGACACGCUUUCCAUUACGGUGUGUAGGUUUUUUACGAUGGUCUGGCGCCCCUUUGAAAUGCAUCCCGCUCUUUCUCAGCUGGUGGUGAGCAGGGAGAAAUAGACGAUGACCCAUAUAGACAACCUUCUUACAAUGUUUCAAAUACAUGCUGUCUGUGUCGUCUAUAUAGUGGGUGCAUGCCCGAUAUCCCUUAUUUGUCUGUCCCGAAAGGUUACUCAGUGCAGGCCAAUCAUUGAUGGUUACGAACAACAAUGCUCGUAGAUUAAAGAUCUCAUGUCUAUCCUCAUUCCACACAUGUACACCUUCUUCCUUCCAGAGCUGUAAAAGGUCAUCAACCAACGGUCUUAGGUACACGUCAAUCUCGUUGCCGGGUUGUUUUGGGCCUUGGAUAAGCGCCGGCAUCAUAAUGAACUUCCGCUUCAUGCAUAGCAAAGGAGGAAGGUUGAACAUAUGUAGGGUCACAUGCCAAGUACUAUGGCCACUACUCAACUCACCGAAUGGAUUGAAUCCAUAAGUAUUUAAACCAAACCUUAUGUUCCUUGCUUCACUUUCAAAGUUCGAGAAUGCUCUAUCAAUUGAUCUCCACUGUGCCCCGUCUGCGGGGUGUCUCAGCAUAUCAUCUUCCUUACGGUCUUCUUUGUGCCAUCGCAUCAACUUAGCAUUCGCCUUGUUCCUGAACAAGCGCUUCAAGCGUGGUAUUAUAGGGAAAUACCACAUCACCUUCGCGGGAACUCUCGUCUUGGGAGACUGCCCCUCGACAUCACCAAGAUCAUCUCGCCUGAUCUUAUACCGCAGGGCUUCGCAGACGGGACAAGCAUCCAAUUUCUCGUAUUCAUCACCAUGAUAGAGGAUACAGUCAUUAGGGCAUGCGUGUAUCUUCUGAACAUCCAAUCCGAGAGCGCAAAUAAUCUGUUUAGCUUCAUAUGUUGUGGACGGUAAUUCAUUAUUCUCGAGAAGAAUCUUCUUGACAAUGUUCAACAUCCCCUGAAAUGCCUUAUCGGACACACCAUUUUUUGCCUUCCAUUGCACAAAUUCUAGUAUCGUACCUAGUUUUUUAUAGCCCUGCUGGCAACCUGGGUACAACAAUUUUUGGUGAUCAUCUAUCAUGCGCUGCAACUUUGCUGCUUCCUUCUCAGUUUCGCAAUCUCUGUAUGCAUCUCGUAUCACCUGACCAAGGUCAUCAGUAGGGCCAUUUUCUGCAAACUCAUCUUUAUCAGCCUCUCCCAUUGUAGUACCUGCAAAAGCUUAGCCUGCAACCCAGUCCGGAAUGGUGUCAUCUUCCUCCUCCUCCUCGCCAUCUUCCAUUACGACCCCUUGUUCACCGUGCUUGGUCCAAACCAAAUAGUUAGGCAUGAAACCGUAUUUAAACAAGUGGCUGUGAAUAGUCCCCCAGGAAUCCUUUGAAUACUCCUUCUUGUUAUUGCAUUGGAAGCAUGGACAACAUACAAACCCAUUCUCUGGCUUGUUUGCUUUGGCCACUUCGAGAAAAUAAUGCAAGCCAUCAAUAAACACCAUGCUCCGCCUGUCUGCAUUAUAAAUCCAUUGCCGGUCCAUCUGCAUCGUAUUACCCACGAAAAUGGAUUACACUUCACAAUGGAUUACGCGUGAAAAUUGAUUAAAGAUCCAAACAACAUGUUACAAUACAACAACAUGAAGAUCCAAAUACACAUAUUUAAAUUAAAGAUCCAAACAACAUGAUACAAUACAACAAGUCAUCCACUGGUUAUUAUCUAGGAGGACUUUAAGCAUCCUUGGACAGAGAAAACGAAGGUUCCGCUGACCCAGCCUCAUCCUCAGGUUUAUUUGUGCCGCCUGAAACGGUAGUACUAAGUGGACGUGAAACACCCGGGACUGAGGGUGUAGCAUAACGACCACCAAAAAGAGGUUCUUGACCCGCGGCAAUAGCUUCUUCAUGACGUUGCUGCAAAUAACGAAGUAUUGCUUUUUCCAGCGCGCUCUUUUUCUUCAGCUUAUGCUGAGGGCCAACUAUGAUUUUUCCCUUGCCGAAAGAGGAACCACGAUCGCCCCCACCAUCGCCACUUCCUCCAGUAGCAGAAGCCAUCUAUGUACAAAAAUUAUUACCUUAACACUGCAUAAGUUGUUGAACUUGAAGACUGUGAUCAUCUCGCGAGCAUGUCCUCAACUAGACGGCACCACACUUCGUCAUGAAAGAGCUUCGAUUCUACGGAAAAGGGGACACGGUCACGAUGUCCGUAUCCACUCUUUCUCAUAGAAUCGAACCUCCUUCUUGACAUACGUUGCUGCUCGGCGGAGAACAUCCUCGCAGAAAUGACCACGGUAUGCAAGUUUAAUAAGUAUGGAUUUGAAAAACCUUAUUGAAUUUGAUAAGUUCAACAAGUAGCAGAAGUCAUCUAUGUACAAAAGUUUUUUCCUUACCACUGCAGAAGUUGUUGAACUUGAAGACCGUGAUCAUCUCACGAGCAUGUUCUCAACUGGGCGGCACCGCACUUCGUCAUGAAAGAGAUUAGAUGCUACGGAAAAGGGGACACGGUCAUGAUGUCCGUAUCCACUCUUUCUUGUAGAAUCGAACCUCCUUCUUGACAUACGUUGCUGCUCGGCGGAGAACAUCCUCGCAGAGACGAACGCAGUAUGCAAGUUCAACAAGUAUGAAUUUGAAAAAUCAUAUUGAAUUUGAUAAGAUAAACCGUCUAGACAAGGUAGCAUCAUUCUUCAACCACUGCAAGAAUGCAUACUAUAUAUGACACAUCAAUCUCCCUCACAUUCUAGCUCAAAAUACCUCUCCAUUUUCUACUUCAUCACAUUCUAGCAAAUAAUCUUUCCAUCUCCAAAGCAUAAAUCAAAGCAUAACACGAGGAUGAAGUAGCAAACCUUCACAACACUUGUGUUGGCUGAGUCAAAUUCCCACGAAAAUGAGGGAAAAAACUUCGGGCAGCACCUCCCUUGCUUCGGCACCACCGGAGAGUAGGUGAAGCUCAGCUCUCUGUCAAUGUGCUGGACUGGCUCGGGCUGGAGGAGGAAGAAAGUCCUCUGUCUUGGUAUAUAAUGGGGAUGAGUUUUUAUCCCGGUUAAAAACUCCAACCGAGACAAAAAGGAACACCUUUUGUCCCGGUUGAAAGUUUAGUCCCGGUUGGAGGCUCCAACCGGGAUAAAAGGGUGCCGCCACCAACAGCCCGCAACUAGCCGUUGCAACGGGGACUAAAGUUAGUCCCGGUUGGUAAUUGCAACCGGGACUAAAGGCCCCCCUUUAGUCCCGGUUGCAAUUACCAACCGGGACUAACUCUGCCCUCCAUUUUUGCCUACCGUGGCGCACCCCCUUUUGUCCUGGGCCAACUUUAAACCGGGACAAAAGGGGGCGCAUCGAAAGCCAAUUCUCUACUAGUGCUCCUAUGUCAAUGCAGGUUGGCAUAGGUUCUCAGGAGUCAGGAGUAUGGGCGAGAUUUUGGGGGAGAAGUGGCGAAAGAGGCAGCAGAGAGAAAUGGAUGAAAAGGUAGAGGUGGUCGUGCUUUUGGGGAGGGGAUAUGCCAGCUCGAUCCGAUCCGACAUGAUGCAAGGAAAACGUGGAUUGGAACGAGAGCGCAAGAUGAGUGGGCAGUGGGAUUGGCGAUGGGCAUCUGUCCGUUAGGAGGGUUCAGGAAUUGAGUGUUGUUAAUAUGGGUUGAAAAAGAGCUCAUUAGGAGAAGUGUCCGCGGUUACCUAGGCAGGACAACUGAAUCGACCUGCAUCCAUCGAGCAGUUAUGUUGUGAAUUCGUGAGUCGGUCGUGGCUUAACAGGAGAGCGGGGAACACACCCCCUCUACAAUUGAGACUUGAGAGAUAUCAUCAAUUUCAUUCGUCCCAAAUUAUAAGUUAUUUUGAUUUUUUUAGGUAUAUAUAGAUUUACUAUGCACCUAUAUAUACACUAUGGAGUACUAAACACGAACAUUAACAUUCAAAAUUGACGGACGCAAACACCUAAACACUCUUAUAUUGAGCUCGAUAACACGAUUAGUAAGUAACUCAACAGAAUCACAGUUGUUCGAAGGGGAAAAACACAACAUGCACAGCAGAGCCGAAGAGACGAAGCACCGAGCCAUCCAUGGGCGCACAUCUUACGAGUUACGGCAUCUAUGGAACUGAGCCGUUGGCACAUCUGUUAUGGCAGUCGGCCGUGCAGCCCAUCAUGCAGCUGCUGAAUACCUUCGGCUGGGUCGCCAUACACAUGGAGUACGGGCCGUAAGCAGAGCCCGUGCAGGACUCGCAGCAUCUACGCUCACACGGGCUGCCGCAGCUACUAGCGGUGCAGGAACCGAUGCCGCAGGAACCACGGGCAUAGGCGGAGUUGCCGGUGCACCGGCUGCUGCAGCCCUCAAAGCAACCGGGAUAUGCGAGCUCGGGCCUAAUGCUCUCACAUCUCCUUGCUGCGGCGUCAGAAUUGGCCUGGCAUAUCGGAGUGCAUCGCGAGGUGCAGUAACUAGGGCAAUCGGAAGGCGGCAUCGGCGCCGGCGCUGGCUCUUGCCCCAUCGACGAAUGGAGCAGCAUGAAGCAAAUGGCAGCCAAGAAGACACCCUUGAGGGCGGCAGCGGUGGAGGUGGAGGGUACCAUGGUAUGGGGUCUUUCCUGGAUGGAGCGAACUAGCUAGUAAGCUUAAGAUAUGAGGGCCAAAUUAGGACAAGAACAACGGAAGACAAGAAGCUAUAGUGCAGUGGGGAUAGGAAAUAAGCAGCGAUCUUUUGGUGCUUGUAUGAUGGAUCAUUCGGUGCUAUUUAUAGGUACAAACUCAAUGGAUCACUGUACAUGAGUACAUCGGACCCUAGCUAGUUUUCUAUAGAUUAUUACAAGUUGAAACCUGACACAUGGUAUCUAGGAACAUGUUAGAAGUAGACUUCUACAGGAUUAUAUAACUCUACCUUGCUCCAAUCCUUGUCCCGAAGUUGACUUUCACAAGUUGACGUACCUUCAAAUUCACUCUACUGUCUACUGUCCAAUAAACUUUUCAAAGGUUUGUGGAUAGUGAAGGGAGAGGAACGAGUCAAUAUUAGACACGGGACACGUGGCGAUCGAUUCUCCACAUUGUAAUACAAUUUCUACACUUCUGCAAAUCCUUUCACGGCAUCAACCUGCUCUCAAGCGCAGUCAUCUUCUCCUAUGUCAAUGAAGGUUGGAAUAGGUGCUCGGGAGGCAGGAGUAUGGGCAAGAUUUGUGGGGAGAGGUGGCGAAAGAAGCCGCAGAGAAAUGGAAGAGAUGUUAGAGGAAGUCUUUCUUAUGGGGAGGGGACAUGACAGCUCUGACAUGAAGCUAGGAAAACGUGGAUUGGAACGAGAGCGCAAGAGACCGAAUGUGGGAUGCAGCGUGGCAGCCGGCAAGCAGGCGCCGUGCGAGGCAGCCGGAGGAGACCGAGUAAGAUGAGCGGGCAGUCGGCAGUAGCGACGGUCAGCUGUGGGUCAAGACGGAUCUGGAAUCAAGUGUUAAGAAUAUGGUUUCAAAUAACUCGUUGGAAAUCGUGCCCGAGGUUAAAUAGGCGGGAAACCUUAAUGGACCUGCAUCAAGUGGUCAUGUUGUGAACUUGGUCGGCUCACAGAUUAUUAAGUGGCGACGUGGCUUAACGGGCGAGCGGGGAACGCACCCCCUCUACAGUUGAGAGAUAUCAAUUACCAAACACGAACAUUAACAUUAAAACUUGACUGACACAGACACCUAAACACUCGUAUAUUGGGCAUGAUAACAUGAUUAGUAACUCAACAGAAUCGCACUUGUUUGAAGAGGCAAAACAUAACAUGCACAGAGACAAAGCACGGAGCCGUCCAUUCACGCAUGGGACGCGACCAUCUUACGGCAUCUAUGGAAAAACUGAGCCGUUGACACAUCUGUUGUUGCACUCGGCCGUGCAACCGGGCAUGCAGUACGCGAACACCUUCGGCUGGGCCGCCAUGCACAUGGAGUACGGGCCGUAAGCAGAACCCGUGCAGGACUCGCAGCAUCUACACGCACAGGGGCAGCCACAGGUACUCGGGGAGCAAGAACCCAAGCUGCAGGAGCCACGGGCAUAGGCGGAGUUGCAGUUGCACUUGCUGCUGCAGCUCUCAAAGCAACCGGCAUAGGCGAGCUCGGGCCUAAUGCUCUCACAUCUCCUUAACGCAUCGUCUGAACUGGCCUGGCAUAUCGGAGUGCAUCGCGAGGUGCAGUAACUAGGGCAAUCGGAAGGCGGCAUCGGCGCCGGCGCUGGCUCUUGCCCCAUCGACGAAUGGAGCAGCAUGAAGCACAUGGCAGCUAAGAAGGCACCCUUGACAGCGGCAGCAGUGGAGGGAGCCAUGGUAUAGGGCUUUUCCUGGAUGGAGCGAACGAUAGCUAGUAAGCUUGAGAUAUGAGGACCAAAUUAGGACGAGAAGAGCAGAAGACAAGAAGCUAUAGUGCAGUGGGGAUAGGAAAUAAGCAUCGAUUUUUUUGGUGCUUAUAUGAUGGAUCGUUCGGUGCUAUUUAUAGGUACAAACUCAAUGGAUCCACCGUACACGGGAGCCCUAGUUUUCUAUAGAUUAUUACAGGUUGGUUGAGACUUAACAAAUGGUAUCUUGGAACAUGUUAGAAGUAGACUUCCAGAGGAUUACAAAACUCUCUAUCUUGCUUGCUCCAAUCCUUGUGCCAAAGUUGACUUCGUAAGUUGACGUACCAUCAAAUUCACUGUAGGAAGAACUGUCCAUUAAACUUUUCGAAGGAUUGUGGAUAAUGGGGAAGGAACGAGUCAAUAUUACACACGGGACACGUAGUGAUCGAUUCUCCGCAUCAGGCCGGAUCGAAAAAAGCCAUGUUCAUUUCGGAAAAAAAAUUGGGCUCACAACCAUUCCAUGGAUGUUAUCGGGCUGAGUUUUCAGAUCAGGGCCGCUCAUUCUUUUUGACUUAGUUUUCGCGAGGGCUCCUUUGUAACUUGUGAAACCUAGAUAAUUAAACAUGCUAACUUUAAAGCUCAUUAGGCCCGCAUUAAUCUUAAUUCAACAUUUCAACAGGGUAGAUUCAACAUUUUUUAAAAUUAGACCAAUAUUUAAAAAUAAUUGAUUCAACAUUUCUAAAACAUAGAUCAACAUUUUGGAGAGAAAAACACCACGUUCAGCAUUUUUUUACAAUCUAUUUCAACAUCUUCAGAAACUAGAUUCAACAUUUUGAAAAAAAAUAAUUUCUACUAGCGUGUUCUCCGUGGACAGCAGCAGCACGGCAGCUGCGGCGGCGGCAACACGACGUGAGCAGCAGCGGGAGGAGCGGCGGCUACAGCAGCAGCACGCACGGCAACGUGAAGAGCGGAGGUGUGGUGGCGACGACGACAACGCAUGCGGGAAGGAGUGACGGUGACAGGAUGAGGAGCGGCGACGACGAGAGCAGCACCGAGGUGAGCGGAAGGAGCGGUGGCGGUGCAGUCGUGUGAGCUCAACGAGAGGAGUAGCUGUGUGCUAGGGUUGAUGCAGGAGUCACAUCCAACGUUGAGGAUUCACGUAUGAAUCUCAAACACCAUAAGUCCAAUAAGAAAUAGGCUUCCAGAAGUUAUAUAGGAAUCCUAUAUUAUUGUUGACCCGCCCGACCCAGCAACGAGCGUGGCCGGGCCAAAAACCAUCAAGCUUGGGAUGAACCCAUGGGCCAUGCUGGACCGGAUUUAAAAUGCUCAGGUCUAAUUGUAAUACAAUUUCUACACUUCUGCAAUCCUUUCACGGCAUCAACCUGCUCUCGAGCACAAUCAUCUUCUUCCUCCUUUGUCCCUCUAACAAUCUUUCACAUGCCAAGCGAAUUUCACAAAAAUACCAUUCUUUGCAAAAACAAAGGAGACCCAGAAGUGGCACAUAUACGGCUAGUCUUAGUGGAGGUUUCAUCAAAAAUUUCAUAACCACUAAAUAACAUGCCACAUCAACAAUUUUGCUAAUGUGGCAAUAUCAUAUAAGAAGAGAGGAGAGUAAGUUUCAUCAUAUGUGAGAGGAGUUUCAUCACCAUGAAACCCAGGAGGCACAGUUACGAAGUUCUCAAUCUUGGUAACUGUGAUAUCACUGGUAGAAAACUCGCCUUCAGUCCCGGUUGGUAGGGAACAAAUCUUCCAAAAAACCAUCCGAGAUAAAGCAAUCGAGACAAAAGGAGAGGGUCUGUUGUCCAGAUCACUCAAUCGGGACUAAAGACCCCUUUUAUACCGGUUGGGAAUACCAACCGUGACAAAAGAGUUUUCCAAAAAUAUUAAAAAAAAGCAUCGGCGGGUGGAGGCCCGCCUCGGCUCCCGCGCAGCCGGCCUCUGUGUGCCACCGCCAAGCCCCCAUCCCGCCGCCGCCAAGCCACCGCAUCCCACCGCCGCCCGCACCCCACGCCGGCGCAUAUGCUCUGACCUCGCUCGACCGCACCCUCCCUCCGUGCGCCACCGCCGAGCCUCCGUCCCACCACCGUCGAGCCACCACAUCCCGCCACCGCCCGCACCCUGCGCCGGUGCGCCUGCUCUGGCCUCGCUCGCCCGCGUCCUCCCUGCGUACGUUGCCGCCGAGCCCCUGCCCCGCCGUCGCCGAGCCACCGCAUCCCGCCGCCGUCCGCACCCCACGCCGUCACGCCUGCUCCGGCCUCACCGCAUCCACCAGCCGCUCCUCGCCCGCCACCGCCACUUGCAAAAAAAAACUGCAAGAACUCACCAUAACAACACUAACACUGCACUGAGCUCGCCGCCGCCGCACCUCUUACAGCUGCUCCUCGCGCGUCGCCGCCGUCGCCGCCUGCAAUAAAAAACUGCAAGAACUCACCACAAAAACUACACUGACUUGGCCACCGAGCUCGCCGUGGGCCGACCACCGAGCUCGCCGCGGGCCGACCACCUCUUACUGCGCUGCCCUGCACCUCGCCCCGCUGCUGCUCCUCACUGGCAGUGAGGGGUGAUUAGAGGGGGAAGGGGAGGGCAGCAGAGGGGGCGGUGGUACCGGGAGGGAGGGGGAGGUGGCAGCGGCGUCGGAGUAAGGGUGAUGGGACGGCGGCGGCGUCGGGAGGCAGGAGAGGGGGUUGGCGGCGCCAAUGAGAGGCUGGGGGAAGAAAGAGAUAAGGAAGGAAAUCAGGCUGCCAGUAACGCGCGUAAGAUAGGAGAGUGGGAGGCUAGUAAUGUGCGGGGCAAAGAGAUUGGAGAUAAGGGUAACGCGCAUAAGAGAGAGAGGGGAAUUGGAGGGGGUGCACGGAAACGAGGGUAGGGACCCUUUUAUCCCAAUUGGAAUCACCAACCGGGAUAAAAGGGGGGUCCUUUUAUCCCGGUUGGUGUUUCCAACCGGGAUAAAAGGCCCCUCGAGAUCACUAGUCUUUACUACCGGGACUAAAGGGUUUCUUUAGUCCUGGUUGGUGAGCCCCCCACCAAUAGGGGGGUUAGUCCCGGUUGGUGAACCUUUAAUCCCGGACCAACUUUAAACCGGGAUAAAAGGGGGUGGAUGGAAGGUGAGUUCUCUACUAGUGUAUGAAACUUUACACUAAGAUUGACCUUAGGCCAAUAUUAAUGGGAGUUUCAUUCUUAUUUAAUAAGGUCUCAUGUCAGCAUUUUUUAUGACGUGGCAAACAGUUAAUGAAUAAAGAGGUGAAAUGAGUUUUAUGGGAAUGAAACCAUGUAUACAUUAUUUUCAAUGUAACUUGUGUCUUGCACGUAGCCUAAGAAACAACAAAGAAUGAACAAUGUAUUGCACGAGGCUGAGGCUAUUUCAACUGUGAAUUAAAUAUUAUUUUGCUUAUGUGGUAUUUUGGAAAUAUAAAUAUGAAAUCAAGCAUCGAGAAUGGGCCUAGGCCCCACUCAAUUUGCUAUUUGAAGUAAUUUAGCCCAUUUUCCCACCAUUUGGGCCCUUUGGCGGGCUAGCAAAUUACCCUUCUUCCCUCUCGGCCUAGCUAUAAGCUCACUCAUUCUAAUUUUUCUUCUUUGCUAAUAAGCCCAAUAAUCAGCAGAAGCGAGAACAUGCCCUCCACUUGCUGAUUACAUGGCAAAAUGCAGAAAGCAGCACCGCGCGCUGCAGGUGGAAAUAAUAAAUACAUCGUCCAAAAAAAACUACAAUUGAGAUGCGUACACAUGCAACUAAUUUUAGGGUCUCGUAAACGUCAGAGAUUACUAACGAAAUUUAUUGAUAACUACUCACAUGUAGAUAGUGUUUGGUUCGUGCUAAGGUAAUGUAAACGUAAAGGGAAUCAGAUUACAGUGUAUUUGGAGGUGGAAUAGGUGAUUGCCCUCUUUGUUUGGUUGCACUCUAGUAACGCAAUCAGAUUACUGUGUGAGUGCUAUAUCUGAUUACGGUAGGGGAGGAGAGGUAACAAGCUUGUAUAUAUAUUAUUUAGGUAAGGGAUUUGAUUACAGUGUCAAUUGAUUACAAACAACUGCAACCAAACAUAUGUAAUGGGAUUCGUUACCUUCAGUAAUCAGAUUACGUUACAUUUGAGCCAACCAAACACUACCAUAAAUUUUGCACGUCUCGUCAUUGUGAUAUUUAAUUCCAGCAUUUAGGACUUCCCUUUACGAUCGAUGCCAACUUUCAUUUCUGCAGCCUCCAGAGCCAGUACGAAGUAACAGGUCGUUCGGCAGCGCUAGUUGUGGCUGCCGCUGCUGGCUUCUGCUGCCAAUGGCUGCAGCGCAGCUGCUAGCUGCUGCUUGUGGCUUCAGCUGAUUGCAGCGGGGGCAGAAGCAGUUGGGCAGCAGUGCUAGCUACUCCUUAAGAAUUUUCAGUCUGUUUUCCUUACGGAUGUGCUGCUACGUUUCAAAAUUAAAUUUGUAACGGUAAAAGAAUGUACAACAUUCAAAUUUUGUCGCGCAAACAUAAUCAACACAAUGGAGGGUACGAACGUACACAACAACUACUACAAUUGCUUACAUACAAAUUACAACAUUAACAUACACAGCAUACACCCAUCAUUUACAUCAAAGAGAUUCCCGCUGCAAUCCAAUCUCGUACACUGGCUAUAUCAGGAGUAGCAUUUGCUGCCACCCAUUCGGACACCCCAUAGUCCGGAGCUCGCGCCAUGUUCGAACCUGCAGUACUUGCAUCGGCAAGGUCCAGCAAAUAAUUAUGGAGUGCGAAGCAAGCAAUAACAAGCUUCGUUUGCCGCUCUCGAGAAUAUAGUGGAACUUCUCGCAGAAUGUGCCACCUGGAUUUCACCACGCCAAAUGCACGUUCAACCACAUUGCGAAGACUGGAAUGGUGAAAGUUGAAUUUCUCCUCCAAUGUGUCCGCCGACCUUCUGCUAAACUCCUCCAAAUGGUACCUGGUAUUUCGAUACGGCCCCAGAUACCCUUCUCGAACUGCGUAGCCCGAGUUGACCAAAUAAUAUCGGCCUACAGAUAAUCAAAAAUAUUCAACAUUAGUGCACCACAUUUUGCAAUUGCAGCGUCAUGUGCGUAAUUAGUCAAGUACCAUACCUGCAGGUGGAUGAGGGUAGUUCGGUGCCGCCAUACAAUCCCGCAACACCGCCAUGUCAUGACAGGAUCCUGCCCUCCCCGCUCCUACAUACGUGAAGCGCAUGUCCAUAUCGACUAUAGCUAACACAUUGAAGCUCGUCCACCCUUUUCUGUUAAUAAAAUCCAAAUGGGACUCACGCCCGACCAGUACGGGAACGUGUGUACCGUCUAAAGCACCUAUGCACCCAUCAAAGAAUGGUGCAUAUUGGUUCAGCUUAUGAUUCACCUUAGAGUAAGCAGGAUCCUUUGGAGCGAUGACUGUCUGGACAAAUGAAAACAUUACAUUUGCCACAUGCGCCAUCUUCCUACUAACUGUGUCCAAACUCCGAUCAAAUCUUUCUCUAAUUUGAUGGCAAGCCUGUUGUGUCACACACGCCCACACGAACAUACCUAAAGCCUCAACAGAUUCUACCCCUUGCGAUGUUUUCAAUCCAUGAUUGGUAACCAACAUGUCAUGCAACUGAAGGAACGCGUCGGGAUACAUACAAAAAUUAUGGAAGCACCGCCGCCUGUCCCGCAGAUUGAGCUCAACCCAUUGCCGUCCCGUCAUGUGUGGCAGGUCAACUAGCAGGUUCCGCACAAGACGCUGUCUCCUGUGAACCUCCGCAUAUGCGGCUGCAGCUCCUGCUAAACACUUUAGAUCGAACACGGAGAUGCUAUCGCUGCCGGUGUCAUUGUUUUGUUCCUCUGCACUACUCAUACUUGAUUGAACCUGUGCAUGCACAAUCAAAGGGGCAUCAGCAAACACACCUUACACAUAGGCAGUUGCACCGAAUUAUACAUAUGCAUUUGUUUCGAACCUGUCAAGUGCCAGUCAAGUUGCCUCUCCCCCUUCCUUGAGCUGUCGCAGAAUUAAACCAAUGCUCCUGCUACUGAUGAGCGGAGGGCCACCAAUGACCUACUGAACUACCUGUCCAAAAGGUUAAGACAAGAGACAUCAAAAUUCCAAAUAACUUCAAAGCAAUCUGUUCUGACACAAGAUAAAAAAAGUUCUGACACAAGUAGACUGAUGUACUGAGAUGACAUUAAACUUGAAAGAAACGACAGUACACUUGAAAGAAAGUAUUGAUCCAAAUGCAACAUUUCACUUCACAGAAAUUUAGUGACCACGACAUUUAACUUGAAAUAAAUUGCUGAGCAUGGACGACAUCAAACUUGAAAGGAAUUUAACUAGAACUAAAAUGAAAUGUUCAACGAACAAGACAUGUUACAUAACCUAACAUUACUGUUCCGACACAAGUGCAAACAUUAUUUUUGAAACCCAUCAGUACACAUCACUAGAAUAAAACAAAGUCAUGCCACAAUCACUACUUGUUCAACAUGUUCCAGUUGAAUUGUAUCCAGUUCAUUCGGCUCUCUUUCGUUUUCAUCUCCGUGAAUGCCGUCCAAUACUCCAGGUUCUUAGUACAUAAAUAAACAGCUUGGCAGUAAAGCGGAGACCCCUCCUGUAGACCAACUUCUACCAGGAGCUGCAUUGCACGGACCAUUUCCCCCUGGGCACGGUCAGCACGUUGCUGGCUCCUUUUUGCCACACUGUCGGAUAGCUCCCUGAUGUACUGCUCCAAGUUGCCACUUCUCUUUUUCGUAGGACUGUCCACAGAGAAUUCCCGAGCCGGCCGUUUGGACAUGGCACGAGCACUACUAGCAGGCAGGGGGUCCUGGUCCAAGUCCGCUGCAUUGCCCUCAGUCCCCACGCUAGGUGUCGCCUCAUGAAUACCUCCUGCCGUCAGCAAGGUGCCCCUGUCUUGGGGUUCAUGGCCAAACAACUCAAACAAUUUGUCGAGGAAAGGUGGAGGCUUAACAGAAGUCGGCUGGGAACUCGGCUGGGACCUCGGCGAGGCAUCACCACCAUUGGUGUCCUGCAAUGUUCAAGGAACAGUAAAUGUUCAAGGCCAAAAACAAAAAAGUACAAAUAAGAUGCCUAGUAACUUAUGGGCCUGUCAUAGGAUGUACCUCUUCGUCCUCCUCCCAAUAGGUGGCAUUAGUAGCAACACCACCAGUUUGUGUGUCGUGCCCUAAACCAGAUUGCUUUUGCAAGGCCAUCCAGCUCAGGAAUGUUCUCCUCAGGUUGUUGAGCUUGUUCUGCAGCUGCUUACUGCUCAAAUGCAACCCAGUCUGUGCCCUAAAGCUUGAGUACACGUUCUUCCAUCCCAACUUAGUGAGGCAUCUGUUGCUCCAAUUAAACUGGUUCUUCUGAGAAUUGCACAAGUCCAGCAAAGUUUUCAUCGUGCCCUCAUCCCAGCUGGCACGGUUAUUCAUUUGAGUACACAGGAGCUGCAAUUAUAUUGCACCGAGCUACGGAUAACCAGGAGGCAUGCAACUAAACAAUCUCAAAUUACUGGAUAUGUUACUUGCCUUAGCAGUUGUCUUGGCAUGUUUGUGGCGGAAAUUGUACGGGCACACCGGUGGGGGAGAGCACGACGAAGUCGAUGAUGAUGCCAUUGUGGGCACCGUUGGUACUUCCUCGCGGUUGGCCUGCUAGUAGGCUUGUAUCAGUCGCCUGGAAAGGUGAAAAACCAAACAAAGGCACAUCAAUUUAGUUGUAGACAAGUUUGGGACAAAACCAUGUACACAUACAUUUCAUGCUCAUGGGCUCUAGUAUGAUCAACAUUUGUACCAAUAAGCUGCAAUUCCCAGGGAUUACAGGAUGAAGAACAUGGCUACCAAUAAAAUUCUGCCCAAAUGAUUGAAGAUAUUCAUCCUAGUACAACCAACCAGUAAGAAUUUAUAAGUAACUAAACAGCACCCCAUUUUUAUACUUUACACAGUGAAAGGCACCAAAAGGGUCCAUGUUUAGUGGAAGGGUAAAAUUCUCAUGGUCCUAAGUAUAGCAGCAAAGAUUGCCCAAAUAGUUAUGAUAUAGACGACAUAUCAAGUAUCAUGAUCAAAACUCUCCCGAAGUAAGUAGUCUGAUUCUCUAGGUACCAAUCUGAUACAACAUCAAAAUUAGCACCCAUUGCCGUGUUGAUUCUUCCAACAAAUUGAUAACAAAAGACCAAAGUAAAUAGAAAUUUAGAGAAGUACAAGAUUGGAUCAUAUUGCCAGGCUUCCUAGUUCUUUCAAAAAGACAAGCAUCACACUCAACAAAAAGACAAGCAUCACACUCAACAAGCACCAUUACCUGCGAGCGAAGGGGACGAAGGGGGCGACGGAGUCGGAGAAAUUGAUUCCGAGCGCGGCGACCGGCGGGAGCGACGGCAGUGUUGAGCGGCCGAGCGAGAGGGAGCGGGCGACGCGACAGCCUGCCGGCAGCGGAGAGCGGGCGCGAGCGAGGGAGCAGGUGAGCGGAGGGAGCGGCGACGGUGGAUCCGGAGCGAGCGACGAGGGGGCGAGAAGCGGGACCGACGGCGGCAUCGCGCGGCAGAGCGCGAGGGAGCAGGCGACGCGAUGGCCCGCCGGCAGCGGAGAGCGCGCGCGAGCGAGGGAGCGGGUGAGCGGAAGCUGCGGCGGCGGCGGAUCCAGAGCGAGCGCUAGCGACCGAGGGGGCAAGAUGCAGGACCGACGGCGGCGUCGCGCAGGCGACCACGAGGGAGUGGGCGACACGACGCAAAGCCGGUGGCGGAGAGGCGGCGCGAGCGAGGGAGCGGGUGAGCGGAGGGAGCGGCGGCGGCAGAUCCGGAGCGAGCGCGACCGACGGCGGAGAGCGGGCGAGAUCUCGAGCGCCGGUCGCGGAGAGCGGGCGACAGCGCUGGAGCGGCCGAGCGACGGGAGCGAUGGAGUCGGCGAGCGGGCGGGAUCUGGGAUCGACGGCGGCGGAGAGCGGGCGAGAGCGCAGGCGCUGCUGAGCGGCGGGGGCGACGGCAGGCGCUGCUGAGCGGCGGGGGCGACGGCGGCGGAUCGGGGGCGAGAGCACGCGACGGAGGGGGCGAGAGGGAGGCGACUAGAUAAGCACGGGAGGCGAUAGGCAGCAUCGGUGCGUUAAGCCGCUCGAACGACUUCCUGGAAAGCCCAGUCGGAAAAAGCCCAGCGGAAGCGCACCGAACGGGCUGUAAAAGUUUGCAGUUGAUGGUGGGUUCAAGAAAUUAUUGUCCGUUGGUGUGUCGCCUCGUUAAGCUAGGUCUAAUAGCAACCUUUGAAAAAUGCUUUUCAGCUAUAAAACAAAUUAAAAUCGGUGACUAGUAUAUGAGCCAUUCCCUGAUAUACGUUUUGUGGACAAAGAUAUGUGGGCAUAAUUCCUAAUAAAGUGACCGCAGACCGUUUUCAUAAGAAUAAAGACUGCAAAGUAUAUAGUCAGAAAAGUUCAGGAAAUAUCGUAUCAAUUACACUGUUUGCAUAUCAAAUAAUUAUUAUUAUUAUUAUUUUGGUUCAAUUGGCAUCCAUUGUAAUUGUAUAAUGCUCAAAAACAAAGAACAUUCUUGGCAUUUGAGAACACCAAAAAUACUACUGCUACAAAUCAUUAAUAUAAACUACUUUAACAGAGUUAUUGUACAUGACAAAUAACAGUUUGGGCACAUGAAAGCCGCUCCAUUCGUUUCACUCUAGCACGUUGUCAAGCUUGAUCGAACCAUCGCUGCUUGAGCGCGCAUGCAGCCGUCAUCCGCUUCUCCGGGUUGCACCUCAGGAGCCCGCUCAGGACCUCGAACCCUGCCUCCGACAGCGACGGCCGGCCGGUGGCCAUGGCCAACUCGUAACUGCUGGGGAACAGGUCACGCAGGAAGCUUGUCGGCCCGCAGCCGCUCGGCAGGCGCUCGGGGCAAUGGCUCCACUCCUUGAUGUCGUUCGUGCCAAGAACGUUGAGCACCUCGCUGAGGUGCUCCUUGAUCGAGUCCCCGUAGAAGAGGAGGCCGCCGGCAAGGAGCUCGGCCAUGAUGCAGCCAAUCGCCCACGUGUCGACGCCCGCGUCGUAGUCGGCGCACCCGAGCAGGAGCUCCGGCGCGCGGUAGCUCCGCGCCACGACGGGGUUCGAGUACGGCGGGUCGUCGGCGACGGCGCGCGCCUUCCCGAGGUCGCAGAUCUUGAGGCUGCCGCCGGCGCCCACGAGGACGUUGUCCGGCUUGAUGUCCCGGUGCAUGAGCCCGACGCCGUGCAUGGCCGCGGCGCCGGCGAGAAGCUGCCGCGCGAUCCGGCGCACCUUGCCCUCGGCGUGCCGCCUCACGCCGCCCCGGCCCGUCCUCAUGGCGUCCUUGAGCGACGGCCCCACGAGCUCCAUGACGAUGAAGGACUCGCCGGUGGUCGGGUCGCGGCGGCACGAGUCGCGCAGCUGCACGACGCACGGGAGGCCGCGGCACGCCUCGAGCGCGCUGACCUCGUCGGCGAAGAUGGAGUCGAGGCGGGGGGCGUCGAAGUCGUGGGCGUUCAGGCGCUUCAUCGCCACGAUCUCGCCGGUGCGCCGGUCGUGCGCACGGUACACGACGCCGAAUGCGCCCGCGCCGAUCGCCUCUAUCUUCUCGUAGCGGCUGAUCGUGACGGCGAGUGGGGCGCGGGGACGGGGAGCUGCGGCUGCCGCCGCCGCACGCGCCAUCUCUCUACGCUUCUUGCGCUCUGCGGCGGCUGUGGCGCUGGCCUGGGCUCGAUGCGUCAUGUAAUACGCCAUGGCGGCGGCGGCGAGCGCAGCGGAAGCGCGCGGUCGCGUCGCCUAGGGCAGCAGAUGAGAUGCGCGUCGGGAUCCAGCGCCGAAAUGUUCUCGCGGUUAGAAUUUGUAGGCAGCAGCUGGGUUUACCGACUCCAACGCGAAUAGAUCAACACGAAUAGAACUAAGGCAUUGUGCCACGUUGCAUCUUCGGUUCGAACUCGGAUUGAUCAUGCACUCCUCGAUGGACGUCAAACUAGGGGUGGCAGAGUUUUCGUUCGGUUCGUUAAAUAAGGAGAUCACGAUGCAGAACACGAAGUUCCAGUCGUUAGGUUCUUUGAUCGAGUGGCUCAGGUCUUCUCAUUCCACCGCCAGACUAAUUUUUAGUUCAGAACACAUCGGAUGUUUGAUACCAAUUAAAAGAACUAAACGUGAACUAAUUAUAAAACUAAUUGCAUAAGUCCUGGCUAAUUCGCGAGAUGAAUCUAUUAAAUCUAAUUAAUCCAUAAUUAGCACAUAUUUACUGUAGCAUCACAUGGUCAAAUCAUGAAUUAAUUAGGUUUAAUAGACUCAUCUCGCGAAUUAGCUUUCAUUUAUACAAUUAAUUUUAUAAUUAAUCUAUAUUUAAUAUUUUUAAUUAGUAUCUGAACAUUCCAUGUGCUAAUCGAACCGUAUGCAUGCCCCGUUCCGGAGCCGCCACCCCUCCUUUUUCUUUGUGUCCGCGAUGACGGCACUUGCCGAUGUCAUCUCCAAAGCCGACGAGCCAGCCUGGCUGCCCCGAGUCCCCUUUCGUACGGCGUCAUCUCUAUGGCUCCAUCUGCAAUUGCAACAGUGUUGUCGGGCGCGGAACAGUACGUGUUCUUGGUUUUCUUUUCCAGCAGCUUGCAGUCCACAACAGAAGUUGCAAUGCAGUGGCUAAUAGUGUAAUUGUAUACCCCAUAAAAAGAUGCAUAGUUUCAACUGCUUGUCAGAGUUCAGGUCCAUGCAAUAUGAACUUUUUUUGCUUAUCUGACCCAGUCGAAUGUGCUCCAGGUUCUCAAUCCUCCAUAUAUGUUUCACCCGUUUGGCUUUUAAGAAAUUAGGAAUAAAAUGAGCCCGAGCUUCAGUAUGCACACCCUUCAGUGCUAUAGACUCACUCUGGGCAGGCUAUUGCAGCAUAAACUCCGAAAAGGAAACACUUCCACUGCUGAAAAACUAAGCAUUCGUCCCAAUGCUCAAUACCGGUUGCUUUUUAGAGGUCGUCAGAUGCCUUUUAGUACCGGGUUAUAACACCACCUGUCGGGGGGAAAUAUUAAUGAUCUCCCCCAAGCCCAUGGAAGUAACAAAACAUGAAGGCCCAGGCCCGCCUAAGGUAAUGAAACUGGCGCCGGCCCAACACGGGGGACGGGAAUUACGCUCCGCCUCGCCUGACCCGGUAUCCUGGGGUCAGGCAUCCCCAACCCCCGUGAGACCAAGACUCCGCCUCGACCGACCGCAGGUCCGGGGUCGGGAGCAUCCGACCCCCCGCCGCAGGCCUCCGCCUCGCCCGACCCCAAGCGUAGGAGGUCGGGCUGACCUGGGCCCACCAGACAAGUAUUCGCCUCGGGCGCGGAUCUCGUGGGUCCCCCUAUUGAUUCCACCAAAAAUGCACCGCAAAGCUGUCAGAGGGAAGGAUAUCCACGCCCCCACGCAACCUGGCGCAAGUACCCAUGCCCGGCCGCACAGUACUUGCUACAAUAGCUGCGACCCUCUCCGAUUGGCUACAGGGCACUCAUGGUCUGCGCUGCCCGGAGCAGGAGGAAGCCUCGCCCGCUCUCAUGCCCCGCGUGCCCGGCGGCAGAGAUGCGACGUCCGCUCUUCGCGGGGCGUCAGCAGGAUAGCAAGAUCCGCCGCCUCCAACGGACAUGGGGGUCACAACAAAACGUCAUCAUCACAUCCGGCGGCUACAGUCGCCGAGGAAGCCAUCGACAGGAGGCAACGGCCGCCACCCUCUUCCGGCAAACGCGUCGGUGGAAGCCGAAGGCCGGCGAGGACGCCGGUGACUUGGGAACUUGCUUCCUCCCUCUCGUUGUGUUUUUACCUAGCCAUGUUUAUCAAUUUUACCGCUCCCCACAUUCGGUCUCACCUGUAACUCUGGUGGCCUCCUUACGCUAUAAAAGAGGAAUCGAGGGCCUGAGACAGGCGAGGCUGGACGCACAACUAAAGACACCAUAACGCUCCCCUAGACAACAGAACACACGAGCGCACCCUGCCAGAGCGUCAGGGUACAUCCAAGAGACUUGGGAUCGGUUCCCUCUCUCGCACUCCUGUAACCCCUACUACAGAACCCCGCGUGGGCAACACGAGCAGCUCCCGAUACUGGACGUAGGGCAUUCCUUUGCCCGAACCAGUCUAAACCCCGUGUCUCUCACGCCACCAUCCGAAGCCUUACGCGCAUAAAAGAAAUUUACUAGUCUAAAUCUUGACCCGCUAAUCUUGACAACGACACCACCCGGUACUAAAAGGUCCAAAUCCUCGUGACUUUAGUACCGGGUCGUAAUACCACCCGGUACUAAAAGUGGGUACUAAAAGCCUCUCCACGGGUUACUUCAAAAGUAAAGCAUAUCUAACUCUAUCACAUGUGCUGUGUAUAUGAGGUGGUAAGGAAGGCUCACACAAGGUCAGAGGUUGUGGGUUUGAAUCCCACAGAUUGCGCGUAUUGUGCAUGUGGGAGCCUCCCGACUCUUCAAAAUAUUAUUUCUUUAUUUUUUGGACGAAAAACAAGUUAGUACUGAUUAUUUGAUGCCCCUUUAGUUCCGAUAUAGUAGUACGGUUGCACAAUCGAUACUAAAGAGAUGUUUGAAACUGGUACUUUCCACCAGGCAGCAUCCCUCUGCAUGCAAUAGUAGUCUCUGCAAAAUGUUGCCCAGGCGGGAGUAUCUUCUGUGUUCUUGAUUGGUAUAGCUAGGAUGUGAUGAGCAUCAUCUGGGCAAAAAAUUGCCUCCACGAGAUCAGACAUCGGAGUCCGUGCUCCAGGUGGCCGUGGCCCGGUCAAUUCUAAUCUAAAGAAAAAGGUGGUCCGGUCAAUUAAGGUCUUAUUUAGUUCACCUCAAAUUCCAACUUUCGUACUAUGCAAAAAGAAGAUUCUCCAUCACAUCAAAUUUACGGUACAUGCAUGGAGUACAAAAUGUAGGUGAAAUUAAAAACUAAUUGCACAGUUUUGUUGUACUUUGCGAGACGAAUCUUUUGAGCCUAAUUAGUCAAUAUUUGGACAAUAAUUCACAAAUACAAACGAAACACUAUAGUGUUGCUACAGUAAUUUUGAUACCCCAAAGUUGAGCAACUAAACAAGACCUAAUUUGCCUUUUGUACUUGUUACCGAUCACUUGCAGCCAAACCCACGCAUGGGCCAAGAAUAAAAGCAGCAACGAAAGGGGCCUAGAAUGAGCGGCGUUCGACACACGAGCAUCCGAGCACGCCGUGUCAUCGUGUUGAGUUGACACGUGGUUGCCAUGAUUGCGGCUCGAAUCGGCGUCAGCGCGGCGGUGUAGUGGAGGAGCCUGUCUACGGUGCGAAAUGGUCGACGGCAGCCACCUACAUUAGGGGCUCGAUGAAACGCCUAGCUUGGGCGCACUCUUUUCUUUUUCUGGCCCCGCUUUUUAUUAGAAUCUUGCCUAUUUCCUUUAUCCAUUUAAUCCUCUAAACAAAAUUUAGACUCAUUUUGCUUCCCAAACUAUUUCGUUUGGUCCCAUCUACCCUCUAAUUAUAUUUCUCUUUUUUUUCUUCGCGUAUAACAUGAUGCUCUAUGUUAUAAAAAUACAUUAGCAAUUUUCCAUGAUUACUUUUUCAUACAUUUUUUAAUAUCUAAGAUCAAUUUCAUAUUAAAUAUUCCUAACCUAUGAAAUAAUCCUGAAAAAUUCUUGAUAUAAUUUUUUAACAUAAGGCAUUAUAUUUUGUAUCUGCUCACAAAAUUUGAAAUCAAAAUUCAAUAGAGAAAGGAAAAAGAAAAAUCUAAUUAGAGGUAGAUUGGACCAAAUGAAAUAGUUUAUAGGAGUAAAUUGAGCCUAAAUUUUGUUCAGGGGUUAAGCAAACAAAGUGGAUAGGUGAGGGGAGUAAAAUGGACUUUUUUUCCUUUUUAUUAUGGAUGGAGGAAGGGUGCAGAUUUGCAAUAUGAUCCAUCAUUCCUGUGCUUGUGAACCGCGCGAAUAGAAUCGGAUCUUAAUUUUGGAACAUUGUUGGAGUUCGAGUAUUUUUUUUCACUUUUCAGAGUACAGAUCGAAUCAGGAUUUGGUUGCGUGAGGUCGGGGGUAUAUACUAAAUCCUAGGGUCCGGUUGUUCUCCAACAUUACCAAGUUUGUUAUUGUUAGUCACGUCGAGUCGAUACUUAGAGGGUGUUUGGUUCCACCUUGCUAAACUUUAAUUGCUAAAGUUUUAGAACUUUUUAGCUGCUAAACUACCAAACACCCUUGCUAAAACUUGCUAAAGUUGAGUUGCUAAAGUUUAGCAGUUUAGCAAGAUUUUGGUUGCUAAACUUGCUAAAAGGUUGGGUUGGACACCCUAUACCUCUCAUUUAUUGUUGUCUGGUGCGCACCCGCACUCCCGCACUCACACCCCACCCGCGUCUGCCGCACUCCUCUGCUCCCCGCAUCCUCUAUUCCUCCCUACCCCUCCCGCACUCGCACUCUCACUCCUCUGCUACUCGCAUCCACCGCUGCCGCCUCCACACAUCCACCGCCGCCGCUUGACGCAUCCACAGCCGCUAGCUCCUGCAGUCCAGCCCCACCGCCGGUGCUUGCACCCCAUCCACCGUAGGUCCCAGAUUCAUCUCCAUCUCCGCAUCCCAUCUUCCCCCCUUCCCCCACCCCCCACCCCGGAUCUGUCCCGCUGCCACACCCCGGAUCCGCCAUCCUCGCCGCCGUAACCCCCGGAUCCAUUCCUAUCGCCGCCGCCAACAGCCUCUGCUCCAUCCUCCUCCCCGUCGGUGCCUCUCCCUAUUCCAUCUCCAUAGCCGGCGCAAAUAUCCCCAGCCCCAUCCCCACCGCAGCUGCCAACGUCCCCCUGCACCAUCCCCAUCGCCGCCGCCACCUCCCCUUGCCCCAUCCCCACCGCAACCGCUCCGAGCAGAUGGAUGGAUACUGUGAUUGGUUUUCGCAGGGUGCUUCAUCCUCAGUGGCCCCUUCUUUCCCUAAUCCUGCUGCCAUACCUGAUCCAGACGAGUUGGAGUUCCUGUCCCAAGGCCCGUCGCGCGCUCGGGCGGCUCCAUCUCUCUCGGUUGGGAGGGUUAACAUGCAGGAUCUUGACCUCAACUCCCAGGAUGAGGCAUUCCCCUUCCUCGAUGUGUACUCUGAUAUUCUGGAGUCUGGAAGAGGACGCGGCGAUGGUGGUCAUCUCGGCUCAUUUCAACCUCCCCGUCAGAGCGAUGGUGGUGUUUCCAUCGGCCGAGGAAGGGGUGUCACUGCACGUGGUCAUCGCCGUGGCCGUGGAAGGAUUGCUACUGCUUCACUUUCGCCGCCUGCAGGUUUACCUCUUUUUUUUGAUGAAUUGGUUCAUCUUGGUGGAUGUUCUUGGUGAUUUGUCGUUGUUGGUUCUGAUUGUUGCUCCUCUUACAUUUCAGAUGGUAGUCCUCCUAUCCGGCAAUCUGUUCGGGGGAGGUUGGGAUGAGGCCUAGCCUCUGCCGUCAUCAUCCAUGAACAUUGAGGAUGUUGAAGAAUUGGACGACGAAACUGGGGACGAACCUUAUGUAAGCGUCCUGUCCUCUUAGAGUAGUGUGCAUCUCUUAUUUUGUUAGAGUAUUUAUGUUUUGCAUUUUGUGUUAGAACAAAUAUGACAAAGCAAACUGGAGCAAAAAAACACAGGCAUUUUUUGUGAAUUAUCUGUGGAACAAAUCCGGUUAGGCAAUGCACCAGGUGGGGUGGUGUAUUCUAGAGGUUUCAAGGAAAUAGCUGCAAAAUUCAGGGAAAGGACUAACCUCAAGCAUGAAAUCAAGCAAUUCAGAAAUAGGUGGACACAAUGCAGGAAAUUAUAUAAAUUUUACAAUUUGGCAAUGAAACAAUCAGGUUUAGGUAGAAAAAGUAAUGGAGCAAUUUCAACAUUGAAACAAUGGUGGAAAGAUAACAGCAAGGUAGAUAUUUUUUUUUGUUUGUGCUGUUUACUUUUUUUUGUUGCAAGGUACAUAGUUUCUGAAUUCCUCUAUCAUUGGAUUGCAGUCACCAGAAUGCAAUAAAUUUAGCAGAUUCAUACCUCACUAUGUUGAGCUACUGCAUGAGAUGUUCCACAAAAAGGUUGCUGAUGGAUCAACAUCUACCAUAGCUGGAGAUGUGGAUGAGGAUAAGGAGUUCCCUGAUGAAGAUGACUUACCGGUGGAUGAGGACGACUACCCUCAAGAGAGCCCUAUGAGUAAUGGCAGCCGAAAAAGGAGUACCAGUACAAAUGACACAGCAUCAAGCCCACCAAAGAAGAGUAAAAGUCCAUUUUUUAGCAUGUUCAAGGGCCUCAUAGACACUAUGCAAGCUAGCAGCUCUGAAGAUAACAAUACCAUGAGGGUUAAGAUGGAGUUACAAUUGAAGCAGAAGGAACUGGAACUGCAACAACAAUUGAAGCAGAAGGAGAUGGAGUUGGAAUUUAGAAGGCAUUCUCAGGAUAAAGAAGAAGAGGAGUUCAAAGAAAGCCUUGUUAUGGCAUAGGAUUGUGGAGCAUCAGAAUUGUCAGAAGAGUACUUUGUUGCUAUGGAGUUGUUUACCAUUAGACUAAACAAAAUAGCUUUUGGCACAUUGAAGACAAAAGAAGCAAGGUUGAAAUGGUUGAAAACUAAGUGUGGCAGGUCAUGAAGUGUGGGCAACAACAAGUAGCUGUCAUGAAGUGUUGGCUUUGUCAUUAGAUAGUUAGAACUAUUUAAGAAACUUGUGUAAACUAUGCUUCUGUCAUGUGUGGACUAUUUAGUUGUUGUGUGAGAACUGAUUUACUAUCUUGUGUGGACUAUUUGAUUGUCAUGUGAGAUAUGAUUUCCUGCCUUGUUGAGAACUAUUUCAUGGCUGAUCCAUGGCAUUUCCAUGUGUGUACAGGUUGACUUGUUUGAUUAUGUUGAUGACUGGCUGGUUAAGAGGAAAAGGAUAAGAAGAGAACUUGUUGUCGUUGGUGCUUUGCUUGGUAUGUACUAUUAUGACACAUACUUGAACAGAUCACAAUAUAGGGUGCCUACAGAAUCUGGAUAUGAAUGGGUUAUCAAAACUUUAGGAAAUAGAUCAUCUUGCUACAACAUGUUCAGGAUGAAUAGAGAUGUAUUUGAUAGGCUUCAUAAUCUCCUUGUCCAAUCUUAUGGAUUAAACUCUACAAGGAGAAUGACAUCAGUAGAGUCUUUAGCUUUAUUCCUAUGGAUGUGUGGUGCCCCUCAAAGCAUGAGGCAAGCCGAAGAUCGUUUUGUUAGGUCAACUUGGACAUGUAGUAGGAAGUUCGAUAAAGUCUUGCACAGUAUUUCCAAGCUAGCAGGGGAUAUCAUUAGACCAGUUGACACAACAUUUAGUACUGUGCAUCAGAAGUUGAAAUCUCCACGGUUCUCUCCAUACUUUGACAAUUGCAUUGGAGCUAUAGAUGGGACACACGUGCCUGUUUUUGUACCAGCAGAGAAGGUUGUCCAACAUACGGGACGACAUGGGUACACUAGCUAGGAUGUGUUAGCCAUAUGUGACUUCGACAUGAGAUUUACUUUUGUCGUUGCGGGAUGGCCUGGAUCGGUUCAUGACAUGAGAGUCUUCUAUGAUACAAUUCUUCACGUAGUACGAAUGUUUCUGCAUAUAUGUAACACGGGUACUAUUGAUGUGCAGGAAAGUUUUAUCUUGUGGACUCUGGAUACGCAAACUGACCUGGGUAUCUUGCCCCAUACAAGGGUACGAAAUAUCAUCUACCAAAAUUUUGAGCCGGACCACUUCCAAGAGGUAAAAAGGAGUAGUCAAUUAUGCACAUUCAUCAUUAAGAAAUGUCAUCAAGAGGUCUUUUGGAAUUUUGAAGAACAAAUGGUGUAUUUUGCGCGAUUUACCAGCUUAUCCAAUGGCAAAGCAAAGUCAAAUAAUUAUUGCUUGCAUGGCAAUUCAUAAUUUCAUUAGAGAGAAUGCUAUUGCUAAUGUUGAUUUUCAGAGUGCGGAUCAUGAAGAAAACUAUGCUACACCUUCGGAAGGAGCAUCAUAUCAAGCAAAUGAAGGUACUACCCAACAUGGAGAUGAAGAUCAAAGCAUGAACCAGUUUCGGGAUUGGAUAGCCGAUGAAUUGUUCAAUAGGUCAUAGUUACCUUUAUUUUUUUUAACAAUGUAAUUUUUGGGCUACACAACAAUUUUUGGCUUCAAUUAAAAAUAAAUGGCUGCCAGCACCGUGACAAGCCAUUUUGUUCCUUGGCGCAUGGCGCCAGGAAGAAAUGGCGCCAAGGAGCCUGGCGCAACCUUCAGGAAACUAGCGCCAAGGACCCUGGCGGUUGAACCAGGGAGGAGAGAGAAAAGAUGGGAGGAGGGAGAAAGAAGGGUAGCAUUUAUUAGGGGCAAACAAGUCUUUAUCCUUCUCAUUGAAUGCCUUUUAGCAAAGGGAACCAAACAGCCUUGGCUAAACUUUAGCAACUAAAGUUUAGCAACUUUUAGCAACUAAACUUUAGCAAGAGGAACCAAAUAGGCCCUUACUAUUCUGGUGAACCAAUUAGAGUUCAAGUUCAGGGCCUCGUGGAAUCAGGCCCUGGGAUUCUAAUUUUUGGGUUGAAUCUGGUGAUUCUCUCAUCUGAAUUCGUGCUUAGGAUUUAGGACUGGACAGGCUCUGCGGAUUCUGCGGAUUGAUUCCUACUGGUAAGAUUAUUGUUGAUUGUGAAGUGGUAGUGUCUGUGACUCUGUGUACUGUUGUUCUUGUUAUCUGGAAAAAAGGAAUAGACGCAUCAAAUAGCUGCUUGAUCUUUGCUGCUGAAAGUUUGCUUUGCAGCUGUCUUUGAUUUCUACUCCAUGUGACAUUCUUAUAUGGUUUUGCUACUACCUGAAUCCGACAGGAAGUUCUUCUUUUCUUUAUAAUUGAUGCUGGCUGGUUGGGUUCCUGCAAUUUGCAUAUCGCAAUUUACUAUAUAGAUUGUGAGAGCCAAUUCGGUUUGGGGAAAAAAAAUUAACAGAUUAGGGCAUUGUUGAUACUCUUACAUGAACGUAUAGAUGUAAUACGUGUAGUUCACAAUGCCUUGUUCUCUAUUUCCAUUGUAAUGACCCUCUACUCCUGCCUGCCUUCACUGUUCAGAAAUUAGCCUGUGGCACCAAAUGUCACCUACAUCGGGAUUAAUUCCCCCAAGCCAUGACUUAAUCUGCCUCCCACCAUACAUGCAGGAUUGAUAAUUCACUGUGAAAUGGGCAUGAAGGGUACGACUGGCACUGAUGAAGAGAAAAAUAACCGGCAACCUCCUUGGUCACAAUUGUUACCAGAACUGGUCUCCAUGAUAUGUUAUCAACUCUGCCCAAGCGAUGUUCCUCGCUUUGCAUCGGUUUGUAAGCACUGGUAUUCUUGUGUGUUCCGUGUCUAUCCUGCAGAUAUAUUCCACCCCCAUUCUUACCAGCAACACCAUCUCGGACUCCGACCUGAUUCGUUGCUAUAGUCCCUACCAUAACAAGAUGUUUAUUGUUCGUACCCCUCUAAGAGUUCCUUCGGAAAGUAGAAUCUUCUCAGGAGAUGCGAAUGGAUGUGUUACUCUCACGACGCCAGACAAGACUCUCUUGUUCGGUAAUCUCUUGGAUAUUUCAGCAUUCGAGACAACUGAGUCCAAACACGAUGAAGGAUACUUCUGCGCAUCGCAUAAAGAUGGGACUGGAAAUUCAGAGCAAUGCGCAAUCUUUGGCUUUUAUGCUUCUACGAACACUAUAAGAGUUCAGAGAUGGAAUGGAGAAAGGUGGAAGUAUUUUGUUGAUGUCUCGGACGACGAAGUUGGCUCCGACUCCAGCUCCGGCUCUGAUUCCGAUUCUAACUCAGACUCCGGCUUCGGCUCCAGUUCUGACUCUGAUUCCAACUCAGACUCAAACUCCGGCUUAGACUUAGGGUCUGUUUGGUUGGACUGUGAGCUGUGAAAAAGCUGCUGUGAGCUGUGAGCUGUGGAAAAGCUGCUUUAAGUUGUCAGCUGUGAGAAAGCUGAAAGUCGUUUGGUUGAAACAGCUGUGAGACUGUAGGUUUGGCAAGGAAGGUCUGUAAUGUCCUUGGAAGGUACGAGGGACUGUUGAUAUGCAAAUUGAUUGUAAAACACUGUGUUGUUCACUUAAUCACAUGUAAAUUACCAUUUUAGAAAGGGAAAUUUAAUUUUUUUUAAAAUUUUGCAGCCACCAUUACCAUAUUGUCCACAUGAAUACAAAGAUAACAUUUCACAAAAGAUAUAUGGUUCAUAUAAAUGUCCACCAUUAACAUAUGGUCCACAUAAUUAUCUCCCUCUCGUCCUAACCAAAGCAUCAGCUAUUCUACUACGAAUAGUAUUCAUCGUAUCCUCAUUCUCCCCAUCUGGACUCUCAUCUCCUUGUGUUUGGGUUAUGCCACAUGUCUCUUGUAGUAGGUAGUCCUCAUCAGCAUCACAUCUAUCAAACACUUUAUCAUGCAAAUUGCUCUCACGAAUAAAAUUAUGCAAUGCCAUGCAAGCAAGAAUAAUAUGCUUUUGAGUACGAGUGGAGAAACUUGGCAUGUCCUUCAAAAUACGCCACUUCUGCUUCAACACUCCGAAAGCCCGCUCAAUGACAUUUCGAAGGGAUGAAUGCAAAAAAUUGAAAAUCUCGUACUUCCCUUGAGGAGGACGUCCAGAACGAAGCCGGAAUUCUGGUAUGUGGUAUGUGCUUCCUUUGAAAGGAGCAAGAUAUCCUACUCUGUUUGGAUAGCCAGAGUCCACAAGAUAAUAUUUUCCUACAAAACCAAAUCAAAUCAUCAAAGGAAAACAACAAUAGAACUAUUACUAACUCUUAACCAACAUGCAUACCUUUGGGAGGCACGGGAAAUGAAGGAAAAUUCGCUAAUGCAUGAUUGAGAAUCCGUGUGUCAUGUGCAGAACCCGGCCAACCAGCAACCGCAAAGAUAAACCUCAUAUCAAAGUCACAAACUGCUAGCACGUUCUGAGAUGUAUAUCCAUGUCGACAUGUGUGGUUAACCACUUCCUCUGCUGGAACGGCAACUUUAACAUGUGAACCGUCUAUAGCUCCAAUAGCGCCUUUGAAAUAAGGCCAGAAACGGUCCUCUUUCACCCUUUCAUGCUCAGUACAGAAAGUUGGAUCUCUUGGCUUGAUAUUGUCCUUUGCUAACUUGCGCAAACAAUUCAAUACUUCAUGAAACUUGGUGUGAACUGUCCAUAGCGACCGUGUAAAACGAUUUUCAGCUUGUGAAAAUGAUUGGGGUCCUCCGACGAUCCACAGAAACAUCGCCAAUGACUCAAUUGAUGAAACAUUGUUAGUUGAGAUCAAACCGUAAUUCGAGAUGAGCACAUCAUGUAGUGCCAUGAAAAUAUCAGUGCUCAUUCGAAACAUCUUAUAAAAGUACCUCGGACGAUCAAAGCACCUCGUAACCCAUUGAAGUCCAGUUUCUAAUGUUUCCCUGUAUUCUGCUUUGUUGAAAUAACGAUCCGUGUACAUGUUUCCCAUUUGACCAAUAGUAGCAGCCUGAUAGGAAAGUUCAGCUAGAAGCAAUAAUCCCUUUUGCUCCUUUUUGGCCAGUUCUUCCAUGUUGGCAUCCAUCUACAGACACAAGUUCAAUUCUUCCCUACAGACACAAGUUCAAUUCUUCCAUUCAGAUAACAGAAGCACAUAACCAAAUAUAUGAACAUCAUAUGGAUGGACAACACGAAUAUAUGAACACCAUAUGAACACAUAACCAAUGGUUCUCAAAUAGUUCUCACAGACAACUAAAUAAAUAUUGGUGCACAAACGACUAAUGGUUCUCAACAAAGGGUAAUAACAGACAACUAAUGGUUCUCAACAAAGAAAAAUAAACAAUUAUUGGUUCACAACACAACACUAGAUAAAGUAGAAAAUAGUUCUACUGACGCUUUAACAACUCCUUUUCAUGCUCUCUCUCAAUCAAAUCGAACCUUCCUUCUUUUGUUUCCAGGGAGCUAAAGACCUCCCUAAAUUCAGGUUUGACGAUAAGGAAAGUGGCUGUGUGCAUUAGAGCAGUUUUUUCUUGCACUCCACAAUCUUUCACCAUCUUCAUAGCCUCUGAAAUGCUUGGGACUGGAUUGGUUGGAGCAGCAGAUGAAGCUUCAACACUAGAGGAUAUCUUAUCUGCUGCAGUUUCUAUCUUCAAACAUGUGUUCUUGUACAGUCGAAAGAAUGGGCUCUUCUCCUCCUUCUCUACAAUAGAACUAGAGUGUUCCUUGCGUUUCUUUUUUCCUGGCUUUGAUUUCUUCAAAGCAGCCAGCUUCACAUCAUCAAUGUCUUGAGUUUUUUGUAUCUCACUCACAUCGUCAUCACUUGACUCAUCAGAGGAUAUAUCUCCAGGGCAAGAUGCACUAGCGCCAUUGACAUGUAUCUUAUCAAACAAUAUAUGCAGAUCAUCAAGGUGCUUUGGCCCUUGUUUUCUGAACCUCACAUGAUUGCAUUUGAUACCUUUCUCAGGAUUAUUGCACCUCUGAAAUUAAAUGAAACAAAGGGUUCAUUAGCAAGUAAUAGAAUAUGAAAACAUUGAAAAUGAACAAUGAAUAAUGACAGUAAAGUGCUUACAGCUAGGUGUUCAUCCCACCAUUCCUUAGAGCACUCAACAGUUCGCUUCGCCUCAUUCCAUCCAAGCCCAGUUGCACUAUUUUUCAACUCCAUGAACCAUGUAUAUUCCUUUUUCAUAUUGUCCCACUUGUUCUUGAGUUGUUUCUUUGUUAGCUUCUGACCAGUUUUUUCUUCAUGCUUAGAUAUAACAUUUUUCCAACCAGUCCUAUUGAAAAAUCCCAACGGCCUAUUUCCAGCUUCUAUCUCUCCUUUGCAGAUAUCAAUAAAAAGCCUCACAUUGGCAUCACACCAAUCUGCCUUAUCAGCCAUUCUUGAAUGAAGAAAAAAAACUUUGAUUCAAUUCAGUUACCAUAACAUGACUACGACCCAAGAACUAGUGUCUAUCUCUAUACUCUUGUCCUUCAAUUCAUCCAUGAUAUAUCUAGUCUGGCAUAAAGGAAGUUAUAAUACCCCAGAUCUUUGGUGGUAUUCACCCUACCUAAUAAUAUGCACAAUAGUUAUUUUUAGAUGAGCUACUCCCACAAGUAUAUUUCACAGAACACAGUUUAUAAAACCUUAAUGUGCACAAGCCAAUUUACUACUCGAAUGGCACAUGCCAAUUUACUACUCGAAUGAACAAGCCAUGUGUUUGUUUUCUCAAUAUACUCCAUGAAUUAAUAAUGGCUACCUACAUGUAUCUGACGGACAGCACAGAGCACAACAGGGAAUUCAAUAUACUUGAGCUCGAGCUCCUAGAGACUCACCUCGAAUCCUGACUCACGGAAUCCCGUCCACUCGAGUGCUUGCAGAUCUGGAGCUGCCAGCCACGGAUUUGCGCUGCGCCAGCUCCUACAGCUUGGUCCGGGGAGGAGACGAAAGGGGCGGCCACAAGGACGGCCCCAGGAGAGAGGUCAGCGGCGUCCCGCUGGAGGCGGCGGCCUACUGCGACGGAGAGAGGGCGGCGGGGGCCUGCUGCAACGAAGACAGGGCGGCGGCGGCCCGUUGGCAGCAGCGACAGGGCAGGGGCAUCCCGCUGCCACCGGCGACCCGCUGUGACGGACAAGGCGGCAGCGGCCUGCUGCGACGAAGAAAGGGUGGCGGCCCUAGGAGAGGAAGAGAGGGCGGGAUGCGCUCUUGCCGGGGAGGAGCGGCCGCCGUCGCCGAUGACGAAGCAGGAAGCGCCGCCGCCGGCCCGUGCGCUAACCCUAGCGCAGCCUGCGGUUGUGGAUAGAGGAGAGCGAUGGUUCUGGACCAGAGAAAGAGAGGAGAGCCAUGGAAAAUAUCGAACCGGUAAGUUGUAAAGAGUGGCAGGCGGGUAAUUUGAUGUAAAACCAAUCCUUCGCAGCCGGUGAAAGCCGGGUAAGAGGUGCUGCGGGAAUACAAUGUCGCGCGAAGCUGCUUUUUGUUGAAGUACCGUGCUAGGAGCGCAAGCUUUGGUUAGCUUUCUACUUUUUGCGGCAGCCACAGCACUUUAGAAGUCAAACCAAAUAGACUCUUAGACUCUGGGUCCGGCUCCGGCUCCGGCUUAGACGCAGACUCAGACUGCAAUUGUGACUGCUACUGUGACUCCAACUCAGUAUCCGACAAUGACGAGGAAGAUGCUGUUAAAGAGAAGCAAGAAGAGGAUAUGGAGUUGAAAGAGGAAAAGGUCAAGGAGAAGGAGAUGGAGGAGGAAGAAGACAAUGAAGGGAUUUCACAAUGUCUUGCUGCCCAGUACUGCACAAGGGUCUCUGGUACUGCCUGGGAAAAGGAGGAAGGUUAGGAGUUUAUGGUCCCAAGAGGAGGGGGAGUUGGAUUUUUCUUCACAAACCCACCAGCUUUGGUUCUGAGUUCCCACACAAAAAUGGCUACCUGGUUGAGUCUAGCCAGGAGCUGCUUGCCGGUUUUGACGGGAAGGGAUGGCACACCCAUCCAUGUGCUGAAGCUUACUGGGUAGCAGGAGAUGAUGUGGGAAAAGAUAGACUCACUGGGUAGCAGAGCAAUCUUCACGGGAACGGUUGCAUCACUAUCAAUGGCUAAGCCUCCAAAAGACAUGGAAAACAAGGUCUACCUUCCCAAGUUCUAUGGGCACCCUCCGAUAUAUACAGCAAAGCUCACCAGCCCUAGGGAUCGCCUCUUUUUCGUGCCAGAGCAAAAGGAGAUGCAACAGCCCAGCUCUAACAAGUCAUUUAAUACCUUCAUGGGGAAGCAUGGUACCUGUGGAGAUAAGAAUGGCGCCUGGUGCUAUGACCUGGAGUUGGACUCCAGGGUUGACAAGAAAAUAUGUGGCUGCAAGAAUAUGCUGCAGUACAUCUGGGUUCAUCUUGGCCGUGCUUCACCAUAGAUAAGAUAGUUAGGAGCAUGGAUCACCCGUUAGAUCAUUGUUCCAGCUUGGGCUUGAAAUUGAUGUUUGUUUUGGCCAAAACACUUGAUGGAAUAUUUGCGAAUACUGAUCCGCAGUUUUGUCAAGCAUGCUGUUGUGAUCUUUCUUCCAUUUGAUUGUUUCAUGAUCGUAGUUUUUAAGUUUAACAAGAGAGAAUCCUCAAUUCUCUUUGUCCCAGGUUAGCAGAACUUUGUGUGAAUCAGGAAAGGCAAAUAAUCAUUGGCAUGUUCCAUCUGAUGUCUCCGGCUCACUCUGCAAGUUAGAGAUCAUAUCAUGUAACAAUCUUAAGAACUUAAUUUUGUACUAUCAAUUACCUUCGCCUUAUAGAUCCAACGACCGACAACAUUUCCUAUCUACCUACUUUCCUCUCCACAGCCUCCUAUCGACUUCCCUCGAUAAGUUGGGUUUCUUUAUUGUGACAGUUGAAUCUAAUUGUUUUGCAAAGGGCAGGAGCAGGCAAUUCACUGUAUGAUAUCUGAUAUUGAAAUUGUGGAACCUGUAGUCAUUAUGUAGUCCUAGAAUUAAGCUUUUUCACGACCGUGCCUUAGCACGUACUCCCUCCAUCCUAAAAUUACUAUUUGUUUUGACUUUUCUAGAUACAUGUCUUUUGAUAUGCAUCUAAAUGUAUACUAUGUCUAAAUACAUAGCAAAUUUUAUGUAUUUAGAAAAACCAAAACGAAUAGUAAUUUAGAAAGGAUAGAGUAUUUCACUAAGAGAAAGAAAGCAUACAAAACAUCCUACACCAUGUCAUACAGAGGAUAACAUAGCAGAAAAAGGAAGAAAAAAAAAGAAAGAGCAGGCUAAUGCAUUGUACUCUGUAGUCCUAAAAUUAAGCUGGUGGUCACUGUUAAAAAAAAUUCUUGAGAAACUACGAGGGUGUUUGGUUCCCACCCCCUAGUCCCAUCACAUCGAAUGUUUACAUACUAAUUAGGAGUAUUAAAUAUAAACUAUUUACAAAACCCAUUGCACAGAUGGAGGCUAAACAGCGAGACGAAUCUAUUAAGCCUAAUUAGUCUGUGAUUUGACAAUGUGCUGCUACAGUAACUAUUUGCUAAUGAUGGAUUAAUUAGGCUUAAUAGAUUCAUCUCGCCAUUUAGCUUUCCAUCUAUGCAAUUAGUUUAUAAUUAACUCAUAUUUAAUCCUCCUAAUUAGCCUCUGAAUAUUCGAUGUGACAUGAAUUAAACUUUAGCUCAAGGAACCAAACACCCCUAGGUGUCAGCAAUGGCUGCAAUGGGGCGCUAAAACUCCAGUGCGCGAAAUUAGAAGAUAAAACACCAAAAAUACUGUAUUAAUCCACGAUUACUGGCAAUAUUUUCUAUGUUCUACUUGAUUCUUUUAUUUUCAGGCGCAGAUGCGUGGUCUUAUUCCAGAGAAGUGAGUAAACAAGGUUGACUUUUAUUUUAGAUGUUAGAUCGGGUCUAAAAACACACUCUUCUAGUGCAUACAACUCUAGCGCAUACAACUGUCCACAGAGCACAAACCAGUUCUGCUGUAGCAUCUACAUGCGGUCCUUUUCUUUUUGUUCCCAUUGAAUAUGAUACUUCUGUCAGUUUUCGUUUGGAUUUACUGUACCCGUGCAACUGCUGCAGUGAUAAUCUGGGACAAGUGAAAUGCUGUCAUGUUCUUUCGCUUGUGCAUCACCAGGUCUGCAUGGUUGCUAUUGCUAGAGUUCUAGUUUAGCAUACAGUAAAUUUUCGUAGCAAUGCUUGGUUAACUUGGUUUGUAAUAAGGCCACGACUUCUUGGAUGAUGGAUUUUGUCUGGUGUCAUUAGCCGUGUCUGGGGUUCAUUGUUUCUGAAUGUUUUUAGGGUGCCCGAAUUUGGUUGGAACGUGUUGCCAGUUGAUACCGGUUCUUCCAUUUUACAUUCUGUUAUCCUUACGUUUGUCGACUCGGCUGUAAUCGCACGUGGUCCAUCAAUAAUCGCAUUCAAGGAAUAAGAUUAUGGUCUGGUUUGGUUCCACCGACUUAUUUUUAGCACCCGUCACAUCGAAUGUUUAGAUACUAAUUAGAAGUAUUAAACGUAGACUAUUUACAAAACUUAUUGGAUAAGUGGAGGCUAAACGGCGAGACGAAUCUAUUAAGCCUAAUUAGUCCAUGAUUUGACAAUGUGUGCUACAGUAAACAUUUACUAAUGAUGUAUUAAUUAGGCUUAAUAGAUUUGUCUCGCCGUUUAGCCUCCACUUAUGUAAUGAGUUUUGUAAAUAGUCUACGUUUAAUACUCCUAAUUAGUAUCUAAACAUUUGAUGUGACACGUGUUAAAAAUAAGCAGAGGGAACCAAACGCUCCCAUAUUUUUGUCGACUAGGCUGGUUUGCGGAAGGAUCUUGAAACAGGAACACCUUGCUGUCUGGCGCUGCUGCUGACUAUCUGGGUUCCGUUUGCCACACAUCUGUUAUCCAAGGCACCGGGCUGAAAAGAAGGUCUGAUCGAACCAAGACCUUUUUUGUUUUGGCAAAUUAAAGUUAAUGAUCAAAGAACUGGCCACCAAACACAUGGAUUUUCUACCUUCUCCGAAUCGAAAUUGGCCUGGACACCAACCUUGUUUACUGAACAAGUGUAUGCUCUGUACAUCCACGUCGACUGUCGCUGCUGCUUUGUUUCCCCAAGAAGUAUGCUGUUGUUGCUUCAAAGCACAACUAUUCACCAACCGGUCGCAUAAUGUUCUAUAGCAUUUCUAGAAGCCAUUUCACCAACCUCCAAAGACGAUGACAAUACAACAAUUCAUUAUUUGCACAAAAAACCUCGAAAGACGACGACAAUCCAACAAUUCAUUAUUUGAACAAAAUUUACUCAUGUAUCAACAAAAUUCGUCCACGUUUAACCCAUUUCUUCAGUCAGUGAAGAACGUGGUUACAAGAUCUCCAUCAAACAAGCUCGAUCGGUGUCUAAACUAAAGUAUACUUUCAAAAAGGAAAGAAUUAUUAUUUAAUCUACAAGCAAUCGAAGAAUCAAUUUCUAUUGUGCUGUACUCGUAACUCGUGUCCUAUGCUAUGAUUGCCUCAGCGACACCAGGUACGCUGGCAGCCAUGGCGGCGGCGCAGGAGGCUCGCAGCUGAUCAGCUGGCAUGGCCUCAGGCGCCGCCGCGGGUGCGUCCGCGAACCACGGGCAACGGAGGGUGUCCGCGGCGGCGAGCCGCCUGUCCGGCCUGCAGGACAGGAGCCCGCUCAGGACGUCGAAGCCGGCGGCUGACAGCGCCGGGAACAUCUCCCGUAGCCGGCUGGGCGGCCGGGCGCGGUGGCAGAGCCCCGACCCGGCGCGCGGCAGCCGCGCGAAGCCCGGCCACGACGCCAUGUCCUGCAUCCCCAGCGUAUCGAACACCCUGUUGAGCUGGUCCAUCUCCGACCGACCCGGGAAGAGCGGCGCACCGGCGAGGAGCUCGGCCAUGAUGCAGCCGAGCGCCCACGUGUCGACGCCCGCGUCGUAGUCCCGCGAGCCCAGGAUCAGCUCCGGCGCGCGGUACCACAGCGUGACCACGCCCGGCGUGAGCGGCGCGCCGCCGGCGUCGGCGGCGGCGCGGGACAGGCCGAAGUCGCAGAUCUUGACGCCCCCGCGGCCGUCGAGGAGGACGUUGUCGGGCUUGAGGUCCCGGUGGAGCACGCCGCGGGCGUGCAUCGCCGCCGCGCCCUCCAGGAGCCGCCGCAUCACGCGGCGCGCCUCGGCCUCGGGGAACGUCCGGCGCCCGGCGCCGCGGCCCUCCCGCUCCCGCACGACCUCCGACAGGCUCCGCCCGGCGUACUCCAUGACGAGGAACGCGCCGCCGCCGUCGCCGUCGCGGUGCGCGGCGCGGAGCUCGACGAGGCACGGGUGGCCGCGGCAGGCCUCGAGGCAGCGCGCCUCGCGGAGGAACGUCUCGGCGAAGGCGUCCCCGUCGCCGUUGCCGCCCCCCGCGCGGAGGCGCUUGAUGGCGACGGUCUCGCCGGUGCGGCGGUCGCGGGCCCUGUACACGGUCCCCGACGCGCCCUCGGCGAUCUUGCCGAGCCGCUCGUAGUGCUCCAUGAUCCGCGCUGUGCCGGCGCGGGCGAUCCGGGGGUUCUUGGUUUGUUCGUUGCGGUUAGCAGCGGCGGCGGAGAGACGCCUGGUGGUGGUACAUGUUUUUUAUGGGCUUGGUGUGGCCGCUCGGGGUUCCGGUUCGGUUCGGCACGCGGUCAGCCCAGCCGUCGGUGCGGGCCCACGCGUCAGUAUCACUAGCAAACGCGUGGACGGGUUGUCAAGGAUGGGAUGCGAUUAGGUGGGUUCGCGGUUGGGAGGUUCUGGGAUUUUGGCUUGGGCACAUCAUUACUACUCUCCUAACUAGGCUUGGUCUGAAUGUGCCAAAUUCGGCCGAAUCCACUGGAAAAAUUCUGGCAGAUGUUGCUGCAACAACAUUAAGCAUAGCGUGGUACAGUCCUCUGCAAAUAUGAGGAAACAAGUGUUCAUUCUCAAAAGUCCAUCUCUCUUCUCCUAGGUGUUUCUUUCUUCAGCCUCAUCAAGCUGAAAGAAAAAUGUGUCAUCUAAUAAUGGCCGUCACGCAUACUUGGCUGAGCGCCCUUGGAGGAAGGGAAGGGAAAGGAAACCGUGACGGCCAGAACGAGGAAAGCAUGCGGUUGGUGGCGCGGCGGCUUUCAGGUCCCCCGAACCUUCUCGCGGUCCUCGUGCCAAUCAUUGAACCAGUCGCUCAACCUCACCGGGCGUGUCGGGUGCCAUGAAAACUAGUUUAUUUUGGCAAGCUCCAGUGACGCGCACAUGAAAAGUGCUUUUCGAGCUGGGCCACCCGCGAAAGAAAAUUGGCGUCGGCGGCCCAGGCGUUUCUCACCGAUCAGCCAGGGGCCGUGCCGCGCUGGUUGCCUGGUUCAGGACUUCCGGCUACAAUUGGGGAAUAGUUGUGCAUUACUAGUAUACUUUUAUUUUGUUCUUCCAUUUUUUUAAAAAAAAAAUUGCACGUAUUUCAAGCUUCCGUUGUGUAAUAGUCGGUGUCACCACAGUAUCACAACUUUGUGGGAAAUCUUUGGCCACCCUCUUCCUGCUUGUAAGCCACAAAUCGACGAAAUGCAUGCCCAUUUGAAUAGUUAAACUCUGCAGUGACAAAGUACGAGGAACUAAACGACCCGAACCUGCCAUGUACAAGGUGAUCUAGGGUUUCAUUUCUUCCGGAUAGAGCAUGCAUUCAUAAAGAUUUACGCAUUAAGAUUUGAACCUUCCUUUAAUCAAGAAUUAGUCGGAUAAAUUAUGCUUCCUCUAUCCCCAAAUUAUAGGUCGUUUUGAUUUUUUUUAGAUUCAUAGAGUUUGCUAUGCACUUAGAUAUACCCCAUAUCUAGAUACAUAAUAAUAUAUAUGCAUCUAGAAUAGCUAAAAUGACUUGUAAUUUGGAACGGAGGGAGUAGAUUGUAACAAUAGAACUUGAAAUAUAUGUUCAUAUUAACCUCUAACCACGAACAGUAUAAUCUUUAAUAUAUUUGUAGCAUAGUUAAUUGUAAGCAUAUAUGUGAACUGAGCUAUGUUCCAUGUAAUGAAAUGUAUUUACAUGGAUCCAAGUCUCCGAUUCGACAAAGGUACUUACACAUUAAGAUUCAAACUUAUGGCGUUAAAUGUAUGCAUUACACUAUUUUUCUUUCAUAUGCAUUAUUAUUCUAACUUAUUUUUAGUUACGAAUAGUCUGAUAAUAUAGCCAUCAAAUUAGGAAAAAUUACAUUCAAAAUUACAAUAUAUUCGUAUUAUAAAAGUUCAUAAAGUUUAUAGUGAUGAACAAUGUAAUACACGAGAUAUUAGCAGCUAAAUUGUACUAUGUACAACUACACCAGCAGGUCAAUGUGCACUUGGUUAUAUACGCCAUACGUGCUGCUCCCUUCCAAAGGUUUGUUUAUAUAUGUUGGCUUCCAUGUACCGCCUAAUUUAAUUUGUAUUUUUUAAGAAUAAUAUGUUGUAACCAACUAGGGUCCGUUUGGUAGGACUUCUCAAAGUACUUCUCCACCGAUUUUUGGUGAAGCCCUACCAAAGGAUCAAUUUCAAAACGGCUUCAUCACCAAAGCCGGAGAGAAGCCGCAAAACGGCUUACACUAGAGAGGAGAAGCCGAAAAAAGUGGCUUCACCGACUUCUCUUCUCUCUCCAAGCAUUAAGUGAUCAUAAAAUUACAUAUAUUGCCAUUGAGAAGCCGUUUUACCAAACAUUUUGCAAAACGGCUUCAACUUCACUAAAAAAGCCACUCCACCGAAGAAGCCGAAGCCGUUAUAUGAGAAGCCGAAGCUCUACCAAACGGGACCUAGAUAGCUAGUAGACAUUUUCCUUAUUUAUUUGGCAAACUGAGAAUAGCUCAGCUGAUAAUAAUAAGGUUCUAGGUUUCUUUAAAAAAAACUUUAUAAAACAUGCACAUAUUUCACUAAGAGACAAACAACUGUUAUGGAACAUGUGGUGCCUUCAUUCUACAUGUCGCACAAUAUCAAAACUUGGUGGGAAAUUUUUUAGCCACCCUCUUCCAACUUGUAAGCCGCAAAUCAACAAAGUGCAUGUCCAUUUUAAUGGUUAAACUCUGCAAUGGCCAAGUACGUACGUGAAACUAAAACGCCCAAUUGUAGGUGUGUAGUACGUGCAGGUGAUCUAGGAUUUCAUUUCUUCUGGAUAUAGCCGCAUUCAUAAAGGUUUAUAUAUUAAGAUUUAAAUCUUCCUUUAAUGAAGAAUUAGUCGGAUAAGUUAUAAAUUGUAACAGUAACUUGAAGUAUGUUUCUCAUAGUCAUGAACAAUAUAAUAUCCAAGAUAUUUGCAGCAUAAUUGUAAUCAUAUAGGUGAACUGAGCUAUAUAUAUUUCUUGUAAUGAAAUGUAUUUACAUGGAUCCAAGUCUCCAACUCAACAAAGGCACUUACACAUUAACAUUCAAACUUAUGGCAUUAAUAUGUAUUACACUCUAUUUUUCUUUCAUAAAGGUGCGUACACAUUAUUAUUCAAACUUAUUUUUAGUUACAAAUUAGUAUGAUAAUUUGCAAAUUAUAGCCACCAAUUUAGUAAAAUUACAUUUAAAAUUACAACAUUCAUGUUAUAAAAGUUCAAUGUGAUGAACAAUAUAACACUCAAGAUAUUAGCAAUCAAAUUGUAUCCUGUAUUGCUGCACCAGUAGGUCAAUGUGCACUUUACUUGGUUAUACGUGCUGCUCCCUUCCAAAAGUUUCUUUAUAUGUGUUGGCUUCCAUGUGGCACCUAAUUUAAUUUGUACUUUUUUAGAAUAAUGUGACGUAACUGAUUAGUUAGUGGUUGACAUUUUCCUAAUUCAGCAAACUAAGCAUAGUUCAGUUGAUUCCUUGGGGUGGAACAUGCCCAUCUGGGUUCGAAUCUUCAACCCAACAUGAGUACUUGUAUUUUUCUAAAUUUAUUCUAGCAAUUAACUAGAACUGGAGCAAUUCUUUCAGUGCUAGACAAUGUGCUCAUCGACAGUGAGUUGCAUGUGGUGACUUAGACCAUGUUUGUUUGAAAUUAUAGUCCACCUAUAUUAUAUAAGUUGGAUUAUGGGUUAUGGGUACUAUUGUAAAAGACCACCUUGGGACCACAAAUAAUCUGAAAUUAGUCUUGGGCUACUUAUUUCAGAUUAUUUGUGGUCCAGAAUGAUCUUUUACCCUACUACCUUUGGACCAUAAUCCAGCUUAUAUAAUUUAGGAGGGAAACAAAUAGGCCCUUAAUUAGUUAAACUAGCUAGUGUAGGAUCAAGGAUACUGACUAGAGGGGGGUGAAUAGACAAUUUCAACUAAAAUCAUAACACUAAAUAAAUUUAAUUAGUAACACAAGAGAAAUUCUAUUUCUACUCUUUCUAGAACUAGGUGAGGGUUUGCAACCUAGGGUGACAAGAUAUAAUUCAAUCUCUAGGAAUGUAAUUGCUCAAAGUAAAUUGCAAUAAUGAAAUUGAGCAAAGAAAUAACCGAAGACAAGAGACAAAUUUAUCCCGUGGUGUCGAUGACUUGCUGAUCACCCCUAAUCAACGUUGAGGUAGAUUAAAUGUUCCAACCGCUCCUCUAUCAAGACUCCGCUUGAUCUUGAGCCAGCUUGAAUCAAAGAACCUCUCCAAACCUUGAUUCCAUUAAAGUUGCUCUUCACCGCUCCGGCGAGGUGAGCACAAGAACCUCUCACAAGAAUAGCCGGGGCUCCUUCACAAUCUUCUUGAAGGGCUCAAUGACUCCACAGCCUCAAAGCCAUAUAGGAGGCGGCAACCUCCAAGAGUAACAAGCCAAUGACACUUGCUUGAAGACUCCCUAGUACCACAAAGCUCAAACUCUUGAUGCAAUGCACUAGGAUGCUCUCAAUCUCACAAGAAUGCAAACUCUAAGUAAAGUGAGUGAGAGAGAGGAGGAAGAAGGCUCAAGUAUGUCAUGGAAGCUUUCCAAAGUGCCAAGAGAGGUCUCCCACGACCGGGCAUGAGCUAUUUAUAGAGCCAUCCUCCAAAACUAGUCGUUAUGUUCAAAACGCGUGAAAACAGGGGAUUGGCGAACCGUCUGCCUUUACGAGCGCGGACCGUCCGCAGUUCAUCCCAACGGCUAUAACUGCAAUAAAUGUGUGUCAGAACUAUCUGUUGCAGCACAGGCGGACCGUACGCCCUUACAGGCGCGGACCGUCCGCGGUUCAUAUUUUCAUCCAUGCAGGGAGAAGGUAGACAUGUCCAGAACAUGUCAAUCCCCAUGAUAUUUACUAUGGACAUGUCGCGGACCGUCCGCCUCUCACUUUCACCAAACAUUCAGAACCAAACUGGUUCUGUCCAACUCUUCAAAUUAGCCAAUGGACCGUCCACCGUUCACAUCGAAGCACCUCUCAGAACCAAGAAUGGUCCUAUCUAAAUUUUAGAUCAUGUGGCGGACCGUCCGCCACUCACGGCUGGAUUGUCCUCCCUAACUUAAUGCCCCACCAGAACCAAAACUUGUCAUGUCUAAAAACCAAACCAAGUGGUGGACGCCCCUUAGGGCCGGACCAUCCGCCCUUUAACUUUUCAGCGCAUCAGAACAAAUUCAAAGUUUGGCUAAGUCAAAUAAUGGUCCGCUUGCAAGGGAGACCGUUCACCAUACACAGCGUGCUAGCCAUUUUCAAAACAUAUUUUUACCAGCGUAUUUCCCACUUUCCAAACAAGAUAGACCUAUAUGCAUGCAAUGCAAUUGUUUGAGAAAAGUGGCACUAUAGAACCAUCAAGCAAAUAAAAUUGACCCCUCUUGAUAGUACAGCUAUCUAGACUAUUAACCCGGUCAAUUAUCAUCCACUAAGCACCUCUUGACUGGUAAAAUAGGAAAGCCCUACCAUAUACCUUUACCUUGAGCUUUCCAAUGUAAAUUCAUCCAAGCUAUCACCGUAGCAUCCUUUGAAGCUCAAUUCAUCUCUAGGACUAACCUAUACUCAUAUCUCCAUGAAAUUGUUAGUCCACGAAUAUUAUCAUUAAUUACCAAAACCUUAAUUAGGGGCCUAGAUGCUUUCAGCUAGACCCUUAUGGUGACUUCAUCAGCAUCGAAAUCCGUCGGCUAUUCUCUUGGGGGUGAUCUAGGGAUACAAUUGCACGUGUGUAUUCAUAGAGGUAAGUGUGCAUACAUAAUCUGUGAGGAAAUUAACAAAUUAAAUAGGCCCCAAGUCUUGUAUAUUGUGCCUAGAAUAUUUAGUUACCAUGUUUUUGUUUCUAGCUAGUAGAUCCUAUAAUUCAUCUUUGUGAUCUAUAUGACAUUUUCUUGCACCUUUAUUGUAUUUAUAUGUCUUUCCAUGGCUGUACAACUGGUUUUGCUAUUAGUAGAAUAAAGCAGUUAUAAUGGUGGUAACACGAGGAGCAUGACCAAAUAUUAGUUAAGGGUCUGAGUUGUGUGGGUGAUAGCUGAGCAACUUGCAUUGUCUUGCGGCUUAGUCAUUGAUGUGCUGCCACUAUAGCACAACACCAGAUUACUGACAUACGUCAGUUGGUAACAGUCUACUAUUACCAUUGAGAGGUCAAUCGGUAAAACUCUCCAACGCACGGUCAUUCGGUGGUCCUUGUUUUGUAGAGUAACUCUCAGUCGGCAAAGAUAUCUGAGUUUAUCGAGUAGCAGUCUGUCGGCAAUUGUAUUUGCUACAUCCAACCGUCAGUCAGUAAAUAGGGCCUACAAAUGGAAUCAUAUCGUACUCUAUAUUGAUUAAAAGUGAUAAACAACAAACUUUACCUUUCUUGCAUCAAACUUCAAUGUAACAUUGAUUUAUUAUGUUUGUUCAUGAAAGUAAUCUCAUUAUAUUUUUAAUAAAUAAUAUACCUUUUAUAAUUUAAAUGUACUCAUGCCUAUUUAUUAGAAUUACUUUGCAUUUAAGCUACAUAUGUUGUAAAAAUGAUCUUUAAAUAAAAAAAUAAAUAUCUAUGCCGGUGCAUUCAUAUAUUUAGAUACCACUUGCAAAUUUGGAAGAAAAAAAUUCAACGCCUGAUUCAUGGUUUAGCACUUAAUGCUUCAUAACGAAGAGCACAAUGGUCAACGAGGUAGAUGACAUCCACAGUUUCAAACUAACUAAUGCAUGGCUCUAACAAGAGGACUUGAAUGUUUAAUUCUGUUUUUCUACGAUGGAGUACAACUAACUCACACCUUAUUUUCUAGAAGAAAAAAAAAGAAUACUUAUAUUUAUCACUAGGAUAGUCCAACAAUUCUGUGUCUCUGCUGUGCCCUCGCUUGUUCAAACCCCAACUCAUUCCUUGACUUACACCUCUACAAAAGCAUCAUUCCUACUUGUUCAAACGGUACCUUGACACUUCUAACUCCUACCACCAGUGUCAUGGUGCAGUGGAUGCACUUCUACAAAUCUAGCGACCGACAGUGCAAUCUGUGGCUAAUGACUUGACUGAACAGUUAUCAAAAUUUGUCCAUCCUCUCCUCCGGAAGAAGGCCUAGCUAGUUUUUGACAAAGCCAAAUCUGCUGAAACCAGCAUAUAGUCGCCAUAUUGAUCGAUCCUAAGAACACGGCCCAAGAACGAAGAGUGUACAAAUACAACACCUAGUCAUUAAUUUUAUCCCCAAGUAAAUUAACUCCAUCCAAGUAAGAAAUCAACAGUUCAAGUUCCAAGUUACUUGAAGUACAUUUAUACACGUGCUCACUGCUCAAUCAACGACCUCAUCGCCUACCCAUGCACGCACACGCAUGUAGAGAGGACGUCUACUUGAAGUAGUAUGGGAGGUCGAGCACGUAGAGGAGGAAGUAGGCCCAGACCACGCCGGAGAUGCCGCCGAAGAAGAAGCCUCCGGUGAACUUGGCCCAGCCGUCGGCGGUCUGCAGCUUGUCGGCCUCCUUCUUGCGGCCGGUGAGCGUGAGCGUGGGCGCCGUGGACGGGUCGCCCUCGUUGAAGGAGGCGACGCCGUACAUGGUGAGGCAGACGCUGAGGAUGGUGACGAGCCCGGCGGCGCCCAGGGCGCCCGCCUGGCCGUGCACGGGCGUGUUGCGGAGCGGGCCGGUGAGGGCGAAGGGGCCCACGAGGAGGUAGCCGUGCGCAAGCCCGACCUCGAUGCCGCGGAGCAGCGGGCUCACGGCGGUGCGGUAGGCCGGGAGGUUGGAGAGGUACCAGGCGAUGAGCGGGCUGGAGGUGAUGGGCGUCUCCAGGCUGCCGAUGAAGGGGUCGCCGUUGAUGGGCUGCACCACCUGGUACGUUGUCUGCUCAAGAACAACAGACAGUUUCUAUCAUCAGAGCCAAAGAAUUUUGUUUGAUCAUACAAAGAUAUAUAAUUGAAUUGCUAAUGUUCAGAGCAUCAAAUUGUAUAUCCAAUUUCCAGUCCUGUGAGAUAGAUCAAAAUGAAUCACACAAGAUGACUGAACUGAAAUCAAGAUUCUAGCAGCAGCACACAUGCAAAGAACUGAUCGAUUUGGAAGCAUUUUGAAUGAAAUUGAUAAUUCAUGUUGCCUAUAGCCAAGAGCCAAAUCGAUCAAAACUAUAAAAAAGAUGCAUCACUAUUUCGUUGCUCAGUAGAUCCACUGACCUUCUCAGGCUGGAUGGCCUUCACGGUGAAGCGGGGCCGCCUGGUCAGCGCAGCGCCUGAAAGGCCCCUGGGCCUCGAGUGCACCAAGCCGCUCUUCAUCACCUGGCUCGCCAUGGGAGCGUACGCGGUAGCCAUCUCGACCUCUGCCUGUCUCUCACGAACAGGGCUCUUCCUUCCUGCAAAAUGGUAGAAGAGGUCUCCUUGUAUCGGCCCAAUUAAAGUUUGUGAUCUUUAGAUCCUGCAGGGGGUGUGUGAGAAGAUCUGUGGCGUGUUUGGAUGGAUGGGGCCCUGCAGCUGAGAUAUGGCUCAGAGCUGUGUGGCGCUCAUUGGGUGAAAGGAGCGAGCAACCCUAUCCCUUAUCCGAAUGCGUGGAGAUCUCCUCCCUCCACUGGACGCCUAGCUGGCGCCCCCAGCUUGCUGCCACGUGGAAACAGAAUCUGCUGUGCUUGUGACUUGGACUUCGUUUGGAUCGAUACUGAAGCAAUAUUUAUAUCUGCAGAAAGCAGAGCUGUUUGCGUUUUGGUAUUCGACUUGCACUUUCAAGUGACUUUGGGUUAGGGAAGUAAACUAUAAACCUGGGAUUUGAAUCAAACUUCAACAAUACCAGCUCCCAAUAACCAAGAUCCUUCCUGUACAAUAUAACAAAUAUAUUUUGGGACUUUGUCAAUUCGACCUCUGGUUAGCAUAGUACUGCACAAACAAAAUUCAUAUAGAAGGAAACUCUUCCACCAGACUAUGUCAUUCCACAUUGCCUGCGGUGACAAACUGCUUCAGAUGAAAAGAACUAUGCAAUCAAGUAAUGGCUCAGACCAGUGUUCAAUAAAUUUCCGCUUACAAAAGAAUCACUCACAUCGAGGCAUCAAGGCAUAAAAGAAUCAACAAAUGCCCUGUGAAUGGUUUACAACUCUCCAGCAGUUCAUGCUCCAGCAAAACUCAAGGGCCUGGGAGGUCGUUCCCAGUCCCCCAGAUGCUAUCUGACAUCGUACUGUAGGCGCUUGCUUUUCUGAAGACAGUCGUGGUAGCGGUAGAUGAGUCUCAGCAUGCAAUCCCUCAUGCAGGUGACAUCGAAGGAUUCAAUGAACCUCAGGUCUGACAAGCGGGAUUUGCCAGCAGCAUAGCGAUGGUACUCUUCAAAGACAGAUGAUAGGCACCAAUUCUGCAGCUUCCUGAAGCAGCCCACCAGACAUCCAGUGCGGUGCUGGAGUCAUGACAGAGAAAUCAAAUUCAAAGUCAGGACCAAACAAUCAAGAUUUGAGGCAAUGAGAAGAGAAAAUAAAAGAACCAUCAAUUUAGAAUAAAGAAAUGCAUUUAUUGGUACCUUUCCUCUUUUGCAGUGGAUUAAAACUGGGUGAUUCCUAACAUCUGAGAACCAUAAAAGAGAGCGAGUUACUGAUGGGUCAAAAUAGUUCCAUAUGAUCAUUUAACAUUAUUGGUCGACAGCAAAGACAAAUUGGAAAAGAUGGAGCCUAAUUCAGUACCAAGCAAGACCCUAAGAGCCCCCACGAUGGCAUCCACAGGUAUGGACACGUAUGGGUCCUGCAGAUGCAAACAUUUAAAUGUGCUGAACUUGCUGAUAUUGGAAUUCAAAAGAUCAGCAGACAACAAUAGUUGCUUCAAAUGAAAUUAACAGGAAUUAACAAUACAUAGGUCCCAAGUCACAGAUUCGGGUGUAACAACAAGAAUCAAAUAGAAGUCAGACACUGUGUACGCACAAGAAACUGCAUGUCUGUUUUCAGUAAUGCAGUAUCUGAAAGUGUACAAUACCAGAAGAAACAAACUGAUCCUUGACAAGGAAACUGUAUCCAUCUGUACCUGCAACAACUUAUUCAUAACUGUGGAUAAAGGGAGACAGAAUUUUGUAGUAGUCCUGCACUUGGAUACCAUAAUAGGUAAUUUACCAUCCACAUUUGCUUCCAAAUAGGCAAACACCAGAUUAAUGAGCACCUCAAAAACCAGCACAGCGGCAUUCAAACAAUAAAAUUAACAUUCAAUGUAUCAGAAUUUGGAAAUUUAUCUGUUGAUUAUCCACACCACUGCAUCUUUGACAAUUGAUGUUAAGAAAGUCCAAUGGUCUACUUUCCUAAAUUUUAUUAAGGCAAAGUAUUAAAAAUAAGGGAGGCAUCUGAUGCCUGCUCAACUGACAACAAUAAAUACCCUUUCGAAGGUACAUGGAUUCCUUUUACACAGUAAAGAAAAGCUAACUAUAACCACCAUUCAAUGUUCUAAAGCAGUAUACCUUUGGAUCCAUAGAUCUAUCUUAAGAACUACAAAACAUAUAAUAUAAGUGUACCGAUGUAUUUAUCAUCAAGACUGCAUACCUUUUGCAGUUGAAAUAUAAGCACUAAUUAUCAUUACCUCCAAGUUUGCGCUCUAAUUGGACAAUCCAACUUAAAACUAUCCUAUGACUGGAGGAGUGACUACCAAAGCUUCACAUAAUCCCAUCAGAUUUACCAAAGCAAAAAACAAUAGAAAAAACAUAUAGCUGUGCUGAGUUUUCCUUUCCCCCCAAAGAGCACAUUGAAUUCCACUACUGCCAGAGCGCAAUCGAGGUAAUCAAUCAAUUAAGUACUACGAACAACAUAUCAAAUAAACACGCAAUCUCAUAAGAAUCUUAGGGGAAAACGAGACAUAUAAUACACAAGGGAAGAAAAUAGGAAAUCAGACCCACCUUGGUGCCUUCAAUCCCGAACUGGAAGAGGCGGAUCCCCUCGGCCUUGAGGAACGCGGCGUUGGGCUCCGGGUACGGCUCCGGGCACAGGUACCUGCAGCACCGCCGCGUCAGCCACGGAGAUACGACGGCCCAUAUCGCCACCAAACACGACGCAGGAGGGAACCAAACGAACCGAUCGCAUCCAAUCCAAUAAUUCCAAUCUAACAAUUUCGAUUCGAGGUGGGGGGAUUUCGGCGGCUCACACGACGGAUCGGAGGCCGAGCCCCCGGAGGAAGCCGAAGCUGGCGGCGUCGGGGAAGCCCGAGCGGUAGACCCCCGCGUCCACCAUCCCGAAGUUGGCCGGCGGCGCCACCAGGCCCGUCCCCGCCCCCUCCUCGUCGACCUGCUCCAGGAUCAUGCCUGCCUCCUGGCCCGGCACCGGCCGGGGCCCCGCCGAUCCGAGGGCGGGUUCGGCGGCGGCGCCGGAGAUCGCGGGGGACGGGAGCGCGCGAAGGGCGGGCGGCUAAGGGCUAGGGCUGGCUCGGUCUCCGCGAGGUGAGGGACGGAUCGCAACGGUCGGCUCGGUCGCCGUGGGGACGGACGGGCGGGGGCGGGGGUGGGAAUGGAAGGGCCCGUGGGCGAUGGGCUGGGCUGACCCGCCGCCUGCCUCUCGUCACGGCACGGGGGACUGGGGUGGGGUGGGGACGUGGGGUGGGGCGCGCGGCCGCACGGGCCCCUCUUGUACGGGUGGCCGGGUGGGCGGGUCAGUGGGAAAAGGUGACGCCUGACUGCCUGAGUCCUGACGCGGGAGGAAGGCUCCGACACGGUGCGGCGGGGCUCGGUGGCUGGUGGGGUGGUGUCGUCGUCUCGUUGGGAGGAAGGGGAUGCGGUUUCCAGAACCCAGAGGGGGGUUUGGUUUGGUGAGGCGACGCCUGUAGUCUCGUACGGGCAAUGCAAUCGACGAGCGGGGGACGUUAAUUACGAGAAUUAAAUAUAAAUUAAUUAUAAAAUUUAAAUAUAAAUUAAUUAUAAAACUAAUUGUACAAAUGGAGUCUAAUUCGCGAGACAAAUCUAUUAAGACUAAUUAAUCCAUCAUUAGCAAAUAAUUAUUGUAGCACCACAUUAUUAAAUCAUGAACUAAUUAGGUUUAAUAGAUUCAUCUCGCGAAUUAGACUCUAUCUAUGCAAUUAAUUUGUAAUUAGACUAUGUUUAAUACUUUAAUUAGUAUCAAACAUUCGAUGUGAUAUGUGGGCCUGUGCAUUUCGGGCAACCAGGUUAUCAAGCUUUUGUCCGUUUUCUUUUUAUGGAAAAUACUUCCACUACAUUUCAAAAGCACAGCCACGGGUGAUCCAGAAACAGAAGAAAUUGCGUAAACAAAACAUGCAAUUCUAUUUAAAAUAUGCAUAUGAUCAAGUAUACACCACAUGAUUCACAACUGCAAAAUAUCAUAAACCUAGCAAUUUGGUUUUUGAUAGUCUAUUUACACAAACAGAUUUGCCUCUCCUUCAUCCCUUCAAUCAAAAACUGAACAUUCAUGACUCGUGAUUGUGCGGGCAUCUCACAAAAAAAGAACUACCAGCAUAUUAUCAGAGUGCACAUUACUAUACUUCGUACUUGCACAACUGAUGAGCUCCUUUCGUGACCUGCCAUACAGCAAGAAAAAAUGGGACUACAUCAGUUAACAUGGACAUAAUAAAAGGGCAAACAAAUAAAAAUAAGUUGGAUGACCUGAAGAACUAGCAUGUGUAUCCUAAUUAUCAACAGAGGCACUCCAAAUAUAAAAUGUCAUCAGAAAUUGGAUGUUUUGCUUGUUUUGUAGCCAAAAAAAAAAUGCCUAACUAAAAAUAUUACUUUGCCUAACUAAUAAGAGUGUAUUGCCUAGGCACAGUAAGUAAAUGGCAUUUCAAUAAUAAAAUGAUGCAAACCAAUCUGCGACUAUCAAACUGCUGAAUUGAAUAAGAAAAUAAGGACCAAAGAACUGCACAAACAAGCUUAACAGAUAAGCCAAAAUCAAAAUUGCUUCCGAUGUGGUUGAGCAAAAUCAACCAAACCCACAUGCAGAUACAAUUGGAAAUCAACCACAGAUCAAACCGAAAGCAAAUGGCUGCAAGCUGCUAUGGGAACACAGAUCAAAAUGAGAGCAGAGGACAUGCUAAGGAAACAGAUGGGCUACUAAUCAAACAUCGAGCCUUGUACUGCUGGUGCCAAACAGUGCAAGUAUAAAUAACUAAACUACUCCCAAACCACUCCAAUAGUUGUCACAACUAAACUACUUGAAAAGAUAAAUCAGAAAUAUUUCCUUACCCCCACCUUUUACAUCCACAUCAAUAUCCAUUAUCAACCGUAGUUACUCAAGCUAGUCAUCUAGCUAUCCAACUCAGUACCGCAAAAAAGCAAAAUAACAGAUAGGCAAAACUAGUGAUGCUUAUAUGAUAAAAAAUGCAGGAUCUAGCGCAAAUGCUGCCAUGCCAGGAAAAAAGCCUAUAUAUAAUUGAGGGUGAAAAACAUGACAUAUCAUUCCGGUUAAAUAUAUGUGCUUGAAUAUCAGAAUCAGAAUGACACAUCACACAUAUCACAUCCAGUUCUGCAAGUGACUAAGAAUAGGACAAAACACUAGAAACAUGUUUUAUCUAAAUCAGGAUAUGUAAAUUGCUUAUCGGAAGCAUUAAAAUGCUAGAAGGACUAAGAUAAUUGCCAAUGAAAAACAAUUAGCAUACUAAUUUGAACAUAGAAAAUGAAAACCUUUUUGGGGGGCACAUAUGACACUGGAUGAUAGCGCACAUCCAUGUGCAUCUACAGUCCUAUAGGCAUUAUAUCAAAUCUCUGGGAAAAAAAAUCUGUAGUGAAAAUUACCAGAAUAAAAAUUGAGUAUGGUGCUUGGGUUAUAGGUGACAUUUUAGUUCUAGGUUACAUUGUAAAAACAUCAAGUGGUUGUCUAGUGGAUAAAAAGCCAAUAGCACAAAAGCACCAAGCACAAAAUUAAUCAGUAGAAAGCCUGAACAAAAUAGAAUAUCGUGAGAACACUGAAAAUGCUAAUAUCACAACACAAAAACUCAGCUUAAAAACCUAACUUGCAAACUCAUAUCAGAGCAUGAAAUUAAGCAGAUAAAUAAAUCUCCACCACCAAGAAACCAAUACUAAGUUGUUCAUCGGGGUUUAACGAAGUUGAAAGGCAGCGUAAAAGAAAGCUAAUAGACAAAACUCUGCUGACAGAUUUUUUUUACUGCUUCAAGUUUGGUGCUCAAUCUUCUGUCAUCCAAACAAUCACGUUCUAUGCAUGCAUAUUGUAUAUAUUCAAAAAAAUAAUUUACCUGCACAUUUUAGCCCACCAAGCCAUUGCUAUAUCGAGCUAGUAGUACUGUAGUAGUACCAGAAUUUAGUAACUAAUUUCUCAUGUUAAAAUUCUAAGCAUGAAUCUAGAUAUAUUUGAAAAAACUACACCUUUUAUCACAAAAAAACCAUUGCCAUCUCAAGCUAGAAGUAGUAUCUACCAGAAGUUAGUAACUAUCUCAUGUUAAAACUUGUUCGAGCUUAGCAUAAACACUGCAUCAAACAACCAAGACAUGCACACACUUCAGCUAACACCUCUCAAAAUGGUAUAUCAACACAUCUCAUGUCUUACCGCUCUUUGGACUAUUUGUUAAAGAUAAAUAUCAGAAAUGUCAUGAUAAAAAAAUAGUUAAGAAUCAAAGCUGCGACCAAUAUUGCUACCAUACAAUCUCAACUACCUAUUUUUCCCAAUUAUCUCAGUUGAUAUAUUGCUCAGAAAAAUAACCAAACUGUGCGGCAACUGAAUUGUGAACCUACGGACAUGACGUCUGGAGCACAACCGGCAUCCGCACGAAUAAAGUGGUGAUUUGCAGCACGAACUCCCUCCAUGUCAACCACUGUGUCCCAGAGCAGAUCUCGUAGCACCAUGGCAUGCUCGUCUCCACCCUUGGCGCACCUAACAACACCACCAUCAGAAGUUAUAAAACCUGAAACACACCUCAAAAUAGAGGAGAACAGACAUGGGGACUCCAGCAGAGAGUAUGCGCGAGGCGAUGGAAGGUAGAGGACAGGUCCUCACCUUCUCAAGGUACGGAAUCAUGGAGACCUCGUCGGCCAUGGCUUCGUCGACCUCCUCAGCGAGCCAGAGGAAGCUCUCUCGUUAGAUUGCGAUGGAGCUUCGCAUUGCCGUAGUCGUCGCCACCGAUUUCUCCUCUUUGCGCGGGGCCGGGUAUAGCCAGAUCCGGCGAGGCGGAGGGCAGGGGACGCGCAAGCCUCGUCGCCGCGUCAGCCACGGCGUCGUCAACCUUGUCAGCAAGUCUGGAGAGGCUCUCUUGGAGGAUCACGAUGAAGCAAGCUGGAUCCGCCAGCCCCAAAUCCCUGAACCCUAACCCGGUCUUGCCUCAAUUAGAGGGAGGUAGGAGGGAAUGAGGAAUAGCAGCAGGAGGAGGAGAACCGACCUCAUGGCCAAUCAUCGCUAUUAGCCAUCAGAGCUCCCCGAAACGCCAUGGAUUUGGAAGAGAGCUUGCGGGAGGGGGAAGAACGGGAGGAGCAAGGAAACAGAAGAGACACGGGUGGGAGAACGGAUAAGGUUGAUGGCCACAUGCGUGUGCAAAUAUUGCGUGGGGAGUAGGGCUGCGGCCGUGCACUGAGCCAAUCUUACGGCCGGCCGGUAGUUUAAAAUUAAUGAAGAUGCUUGUUGCUAUUAAACUGGAAUGUUGGUUGUUGGUUUUAGAAUAAAUGGUGGGUGCAAGAUGGUUGCCAGCCAUCAUCCAAAUCAAAAGAUAGAAUUUAAUGGUUCUUGGCCGUUUUCUCUGUCUCGUGAUGGCGCGCUGCAAACACAUGGUUUUCGAGUACUUUUGGGAAAAAGAAGAUUCUCAAUUAAUACAUGAUAUUCUCCGUCAAUGGUAAAUAUCUCAUGCAAUAGUUAUUAGACAAGAAAUCGCUUAAAACAACAUCGUAUACAAUAAGAGUUUGAUAAACACGCAAGUACUUGCUGGAAAAAAAAACAAUAAACACGCAAGUCAUGUUACAAUAUUGAUGAUGAUAUUCAAUUUAUUUAGGGGACAUAGUGACAUAUGUUAUGUAAAUUUUGUAACCUAUUUUAAUAUAUGCAAGGGCUUCCGUUUGUGAGUCUGUAGACCAUGUUUUCGUUCUUCAAUUAUCAACAAUAAUUGUUGUGCUAUUUUCUUCAUGUCUGGACGAUCUUUGAUGUCGGUGCUCAGACAUUUAAAUGCUAGAUUGAAGAUAUCUUCAAUAACAACCUUCUCUUCCUUUUUUGCAAUCUCCUCGUCAACCAUAUCAUUUACUAUCUGUUUUCCUUUAAUGAAGCAAGAACGGAAGUAGAUAUGGUGCAAGUUCAUUCUCCACAAAAUCAUCGCAUGCCUUCCUCCUAGUGAUGAGUUCUACUAGUACAACUCCGAAACUAGAGGAUGCCUUCACACUUGAACUUUGGACCAGCAUACCCAUUGCUAACUUCUUUUUGCGAGAUUCAUGUGGUUCUGAAGCAGAAGGUUGAUGAUACUUCUUGUAAUUAUUGCUUUGAGAGGCUCCAUUGCUCAAUGAAGAAGAUACUUGAUUCACAUGCCCAAGUCCAUGACUUAACAUUUGGGGUAUGUUGCCAUGAGUGCUGUGAGGGAUUCCUCCAGCAUUUUAUGCCCCAUAGAGAUGUUCUUCCUUUCGACGAAAUUGAGAACACCCCCCCCCCCAAAAAAAAAAAAUGGAAAAGUGAGUACAAAGUUAGUAGUGUAUAUAUAGUUGACAUCUAUGCUUUUAUCUUAUCUAGAAAACAUAAGUAAAAUGAGAAAUUUUUCUAAGACACGGCCCCGUGAGAACUCACGCAACACAACCAGAAUGAGGAUGAGCAUGAUGCCAUAGUUUUUAGAGUUUUGGGCCUUGGCCCAAAUAAAUUCCAGAUAAAUUUUAAAGAUGUGUACUAAAAUUUUUCAGGUGGAUGGUAACCUAUUUUCACAGUGUUCUACCCGCUUAUGAUCCAAGGACUACGCAAGCAGAAAAUUGACCUCUUGUGGUAAGCGAUUAACACAUGUUGUUCACUUAGGGAACAUAUGAUUUUUCACAUCUGGUCUACGUAAGGAACCUCAUGUGAUAAUCCUAUUUUUCACAGGUGGUUCCUUAAGUGGACCCCAGAUGGUAAUCAUUCCAAAACCUUAAACAAAAGCACCCGCACGAAUAAGCUCCAUUGUUCUUCAGCCGCCAUCGCACUCGGUCCUACGUGGUAUCGAGGAUCCUAUCUAGAUCCAAACACAAUGAUUAGAUCUCGCUACCCUGCAUCCCUUGCACACUAGUUCUCAGAUUUGCCUACCUCCGCUAUUGACGAGCUCGCGAUCCACUCCCACAUGGGACGAGGACACAAAUUAAACGCUACUGAGCUCAUGAAUAUGACCAACCUCCAGAGCACCACCACCACCCAUGUGUAUGAAGUCAUGGAUCCCAUGGAAAACUUUUUCUGUGAAAUUUCAGAGAAAUGUCCAAAAUACGUGUUUAUCAGUAGGUCCCAUAAUUUUUAUCUACCAAAAUUUCAUAUACUGAAACUAUCUAAUAUAUUAAACUUAUGAUAUAUUGCCUUAUUUCUUUGUUGUUACAUAUAAUGUUAUGUUAUGAUAUAUGCUAGUUUAGGGACCAUUUCUAGCGAAAUUAUGCAAAAAUAAAUUUUAAGAAAAAAAUUAUCUGAUAUUUUUCCAUCCGAUAAAUUUUAUUUCCUAAUUUUUUUAAGGGCAAACUAUGGGGAACUUCCCCACGGCACUUCAUUUUCAUUUCAUUAUAAAAGAGAUGAAAAAAGUGCAGGGGUAUACUUACAGAAAUAUUUACAAGAAAGGGGAGAGGUGGAUUAAGCUAUGUAAUUGUGUCUAGCCAUGGUAAAACUAUUAGUCUAUGGUCCUCCCUGACACGGUGCAGCUGAAGGACUACUUGCUCCUUGAAUCUCACGACCCAAAGACGUGUUGACACUGUUUUCCCCUCAAAGAUGAUUGCGUCGUUCCUCAUCUUCCAGAUUUCCCAAGCGGCAGUUAAGAAGAUUUCCAUAAAGAAUGGUAGAUGAGAAGCGUCUUUUUGCGAUCCUUACACGGUCAUGUGUAUCGGCUUGGUUACCCCCAGGUUAUAUGCAUAGUGUUCCAGCACCUUACAGAGAAGGGGCACUCAAAAAAGAGAUGGUCUCGCUGCCCCGCGUGCACGUCGACAAGCUGGUGAUCUGGAGCAGUCAAUAGCUUGGCAUUCUAUGCCUUCGCUUUCCAGAGUACCGAUUGGUUACGGAUCACCGACAAUUAUAUAACUCACCUGUAAUUACUUUGAGCUGCUCUUAGUUUCGCAGAUUCUAAGGCACUGAGCUAAGUUCUCUACAAGGCCCUGUUUGGAAGACUGGUUUUCAGCCUAAAACCGGUGUAAUUUACGGAUCCAGAAUUUUUUCCAAGCUCAACGUGUAAUUGCUGUUUGGAUAGCAAGUAAACCUAUUUAAAUUACCGUCGGAUUAGCCUGUUACAACCGGAAAUAAAAAAUCUCCUCCGGUGACAACAGUUUUUAUCCGACAAGUAUCGGGCUCCCUCCGCUCGCUCGCCCUGCGGCGGCCGCCGGCUCCAUCUGUCGUGACCCUUGGCCGCCGAAGAUCGUCGGCGACGUGAGCGGACAAGGAGGAUCGAUCGAGAGAUAGCGAUCGCGGAGGAAACGUUCCUCACGAAUCUGUUUAUGUUUUCUAUUGUAAAUUGUCUAGUUCAUCUUGUCUUACACAAUACAGUAAUAUAGACUCCUCUCUUCCCUCACCUCCAGCUGGGGCCCAACGGCACCCGCUGCACACACACGCGCUAUGCCUUAUUACAGAGAAGACGUACACUCCAGGUUGACACCAUCUUCACGCCUGUGAUGUGUUGACGCCGUCGGUCUCGACACCUCCCCCUGCCGAAGAUGUUGCUGGUCCACCAGCAACAAGUGUUGGAAACUUCACCUUGAGUACAUUCCAGUCCUCCCAAGUAGCUGACGCUGUUGGUAAAUGACUCCACUUCACGAGCACUUGAGGAAUGGCUUUGUUACCUUUCUUCACCAGACGACGUUGCAGAAUGUGUUCUGGUUGCAAAUCCUUCACGCUGAGGUCCACAACAGUUGUCAGAUCAGCAUACACGGGUGUGUAAUUGGGUGUGAAAGGCUUUAUCUAAGAUACAUGAAAAACUGGAUGAACCAGGCUGCCUUCAGGUAAUUGAAGCUUGUAAGCAACUGGCCAAUACGUUCCAAGACUUCAAAAGGACCGAAAUAUUUGAAAGCGAGCUUCGGAAAGGGUCUGUUCACCACAGAAGUUUGAGCAUAUGGUUGCAGUUUCAACAGAAUCUUCUCACCCACUUGAAAGCUUCGUUCCACACGUUUCUUAUCAGCCAUGAGCUUCAUACGGUUCUGAGCUUUGGCCAGGUGGUCCUUCAACUGCUGAAGUUGAUCGUCACGUUCUCUGACCACUGCUAGGGCUUCAGUCGAAGGCAUAUUGUCGACAGGAAUAGCGAUGCUCGAGUCUGCCUCAUAUCCAUAGAGUGCCUUAAAAGGAGAACAUCCCAGAGCUGUAUGAUAAGAAUAAUUGUACCAUAUUUCAGCCAGUGAGAGCCAAGAUUUCCAACGUUUAGGAGUAUCAGAAACUGCACAGCGGAGAUACAUCUCCAAGCACUGAUUGACCUUUUCAGAUUGGCCAUCCAUCUGUGGAUGAUAGGCCGUGCUUCUCAACAAUUUAGUGUCAAACAAGGAGAAGAGUUCUUUCCAAAAAGCGCUGGUGAACACCCUAUCUCUGUCAGACACAAUGGACUUGGGAAACCCAUGUAACUUCACCACAUUGUCCAUAACUGCUUUGGCCACAACAUGAGCUGUAAAGGGAUGUUUCAAGGGUAUAAAAUGAGCAUACUUAGUAUAAUGAUCAACCACCACCAAAAUAGAAUUUGAUCCUUCAGACAAGGGGAGGCCCUCUAUGAAAUCCAUUGUCCAAUCCCUCCAAGCACCACUGGGGAUAGGUAAAGGUUGCAGCAACCCUGCAGGAUGGGUAUUAGAAUGCUUAGCCUGUUGACAAACUUGGCAUUGCUUCACCAAAUUCUCCACAUCUGACUUGAGUCCUUUCCAAUGGAACAACUUCUUAAUUCUGUGAUAUGUGGCUUGAAUACCAGAGUGACCACCAAUAGCUGUGGAGUGCAUAGCAGCAACAAGUUUAGUCUGAAGUGCUGAGUUGUGUGCAAUCCAGACCUUGUCUUUGUACUUGAGAAUACCUUGGUGGAGAGAAAACCCAUGUUCAUCAGGUGAGGUCACAGCCAACUUUGUGAGAAGCUCUUGAGCUAAAGGGUCAGUAGAGUAGCUGUUUAACACUUCCUGAGCCCAGAGAGGCUGUACUGCUGAAACUGCUUGAAUAGCUGUCAAAUGACUGACCCUGGAUAGUGCAUCAGCAGCCAAGUUAUCCUUGCCCUGCCUAUAGAUAACUUUAAAUUGUAGUCCCAUUAACCUUGUCAUGGCCUUUUUUUGCAUGUCAGAGUGUAAGUUCUGUUCAGUCAAACAGGACAGACUCUUAUGGUCAGUGCGAAUGAGAAAUUCCUAUGUCUGUAAGUAUGGUCUCCAUUUUUCUACUGCCAUUAUCAGGGCCAAAAAUUCUUUUUCAUAGAUUGAUAACUUCUGAUGAACUGGUCCCAGAGCCUUGCUGAGAAAAGCUAUAGGUUGCUCUAUUUGCAUCAACACAGCUCUCACUCCCAAGUCACAGGCAUCAGUUUCCACCACAAACUGGGCACUAAAAUCAGGAAGUCCCAGGACUGGGGCGUGGACCAUGGCUAUCUUGAGCUGCUGAAAAGCCUGUUGUGCUGCAGGAGACCAAGAAAAUUGCUUCUUCUUCAACAAAUUAGUUAAAGGCCGAGCAAUGAUUCCAUAAUUUUUGAUAAAUUUGCGGUAAUAUCCAGUAAGGCCUAAAAACCCUCUCAACUCAGUUACUGUAACUGGCACUGGCCACUUUACCAUUGCAUCAAUUUUGCUAGGAUCAGUAGCCACACCUUGGUGAGAAAUGAUAUGACCCAAAUACUCCAAGGAUUCUUGGGCAAAGGAACAUUUACUGAGUUUCAUAUAUAAUUUGUGGGUCCUCAGUUUGCUCAACACUUGCUUGAGAUGAAUGAGAUGCAUUUCCAAUGUUGGACUAUAGAUCAGAAUGUCAUCCAAAAAGACCAAUACAAAGUUUCUCAAGAAAGGUUCUAAGAGCUCAUUCAUAAUACACUGAAAUGUGGCUGGGGCAUUUGUCAAACCAAAAGGCAUCACCCUGAAUUGGUAGUGGCCAUGAUGGGUUUUAAAAGCUGUCUUAUGUUCAUCAGCAGCAUUCAUUCGGACUUGGUGAUACCCAGAGCGCAUAUCACGUUUUGUAAAGUAUUUGGUACCCGCUAGCUCAUCUAAGAUCUCAUCUAUAACUGGCUUAGGGUAUCUAUUCUUGAUGGUAAUAGUGUUCAGUUUCCUAUAAUCCACAUAGAAUCGCCAUGUACCAUCUUUCUUUUGUACCAGCAAUACUGGAGAAGCAAAAGGGCUAGUACUAGGAACAAUCAACCCUGCUGCUAGAAGAGCUUUGACCUAUUUUUCAAUUUCAUCUUUGUGCAAAGGGGAGUAUCUGUAUGGUUUGGAAUUGACACGUGUAGAGUUUGGUAGUAAAGGAAUUUGGUGGUCAUGGAAUCUAGAUGGUGGUAGGGUAUUAGGGUCUGAAAAGACAUCACUAAAUUCAUCCAAAAGCUGUUGAACAGAAACAGGUAUAGAAGGGGAAGCAGAAUGUGUUACCUCUACCACUGUAGAAGCACCAAUAUCAUUACCAGCAAUCCACUUGACCAAUUUAUCUGAAGAUAGUCCAUGAAGAGUAGGUUCUGAAGGUAGAACCCCUUGAAGAAGUACUUCUUUGCCUUGAUCUUGAAAAGCAAUAGUUUUGUUCUCCCAAUGACAAGUCAUAGGACUAUGUGGAUUAAGCCAAUCAUACCCCAAUAUGGCAUCAAAGGCCCCAAUAUCCAACACCUUCAUAUCAGUAUGGAAAGUGUGGCCCUGAAUCCACCAUUCCAGUUGAGGCACUUGUGUACUGGUGAUCAGUGUGUCUCCAUUGGCCACCUUAACUUGUUGUGGUUGCAUAGGUGUUGGUGUGAUACCACACUUGUCCAAAAAAGAGGAACUCACAAAGCUAUGAGAGUUGCCACUAUCCAGCAGUAUUAACAUCACUUUAUUGUGAACCAAUCCUCUUCCUGCUUCGCCCCAUCUGCCGUAGCCGCUAGCUCCAACCUCUCCCUGUCAACGCCGCGCCGCCGCCUGCUCCACCCCGUCUGCUGUAGCCGCCAGCUCCAUCCUCUCCCUGUCAACACUACGCCGCUGCCCAAUCUUCAGGCUGCGGUACUGCCGCUGCUGCGGCCAGCGCCUCCUGCAUCUCAUCUCUACCCAAUCAGAUGCGCCAUCCAGGUUGCUGCUUCUCCGUCGGCGAGCUCCAAAAGUGGUCCUUCCCCAAGUUUGCAUCCGCCGCCAUCGAAAUUUGAUACUUGAUGUGAAUGCUUUUGAUGAAAUAAUGGGCUUGGCCCAUUCUAAUUUUAAAAAUUCCAAAUAAAUAUCAAAAAGUCCAUGUGGUCAUGAGCAAGUGGUGGAGUGGUGCAAUCUUUUAGUUCCAAAAGGCCAACUUAAAUAUGAAAGUUAUCUCUACUCCUCCAAGCUAUGUGUGUGGGGAGAGAAGGAAAGCUCCACGCACGCUCGCUCGCCACGCCACAUGAUGCGGCACCUACGUGAAUAGUCCGCCGAAAUCUAGCCCCUCACCUUGCGGGGGUGCGGUUUCCUUUUGCCGUUUUAUUUUUUGUUUACUUGGCCUUUAAGUCAGCGAGAUAUAUGGAAGUCUAAUUAGUUUAGAUCACGAUCGCGACGUGAGAUAGUGGGCUCUCCUAUAUAUAUACAACCUAUCGGCCUCUACCAAAAAUACAUCUAAUCGAGCUAGGGUUUUUGCCUUUUCUCGCUGCUGCGCUGCCACCGUAGUCUACUCCAUCCCGAGCGCCGGCGUGCACCGGCGAACGGGAAAGCAGGUCUCCGGAACCUCUCGCUCCUGUGAUCCUGCACUGGGAGAGAGCGAAUAAGGUUUUUAGGAAGCGCUCCGCAUGACUGCUCAAGGUCUUCACCACAGCUUGUCUUCCGUCACAGUCCGGCGUCGCGGCGGCCCAUGGUCUUCGGCGUCAUCUGCUGCGCUUCGUCCGCAACACCAUCGUCGUUCCGUCAGCACCGCUUGCUAUCACAGCUGCAUUCGCAAAGUACGUACGUCAUGAUCCAAUCUGUUAUUUCAGCAUGUUUUCUAAGAUAAUGAAGUUGUGCUUACUAUUACCUAGUAUGUUAGAGAAUUACAUGCUAGGUUUUAUUCUUGUCAUGAUAAAUCUAGUUUGGAAAUUAAUCAUGCAGUUGUCUAAUUUUCCAACAGCUUUGAGGUUCAAGCCUCCAAUUCGAUGCUCUGGUCGUGAGAUACCUCUCCAGUGCAUCUCCAAUUUGUUGCUCUGGUUUGAAUUUUUUUUUGAAGUCUAAUCAGCCGCUAGGAUUGCUUCAGCUCUCCGGGAGUGGCUCCCGUGCUUCUUUCUCUUCCCCCCCUUUCUUUUUCGUUCAAUUUGACGUUUGAAAGGAGGCUCCAUGAUUUUACACAAACAGCUAGUUUAGAACAACUCCAAGAGCUCCCUUAAACUACACCAAAACCUUAAUUGGGGAAAAUAGUAAAAAAUAUUGCUCCAACAGGUCCCUAAACCUCCCUCAAAUUUGCGUUCACCCUUAUCCGGAGCUAUUUUUCCUGUAAAUAUACGUGGCGCACCUCCUUCCCCAAUCCAUCCACUCACGCCUACUUGCGCCUUUUUUCCCACGCGCGCCAUUUUCCCGAGCGUCUUCGGCGGCCACGGCACCCGGCCUUCCCCGAGCGGCAGCGGCGUCGCCCGGCCUUUCCUCCCCGAGCGGUGGCAGCGCCCGGCCUUUCCUCCCCGAGCGGCGGCUGAGCCGGCGGCUGGCCCUGCCCUCCCCGACGGCGGCGCCGGGGCUGUCCUCCCCCCGACGGCGGACGGCCCUAUCCUUCCCGAGGGCCGCGACAGGAAGGGCCGCGCCGUCCUGUGGAUCAUCGGCAACUAGUUCCUAGGUACGUAUCAAAUUUUCCCCAAAUCACAGGCUUCUAGGCUCCAGCGUAUGCCUCUGUUUCUAUGUGCAGCUCGAGGUGGAGGAGGCACUGCAGCGGCGCCCGGCCUUCCCCGAGGUCUUCUCGGGCGGUAGCGGCGCAAGUUCCCCAGCAGCGGCGGCGCCAGGCCUUCCCGGGCGGCAGCGGCGCAAGAGGCCCGCAGAAGGAGCCACCAAUGUCAAGUGCUCCAAUCCGGCAAGUUCAAGAUCGGCACGACAGGCAGAAGAUGCGUCGGGUCAUGGCUGUCGGCGGCCCCAACACUCAAUGGAAUGGCGGCGUUGCCGGCGAUGAUGAUAAUCCCCUGGCGGAGCAUUACCCUGGCAGCGACACCCCCUAUGCAUCCUUUGAGCACAUGGCCAACGGCAAUAAUUUUCUGAAUGGUAUGAUUCUCAUAAGCUAUUAUCCUAAUUCGUCAAUCAAAUUCAUGUUUUGUUCUUGAAUCAUUUUGCUCAAUGAAUACUCAUCUAUCUGUUCCAUUAAGCUGAGUACCAUUGAGUACCACUGUUCACUUGUUCAAUUCUUGAGAUUUCUGUCCUGGUAAUAUUCUGAAUUAGAUUAGAACAGCUUUAGCUGGAAAAUCUGAGCUGGUUGUUCUACACCCAGCAUUCACUAAAUUUGGGACUGCUGAUUGCUUAAUCUUCAAACUCUAUGCCCAAUUUUUGCCGAACUUCACUUCUGUUCCUCUGGAUCAUCAGCUGACGAACUAAUAUGUCCUGAUCAACAAUAAGAAAAGCAUGUACAAUAUUUAUGGAAACAGAGCAAAGGCAUCCAAUCAGUGAGAGUAAAAAAGGACUCAUGCCAGAGCACUUUGAUUAGAAUUGCUAGUACCAUAGUUUAGAUUCAGAGCAGGCUGCCCAUUAUUGUAAAUCUGAGUUAAAAUUCAGCAUCUGUACUUGAGGGCUUGCAGUUGCUUGAGAAAUUGUUACUGCCUACUACUAUUCAUCGACUGAAAACAGGCUGCUCAUUAUUGUGAACAUGAGUUCUGCUUUCUUUUUCACAGCUUGAGAUAUGAGCUUCAAGUCACUCAUAGUCUCCAGUGUCAUGCUCUGGAAAUCCUGCUUCAGGUGGAGCUGUGCUCGAUUUUCCUAGCAGUGAAUCAUUUUCUGAUGCUUCAAUUGUUGUGUUAUUUGCAAUAAGACUCCCUCUGUUCAUAUUCUCAAGAAUAUUCUCAAAGUUUUGCCCUUCUUGACUUAUGUUUCAAAGCAUGCUUAAUAUGAUCAACAGUAUAGGGAUAGGAGUCACAGAACAGGAAUAACCACCAUGAUUCUCAAACCUUUACUAUGACAAUGUUGCUUGAGUAAUUGGGAUAGGAGUCCCAGAACAGUUGCUUGAGUAAUUCAGCAUCUGUACUAAUUCAGCAUCUAGUUAGGAUGUUGCAGGAAAACAAGUCCUAACCAAAUAAUUUAGUCAUAUAACUGAGCUGACAAAACUAAUUUGGAAAAAAGUUUUGAGAUAUCCAGGCUGCAGCAGCAGCUCUCCCACGUAGAAAAAGAUAUCAAGGCUGACAAACUUACAUUCUCCAAUUUGUAAGCAUUAGAAAAAGAAAGGAGCAUCAUAAAACAACUUUGAAAAAGCAGAAGAUACCAGACUGACAAGCGAGCCAUUCUCAAGUGACAAUACCAUUAUAAUUGGAAAGACAAAAAUCUUAUUAAUGCCAGGUCAAAAUUCUAAAACCGAGAGCAAUACUUGCGCGAAUUCUGAAAUGGAAUAACCCAACAGAUAUGUUGUUUGACUGAUACAAAAGUACGGAGAUAGUGAGGACAUCUGGUAGUUCUUACAGAAGAAAUGGAAGUGGAAUCCAACUAAAAAUAAUAUAUUUACCUCUGUUCAUCACCAUGGUAGAAUUACUACUGCUCUAUAUGUUAUGUUCAUUGAGGUUUGAUAGAUAACUUAUCAAUGAUUAAAUGCUUGCAGGAAAUAGAUAUUUUUCCAACAUGAUAAUGGAUGAAACCAAUCAAGGAGAUUUUGAUAAUUAUAGCAACACAUAUGCUGACCAACAAUCAUAGACAAUUGAAGAAGUUCCAGCAGCCCCAUCCACGAGGUCAAACCAUAAGAUAUCCAAGAAUUUCAGUGACCACAAAGAUGAGGUUUUGGUUUCAGGGUGGCUGAAUGUAAGCUUGGAUCCAAUCGUAGGCAAAGAUCAAAAAAGUGCCAAGUAUUGAUCUCGUAUAUAUGAGUACUUCAAUGAACACAAGACGUGCCCCUCAACGCAUAUCAUGAAUUCUCUCAGGUGGGCAUACAAAAACGUGUGAACAAGUUUUGUGGAUGUCUAUCACGGAUUGAGUUAAGACUUCAGAGUGGUACUAUAGUACAAGACAAAGUACUUAUUCACUAUGCAAUACAAGGAUUUGUUUCAAAUAUUUUACAUUUAUACAUCAUAUAUGGAUAUCCAUUGGAUGUUGGUGUGUGCAGGUUGUAGAGGCAUGUGCUUUGUACAAGUCCGAAGAUGAACAUAAAAAAACAUUCCAGUUCAUGCAUUGCUGGAAUAAGCUAAGAACACAAUCAAAAUGGCUUGCUAAAAUUGAUGAAUUGGCUGCUGGUAAAACAUCUAACAAAAAGCAGAAGACAAGCUCAAAUGUUGGCCCAAGUGCAAGUUUACCAAGUGAAUUAGGAGAAGGUGAGGUUCAAGGCAUAGAGGAUAAUGUAUUGACAAGGCCAAUUGGUAAGAAGAAAGCAAAAGCAGCACUGCUGCAAGAGAAGAAAAAAAUUAUGACAGCAACCUUAGAAAAUAUGUGAGCACAGAAGAAAGAAACUGGUGGGGAGAAAGAGCUAAAAAAAGAGGAGAGGUUUAACAAAGCAUUUGCUCUUGAACAGGAUCGAGUUGCUCUUGAACAUGAUCGAGUUGCAAAUGAAAAACUACUUCUUGAGUUGAGGAGCCAGGAGGUCCAGUUGUAGAAAAGGAGGGAUGAAGAGAGGAUUAUGACCACGGACCUUACUGCCAUGCCAGAUGAGCAAAAGAAAUACUACAUGUCCUUACGGGCUGAGAUCAUGAGCCGACUUAUGCCUAGUUGAAAGUGUAGGAAUAGUUGAUUGUAUUCCAUACGUGUACAAGAGUACAUAUAGGGCAGCCGUGGUGGCAUGCAAGCCUACCGCACAGGCGCGUGAUUACAUCCACAAUUAAGGGACCUACUAUAUAUACAAUAUGCUAACACUCCCCCGCAGUCUGAUCGGGAGCAUGGCGGACGUUCAGGCUGGAUCGAAACUCCUGAAACAACGAGGUAGGAAGGCCCUUGGUGAAGAUGUCGGCGUACUGUGAUGUCGUCGGAACAUGAAGUACCCAAACGUGACCGAGGGUGACCUUCUCCCUGACAAAGUGAAGAUCAAUCUCAACAUGCUUUGUCCACUGAUGCUGCACCGGAUUGCUAGAGAGGUAAACAACACUGAUGUUAUCACAAUAGACCAGGGUGGCACGGCGAGGUGGGUGGCGAAGCUCGGUAAGUAGCUGGCGGAGCCAAGUAGCUUCAGCAACACCAUUGGCCACAGCACGAUACUCGGCCUCUGCACUGGACCGGGAGACUGUUUGCUGACGCUUGGAGGACCAGGACACCAGAUUGUCCCCAAGGAACACUGUGUAACUGGAGGUGGAACGUCGAGUGUCGGGACAGCCGGCCCAGUCAGCAUCAGUGUAGACGACCAGCUCCGCAGGUGGUGACCAACGCAUGGUCAGCCCAAGUGAGAGAGAACCCUGCAGGUAGCGCAAAAUCCUCUUGAGUGCAGCAAGGUGGGGCUCACGAGGAUCAUGCAUAUAUAAGCAAAUCUGCUGAACUGCAAAGGCGAUAUCUGGUCGGGUGAAAGUCAGAUACUACAGAGCACUAGCCAAACUGCGGUACUGUGUGGCGUUGGCAAUCGAAGCCCCAUCUGUAGAUAAUUUGGAGUGAAGGUCAACAGGGGUGCUGCAAGGUUUGCAAGCACUCAUCCCGGCGCGCUCCAAAACAUCCAGAGUGUACUGCCGCUGAGAGAGAAAAAGGCCACCAGCACAAUGUGUCACAGAGAUGCCCAAAAAAUGGUGUAGCUGUCCCAUAUCGGUCAUGGCAAACUCAUACUGGAGAGCUGCAAUAAUUUAAAGGAGAAAUCUGGCGGAGGAGGCAAAAAGAACAAUAUCAUCCACAUACAGCAGCAGAUAGGCAGUAUCUGAACCCCGAUGGUAUGAGAAUAAUGAAGUAUCAGACUGAGUCUCAACAAAGUUGAGGGACACAAGGUGUGAAGCGAACCUGUGGCGCCAGGCAUGGGGUGCUUGCUUCAGGCCAUAAAGAGACUUGUUGAGGCGGCAGACAUAAUCCGAAUGUGAGGAGUCAACAAAACCACUGGGCUGAAUACAGUAUACUGUCUCAGUGAGGGUGACGUGUAAGAAUGCAUUCUUGACAUCCAGCUGAUGAAUGGGCCACUGCUGAGACAAUGCCAGAGAUAGAACCACCCGGACAGUUGCAGGCUUGACCACUGGGUUGAAAGUCUCAUCAUAAUCAACACUGGGGCGCUGUGUGAAACCCUGCAAUACCCAGCGAGCCUUGUAGCGAUCAAGGGAACCAUAAGCCCACAACUUGUGACGAUAAAUCCAUUUUCCAGUCACAAGAUUGACACCAGGCGGCCGAGGAACAAGGCUCCAAGUGUCAUUGGCGAGAAGAGCAUCAUACUCAGCCUGCAUAGCGGAGCGCCAAUUGGGGUCCGACAGAGCAUCCCGAACAGAGCGCGGCAAAGGCGACAUGGGCACAGUGUGGAGGUUGAGGCGAUCCAUAGGUUGGGCGAUGCCAGCCUUGCCGCGCGUGCGCAUUGAGUGCGCAUUGGUGACUGGGGUGAUGGAGACCAGGCGAGUGGCGAUGGUGCGGUCAGUUGUCGUGGAGCUGCUGGCAGCAGCCCGUGCGGAUGGCACAGGGGCAGCAACACCUAGCAUCGUGGUGCUGCUGGCAGCAACCCGUGCUAAUGGCACAGGGGCAGCAGCACCGGAUGGUGCAGUCGGUGAGGCGACCGGGGCGCUACUGGCAGCAGCCUGUGCGGGAUGCACAGGGGCAGUAGCGCCGGUCAGGGGCAAGCUGGUCCACCGUGUUCUAGGGCUCGGCGGUGCAGGAGCGGACUGGGACGUGGCAACAGGUGCAUGCACAGGCACAGGGCCAUGCACGGCGGGCGACAUCGGAGGAGCUGGGGUACCUGCAUGCACAACGCGAACUCCAGGAAGUGGAGCGGUGAGAUCAUGCUCAUCAACGAGGAAGUCCAAGGUGGAGGAAGCCAUGGGCGUGGUUGACAUGUCGGCGAAAGGGAAAAAAGAUUCAUCAAAAAUGACAUGUCGAGAGAGAAUAAUGCUAUUCGACUGGAGCUCUAGACACCGAUAGCCUUUGUGUUCCGAGGAGUAGCCAAGGAAGACGCAUAGGGAAGAACGAGGUGCAAGUUUGUGGGGUGCUGUGGAGGACAAGUUGGGGUAAGAAGCACACCCAAAAACUUUGAGAUGGUCAUAGGAGGGUUGGGUGGAAUGAAGGUGGGUGUAAGGUGUCGAGGAGGUGAGGGUUUUGGUGGGGAGGCGGUUCACAAGAUAGGUGGCAGUGUGGAGGGCCUCAACCCAGUAAACCGGAGGAAGAUUCACCUGAAAUAGCAGAGAACGCAUAAUAUUACUAAUGGUGCGAAGGGAGCGCUCGGAUCUGCCAUUUUGCUGAGAAGUAUAUGGACACGACAUGCGGAGUGCAACACCGUGGGAGAGAAAGAACGUGCGGGCGGUGGAAUUAUCAAAUUCACAGCCAUUGUCGCACUGAACGCUCUUGAUGGUGGUGCCAAAUUGCGUGUGAAUAAAGGCAAAAAAAUUUGAGAGAGUGGAAAACGUCUCAGAUUUUAGGCGAAGUGGAAACAUCCAAAUGUAGUGUGAGCAAUCAUAAAGAAUAACAAGAUAAUAUUUGUACCCUGACACACUAACAAUAGGAGAUGUCCAAAGAUCACAGUGUAUCAAAUCAAAAUUAUGACUAGCCCUAGAGCUAGAUGAUCCAAAAGGAAGUCGUGUGUGAUGACCAAGUUGGCACGCAUGGCAUAUAUGGUGGAGAUCAUCUUUAUUACAUGAGAUAACACUGGAACUAAUAAGCUUGGACAGAGCUUCACGCCCAAGAUGCCCGAGACGAUGAUGCCAAAGUGAGGUGGGUGCAGCGAUAAGUGCGGAGGUGUUGGUGGCGGGUGGAAAGAACGGGUAGAGGUCGCCUGAGCUAUUGCACGUGGCGAUCACGUUCCUUGUUUGCAAAUCCUUCACAGAAAGACCAAACGGAUCAAAUUCAAUAGAACAAUUAUUAUCGGUGGUAAAAUGACGAAUGGAAAUCAAAUUCUUAAUAAUGUUGGGGGACACCACAACAUUGUUAAGAACAAGAUUACGAUGUGGAGAUGAAAAAAUAUGUGAUCCGGUGGCAGUGACAGGAAGGAGUGCUCCUGUUGGGGGGAAAUAUUAACGACCUCCUAAUACCGCUCAAAGUGACAGUCAUGAAGGCCCGGGCCCACCUACGAUAAUCACGAUUACAUCCGGCCCAGUGAAGGCAGAGAACACCCCACUCCGUCUCGCCUGACCUAGGGCCCCGGGGUCAGACAAUCCCGACCCCUCGAUGGAGGGACUCCACCUCGCCCGACCGCGGUCCCAGGGUCGGGAGCGCCCGACCCCUCGCCGCAAGGCUCCGCCUCGCCCGACCGCGAUCCCAUGGUCGGGAGCGCCCGACCCCUCGCCGCAAGGCUCCGCCUCGUCCGACCCGGGGAACCGGGGUCGGGAGCGCCCGGCCCCCACCACAGAAACUCCGCCUCGCCCGACCCUGGACGCAGGGGUCGGACUCACUCGGGUCCAUGAGAUGGAUAUUCUCCUCGGGCGCGGGCUGGAGGAUCAGGAUAACGAUCUCGUGGGUCCCCCUAUCGACCUCGCCAUAAAUGCGCUGCGGCCCUGUCAAGCCAAAAGGGAGCAGCGUCCCUAACGUAUCCGGUCCCGAAUACCGGUGCACGGCCGUGCGGCGCGGGCUGCAGUGGCCAUGGCUCCUUCUGAUUCGCCACAGGGUACUCAUGAGUCGCGCCGAACGACACAGGAGGACGCAUCGCUUGCUCUCGCGCCCUGUGCUCCCAACGGCAGUGUCAGGGAUGCGACGUCCGGGUCUUACGGUAAUCGGCGGGGCAACAGAAUUGGGCCUCCUCCCCGGUGGGCACGGAUGCCGAGGCUGAGGCUCAUCAUCACACUCGACGGUGACGGCGACUAGGGAGAUCAUUGACAAGAUCAGGAGGGAAUCGCCCUCCCUCGUCGGGCGCGUUGACAGGGACCGGGGGCCGGAGCGAGAGCGGCGGCCUCGGGGCCCUCCCUUGUAUUAUUUUUCUUUUUGGCUUAUCCUUUCUGCUCCUUCUCCUAAGGCCAGUCUCAACUGUAACCCCGGGCUCCUUGUUGCGCUAUAAAGGAGGACCGGGGGUCACGAGACGGGGACUGAGACUCUUUUCCUCAAGCCAUCAGCACAUUCUCACAGUCCCUUAGAGCACAAGCACACACAAGAGACCUGGGAUCAGUUCCCUCUCUCGCCCAUCUGUAACCCCUACUACAGAACCCCGCGUGGGUAACACGAGCAGCCUCGAUACUGGACGUAGGGCCUUCUUUGCCCGAACCAGUCUAACCCCGUGUCUCCCACGCCACCAUCCGAAGACUUACGCGUAUAAAAGAAAUUUACUAGUCUAGAGUCUUGACCUGCAAAUCUUGACAACAACAGCUCCAUUGCCCACAAUGAUAGAUGAAGGUGUAAAAGAUGAUGGUGGGGAAAUGGUGGAGAGGUUACCAGCAUCCGCGGUCAUGUGAGAACCAGCACCGGAGUCGGCGUACCACUCGGACGGUGCCGGCGGAGUGAGCGUCAUGGUGUUGAACGACUGCGCCAGGGAGUCUUGAGUCCAAGCGCCUCCAUGGACGGGGUUCCAGGGUGCCGGCUGUGACACCUGGUAGGCCGGCGAGGGCCCCUGGAAUGCUGGCGCUGCUCCCCCGUAGACGUACGGUGAAGGCGGAGUGUGUAGCUGGAGCCAUAGACGCCACUGCUCGGGACGCUGCUGAAGGAGCCGUCGUAGCCGUACUGCGGGACGGCAGUGAAUGCUGGUGGCGCCGGUGGAGGACGCCCGUAGGGCCACAUCUGGAGGGUGCCGGCCCAGGGGUGUGCAAAUGACGGGUGCACCCCCGGGGAUGCAUGGCUGAAACCGGGAGGGGCGCCAGCAGCAGGUUGUUGCUGCUGCUACUGGCCGCCACGUCCGCCACGGCCGCGACAUCGGCCGGAACGCUGGCCACCAGUGGGUGCUCCCUGCUGUCCACCAGAGGGCGCACCGUGGGGGCGCGCAGGAGGAGUGGGCGCCCCAUAGCACGGCGCGGCAAGGCCACCAGUGUUUGCUGCCGGGCGUGGCGCGGCGACGAGUGCGGCGGGAGGCGAGGGUGGCCUCGCGUCGAUCUCCAUCUCCUCCAGGAGGAGGUGCGUCCAAGCCUCCGCGAAGGUUGGGAACGGGCGAUGCAUCUUGAGAAUGGACACCAUGUGGCGGAACUUGCCGCUCAAGCCACGGAGGAGGGUGAGCACCAUUUGCCGAUCACCGAUGGGGUCGCUGAACUCGGCAAGUGACGCAGCCAUGGACUUGAGACGAGGGCAAUAAUCUGUGAUCAUUAGGGAGUCUUGGCGGAAGUUGCGGAAUUGUGUCUCGAGGAGGAGGGCGCGGGAUUCCCACUGACCGAGGAACUCAUCCUCGAGGUAGCACCAAGCUUCGCGUGCAGGUCGCUGCCGCAUCAUGAGCGAUUGCUGUAGAUCGCCGAAGACCGUGCCGUGUAUCCAUGUCAACAUGACACAGUCGGCCUGCACCCACGCCGGGCGCGUGGGGAACACCUCAUCCUCAAGGACGUGGCGAGUCAGCGUGUACUUGCCGAGGACGGUGAGGAACAUGCCGCGCCACUUGGUGUAGGUGUUGGUGGCCUGGUCGAGAAUGACGGGGAUGAGGGCCUUGACGUUGACGACGGCGGUGGCCUGCGCCCAGAUAGCUACGUGGGCGGCCUCGUACUCGUCCAGCGCAACGGAACGGAGGCGCUCUUCCUCGGUGCGGUGUGCUUUCUCAGCACAGGCCUCUUCAGCGGCCUUGGCCACAGCAGCCGCGGCCGCAGCAUCAUCGUCGUCCGCCAUGAGGGGCAGGACCGGCAGCCGCACCCGGUGGCGCGAUCAAUAGCACACCCGGUGAUGUGGGCAGCAGGCAAGCGUACAACACGUGCACAGCUCGUACAGCACGCAGCACACCCGGUGAUGUGUGCAGCUCCAAGCACGUACAGGAUGUACAGCCGCGUACAGCACGUACAGCAUGUUGACGACGACGGCGGCGGGCGGGAGACGUACAGCACGUACAAUAGAAGAUCAGGAGCGGAGGCAGGAUCGGAUCGGCGGGCACACCCGGUGAUGAGGGAAGCUACGGGGCGGGCGAUGGGAUCGGCAGCGCGGGCGAUGAGACCGGCGACACACCCGGCGACAUGUAGUCAGCGACGGGGGUGGCGAUCGGAUCGGCGGCGGUGCUGGUUUGGGUUGCGGAAGGGUAGCAGAUCGGAACCGCGAUUGAUACCAUGAAAGUGUGGGAAUAGUUGAUUGUAUUCCAUAUGUGUGCAAGAGUACAUAUAGGGCAGCCGUGGUGGCAUGCAAGCCUACCGCACAGGCGCGUGAUUACAUCCACAAUUAGGACCUACUAUAUAUACAAUAUGCUAACACUAGUGCUUAAUUACUAUCAUGUUUGUUCUGUUGAUUUAGGAACUCUUUUCUAAUUUCAGACUUGUUAUAUUCACUUUGAACCUAUCGAUGAUUUGGUCUGUUUGAUAUUUAACAGUAAAGCCAUUUAGAAAUUUCAGACUUGUUCUGUUCUGCUAAUGAUGGCUUGCUUGGUUUGGUAAUUCAGUGAUGCUUUAUGUUGCUUGCUGCAAACAUGAGAGAGUGGUGUUCUGAAGCAAACUGCUUGGUUUGCCUUGUAAUGUCAGGCAUCAUAAUUUUGCACUCUACAAACUUAAGAGGCAGUAUGCAAACAUCCAAUAAAUUAGCAGUAAUGUACCAACAAAUUGUUUAUGUCUGUAUGGUUUAUCUCAAAUUACAAAAAAAUUUGUAACGUAGCAAAAAUUAUUAAAAGUAACAAUUACUAUGAACUAUAGGCAAUUAUUUGUAGAGGUCUGGAUGAUGUUGCCACAGGUGCUCAAUGAGGUCAUCUUGAAGCUGAUAAAUAUCUUUGUCCCUUAUAUUCUUGUAAUUUUUAAUAAACUCCUCAAGUUUAGGUAUUUCAUCGUGAGAAAUCUCACCUUUUCUCCCACCCUAUUAUAAUUUAAAUCAUCUUCCUCAUCGCGCUCAUCCUCAACUAUCAUGUUGUGCAUAAUAACACAAGCCCUCAUGAUUUGCCCAAGGGUGUCUUGAUCCCAAAAUCGAGCUGGCCUCCUAACGAUAGCGAAACGAGACUAUAGAACCCCAAACGCUCGUUCCACGUCCUUCCUUUAAGCUUCUUAGAUAGUUGCAAAAUAUUUUUUCUUGUUACCUUGUGGUUCAGGUAUGCUCUUCACAAUUAUGGCCCACGAGGGAUAUAUGCCAUCUGCAAGAUAAUAACCCAUUGUAUAUUCAUUGUUAUUAAUGGUAUAAUUCACCUUUGGAGCUUGACCUUCAACUAGCCGUGCGAAUAAAGAAAACCAGUGCAAAACAUUGAUAUCAUUGUGGGAACAAGUCAUCCCAAAGAAAGCAUGCCAAAUCCAAAGAUCUUUAUCUGCAACAGCUUCAAGUAUAAUUGUAGGCUCAUGCACAUGCCCGGUAUACAUACCUUGCCAUGCCGAAGGAUAAUUUUUCCACCUCCAAUGCAUACAAUCAAUUGACCCAAGCAUACCAGGAAAACCUCUACUCUCUCCAAUGGCAAGUAAUCUAGUAGUAUCAUCUUCAUUAGGUGAUCUCAAGUACUCAUCUUCAAACACCUCAACAACAGCAUUGACAAACCUUCUCAAACUCUCAAUAGCAGUACUCUCACCAAUACUGUCGUUGUCAAGAUUAGCCGAUCAAGACUUAGACUAGUAAAUUUCUUUUAUGCGCAUAAGGCUUCAGAUGGUGAGUGUGAGAGACACGGGGUUUAGGCUGGUUCGGGCAAAGGAAUGCCCUAUGUCCAGUAUCGGGAGCUGCUCGUGUUGCCACGCGGGGUUCUGUAGUAAGGGUUACAGGAGUGCGAGAAAGGGAUCCGGUCCCAGGUCUCUUGGGUGUGCACUGAUACUCUAGAAGGGUGUGUGCGUGUGUUCUAUUGGCUUGGAAGCGUUGUGGUGCUUUUUGUUGUCCUUCGAGCCUCUCCCUGUCUCAGGCCCCCGAUUCUCCUUUUAUAGCGUAAGGAGACCACCGGGGUUACAGGUGAGACUGAGUGUGGGGAGGAGUAAAGAGAUAAACAUAGCUAGGUAAAAAAUACAACACGAAGGGGGAACCAAGUUCCCAGGUCACCGGCGUCCUCGCCGUCCUUCGGCUUCCACUGGCGUGUUUGCUGGAGGAAGGUGGCCGCCGUUGCGUCCUGUCGAUGGCUACCUCGGUGACUGUAGCCGCCGGGCGGGAUGAUGGUAUUUCAUCGUGACCCUUGUGUCCGUUGGGGGAGGCGGCGGAUCCUGCCAUCCUGCUUAUGGCCCGCAGAGGGCGGACGUCGCAUCUCUGCCGCCGGGCGCGCGGGGCACGAGAGCGGGUGGGGCUUCCUCCUGCUCCGGGCGGCGCAGGCCAUGAGUGCCCUGUGGCGAAUCGGAGGAGGUCGCAGCUACUGUAGCAAGUACUGUGCGGCCGCGCAUGGGUACUUGCGGCGGGUUGCAUGGGGGGCAUGGAUAUCCUUCUCCCUGACAGCUUUGUGGCGCAUUUAUGGUGAGAUCGAUAGGGGGACCCACAGGAUCCGCGCUCGAGGCGGAUACUUGUCUGGGAGCCCAGGGUAGCCUGACCCUUUAGCCUGGAGUCGGGCGAGGCGGAGACCUGCGGUGGGGGGUCGGGCGUGGUGGAACCUGGUCCUCCAAGGGUCGGGGGCGCCCGACCCCGAGACACGAGGUCGGGCGAGGCGGAGCACGGCUCUCUCCUCCCAUGUUGGGCCGACGCUGGUCGAUCUUUGCUAUCUUAGGUGAGGCUGGGCCCUUAUGUUUUGUUGUUUCCAUGGGCUUCGAGAGGUCGUUAAUGUUUCCCCCCAAUAGUAGCCCCCGAGCCUGUGGUGGAGUAGGGACGCUCCUCUAGAGGCUGUUGUCAUCGCCCGUAGGGGAUCCUCGCAGUUGGUCCGGGACGGGAGGUGUUGUUUGCGCGGCUUGACCGAGGGCGUCGACCAGGUAACGCAUCUUGUGAGCGACUCGGAGUGGGAGGAUUUCUUGUCGUUCCCUUCUGUUUGAGAGUCUUAAGUCGAGACCACCCGUGUGGCCUUUGGUUGCGAGGCCAGCCCCCGAGCCCCCGCGCGUUGCAGGGGACCGAUCGGGAGGCUAGGUCGACUUUUGUACGUUACCCCUCAAGCGUCCGUUCGCUGGGAUGGAGGGGACGAGCCGUGCCAUGCUAUCCUCGUCAGACGAAUCGUGGUUCUCAUUGACCUACUAACGGGUGAAUUCGAGUGGGGUCCCGGUGCCCGUUCGAGGGGGUCCGGCUUGGGCCAAGCUGGUGGCGUACCCUAGGCUCCGGUCAGCCAUUUCAUAUAGUUCCCGAAUCCGUUCGGUUGGAUCCGGGGGCUCGUUGCGUUUCUUCGGGGAAAAACCAUGAACUUUGAUGCCGGUCCGGACUCGAAUGUGAGAUUGAGAUGCCCUGGGCUAUCGCGCGCCCGGGUGAUGGUCGCUUGCGGACCCGUCUCAGCGGUUGUCGAACCCGUGGCAGGCCAACCUUCGAACCCCUGGAUCAUAAUGGGCCGUAGGGACGUUUUCAGCCCCGUAUCCCUUUCCUUCCUUUCGGUGGGCCUUGGGCUGAAUGUGGAGGGAGGCCGCGCCUUGGGCCGUACAUGGAGGAGGCAGCGCCUUGGGCCGGACGUGGGAGACAUCGUGCGCGUGUCCUCCAGGAGGUGAAGUGGUGGAGGGUGCCGACCCACGAACCGAGGGAGGAGGGGAUGUUUCGGCUGUAGGUCGUGUGUGCGGUUUCCGAAAAAGAGGCGGGCGUGACGGGGCAUACCUGGCGUCGCAUUUAUUGUGAUGGGGGCAUCUGUUCUGCUUCCCUCGCGCCUUCUCUAUAAAACGAGGGCUUCGCCUCGCCGGCUCCGCCCGCCACCUACCUUCAAGUCUUUUUGCCUCCUCGUGCACCCUCAGCUUUCCUGCGCCCGCUUUGUCUUCCUCCGCCCGGCGCCGCACCUUUCCUCCUCAUCCCCCAUCGAGCUCUUCUGCCUCCGGCGAUGGGAUCUUGGGAGCGUUCCCACUUCGGCCCCACGCGUGCCGAAGGCCUAGUGAGGAAAGGCCUUCUUUGCGAGAGGACGGAGAGGGAUGAGUGGGGGUUCCCUAAGAUGGAGGAGGUGCCGACUCCACCCGCCGGCUACGUCGUCUCCUUCGCCCACUUCCACGAGAGGGGGUUCGCGACUCCGCCGAGCCUCUUCUUCCGUGGGCUCUUGCAUUACUACAGGCUUGAGCUGCAGCACCUCAACCCCAACGGGAUUCAGCACAUCACGACGUUCGUCGCGCUGUGGGAGGGGUUCCUGGGCAUUGAGCCCAACUUCUCGCUGUGGAAGUACUUCUUCACGGUCAGCUUGUACCAGAAGGCCGAGAAGAAAGGAAGCCAGCAGCGGUCAUCCCCGGUGUCGAUAGGGUGCGUCGGAAUCCACCUUCGCCAUACUCGUGCCAAGGAGUACAUGGUGAUGGAGACCACGGCCUCCCACAAGGGGUGGCACCAACAGUGGUUCUAUGUGAAGAACUACUCCAACGCCCCCCUGCCAGAGUUCACCGGCCGCAUUAUUGAGGCGGCGCCGGAGGUGUGGGCAUACGGCCUGGUGGAGAAGGAGAAGAAGUGGAUCACUGGCGUGCUGUAGGCCAUCGAGCACCUGAAGGGGAGGGGACUGACCGGAGCUGGAGUCAUCGGAGCGUACCACACCCGGCGGGUGGCGCCGCUGAUGCUUCGGGUCCGCUCGCUCGCCGAGAUGACCCCCGGUGCGCUGACCGAGGGCAUUGUCCUCGCGACGGGUGCGCUCGCCGCCUCUGAGAUCCGGCAGCGGAUUCGGGAGGCGCUGGAGGACAAGGACGCUGACUACCCGCUGCCCGGACACCCUCCGAUGCGCCCGGACGAGAACUUCAUCGACCUGGUAAGGAUUUUGUGCGCCAGUUUCCCUUCCUCGUGUUUCUCGGUCCGCCGUUCCGAUGCGGGGCUUUUUGUGUUUGCAGGGCAGCAUGAUCCGGGUCGUCGACUCGCGUCCGCCGGUGCCGGAGGACGCUGAGCGGUGGCAGUAGAACCGUCUCCUUGCCGAGAAGCAAAAGCGGCGCAAGGACAAGGAGACGGCAAAGAAGAAGAAGAGGGCCGCCAAGGAGUUCCAGUGGUGGCGACGAGGGCAGGUCGUGUCGGACGACGACGACGACGACAACAAUGACGAUGAGGAGGAAGAGGAGAAGGAUGACGAGGAGGAGGAGGAAGAGUUUAUCCUGUCCCCCCGGUCAGGCGCGCUUGUUAUCCGGGAGAUGCGCUCCCAAACGACCGCGAGGGAUGAAACGGGCGGACCGCCCACCCGGGACUUGGUCCCGCAAAGCUCUGGGGCCGCGCCCCAGGGGUCGGCGCGGAGCGCCCCCCGGGGGUCUUCGGAGCCCACCCUGAUCCCUGCGCCUGCGGCCCAGGAGCAGAAGAGCGGCGACAAGCGGCCGUUGCCGGAUGCCCCGGGGUCGGCGUCCAGCUCGGAGGCGAAGCGCGCGCGCCGUCCUUGCGCUGCGGGGACGUGAGUUGAAUGUCCUCGCGAAUCUUGUUCCUUUCUCGGCAUUGGGCUUGUUCUUGCUGAUGUUUGUUGAUUGUUUUGCAGCGCUGCCCCUCGAGGUCUCGUCCCACAGCUGGCGCCCAAGAAGGCACUGCGGGUGUUGCCCGCCUCUGCGGGGCGGACCGCAGCCCCACCGGCGGUGAGCGGCGGGGUCACUAGUGAGACCGCGGGUCCUGCCGCGGAGGUGGCCCCUGUGGCGGCGGCCGGUGGGAUGGUGCCGCCGCCGGGCACGGGACAGGGUGUGGACCCCGCUCCUCUUUCUGCCUCUUCGGUCGACCCCGCGGUGCAGAGUAUCGCUCCUGGGGGCCCUCAGGCCGGGGAGGUGCUUGACCUCGAUGCCGACGAGGUGGAGGAAACGGCGGCGGUGGAGAUGGGGGUGGUUGCCCCAGCGGCCGCGACGGGGACGGCGACGGUGACAGGGGAAGGAGAGUCUACCCCAGUGGCCAUGGCGGGGACAGCGGCGGUGGAGGAGGCGGGGACGCCCACCCUGGUGAUUGCGACGGAGGAGGCGGCGGUGAUGGAGACGGGGACUUCCGCCCGGGAAGCCACGGCAAAGGUGGCAGCGGCGGUGGAGGCGGAAGUGCCUGCUCCGGAGGCCACGAUAGGGGCGGGGACGCCUGCCUCGGUGGCCAGGACGGAGGGCGAGGCGGCCACAGGGACACUUACUCCGACACCCGCGUCGGAGGCGGUGGCGUCGACGGGCGGGCCCGCGGUGGCCUCGACGGAGGCAGGGGCGCGUGCGCCGGGACCGUUGGUGAGGCCAGCGACUCCUGGGAUGGUGGUGCCCAUUUUGACGGAGGCGUCGAGGUCGGCUCCUGC
rnacentral:lncRNA from 1 species